UGUAACUUUCUAAAAAUCAUCCUUUAGUUUUUGUAUUGUUUUUGUCUUCUUUAUUUUAUCGUUUGCUAUUAUUUUUCCAAGGGAUAAGCCAGUGCAAUGGAUCAGAGACUCAUUUGCCUCUCAGAUAUUAUAGAUUAUCACAACCCCGUGUUUUGAAACCACCGAUUCCCUAUUUGGAUGGGAAUCCCCGAUUUGGAUGGGAAUCAUCAGAAGCGAACCGGUUCUGAAUUGCAUAGACUCGGGCCCCGCUUUCCCUUUAAAAAUCCUCAUUAUAUAUUUUUUAUCUUUUUUUUAUCUUAUGUAAUAUUUUAUUGGGUCCCAUCUAUAUCCCCACCCUAUAAACCUCUAAUUUAAUUUUUAUUUUAUUUCAUUAAUGUUUAGGAAAUUGUUUGAUGCGGGCUAGUACACAUUUCUACAAUAUUUGGUCCAGAGGUAUAAAACAUCCAUCUUCAAGAGGGAUGCAAAUAGGUGGUCCAUAUAAAAUCAGGUGUAACUAAUGGUUCAAAUGUUUUUUUAAUAUAAUUAUUAUUUCUAAUUUUCAAACCUUUUUUUUCUUUUUUUUUUUCAUAUUCAUGAUCUUUAUGUUGAAGAUUAUAUAUUCUCUAAAAACUAGGAUCAAAUUAUAUUUAAAAAUCUAUUUAGUGACAAGCUCGCAUUUUUACAAUAUGUGGGCUGGCAACAUGUCCUUUAUGUUUUAAAUUUUUUUUAGAUCACGAAUUCUGACCAAUCGAAACCCAUACAGGAUCACCAAUCCAAAGCCCAAACGAUUCGGGUUUUGAAACAUUGAUUGCAGCAAUUUGUUCCAUAUUCCCUUGUUUUUCCAAUUUCUCUAUUUUUUUCAAAUUUUAAAAUUGUUUCCACAUUUAAAUUAGGUGGUCAUUGCAAUGCAUAGUUUGGGCCUGACAGUAUCACUAUUUUGGUUUACAUUUUCAUUGUCUUUUGGUUAGUAAGCUGGGUUUCUUUGAGGCACAGAGUUCUAACCAUGAUUGAUUCCUUUGAAAACUGAGAUUCAGACCACGGAACUAAUGCUGCAAUUAUUUUACAAGUUUUCAAUUAUGCUAAUGAGGGAUCAUAUUUUCAUAUUGUUCCGUAAGUUUAGUUCGGACCUCUAUAACCAACAUCAAAUGGGAGCAACUAGGAGUCGUGAAGAUCAUCGGCUUAGCAAUUGUCGUGAUCUUGAUGCUUGUGGUGUUCAAAAAAGCUUGCUCAUAUUGUUGCAAGUGUGGCAAGACUAUGAAAGCUCCGGGGCGAAAUAUGCGCAUUUUUCGGUCUAGAUUCGAGCAAAACCCUAGAGGCUACUUUCGCCAAUUGCGCAGCGAUCUUAGGUAGAAUAGACGGUUUAAAAUGUGUUAUUGUAGAAUCUAAAGAUAUGGUGUUGCAUGUAUACUAAGAGUCUGUGAGGGAGAACAGUUAGAACCCCAAGUGGCUUUGAGAUGCUUUUUGGUUUUGGUUUGUGUUAGUAAACAGUUGUUCUUUUGGUUUGAAACAGUAAUCUAUUAGUCUUGAAGUGCUUGCUGGUUAGAGUUUAGAGUUUAUGUUGCCAAAGACAGUAGUAAUGUCCUUGCACAUAAAAUGAUGAAAAAAAUCUUAAUAAUAUGAGGUAUAAAUCUUAAGGUGAUAACAAUUGCAACACUACGCAGCAAUACAUUUCGAAUGGUACAUGCAAAACCACUAANNNNNNNNNNNNNNNNNNNNNNNNNNNNNNNNNNNNNNNNNNNNNNNNNNNNNNNNNNNNNNNNNNNNNNNNNNNNNNNNNNNNNNNNNNNNNNNNNNNNNNNNNNNNNNNNNNNNNNNNNNNNNNNNNNNNNNNNNNNNNNNNNNNNNNNNNNNNNNNNNNNNNNNNNNNNNNNNNNNNNNNNNNNNNNNNNNNNNNNNNNNNNNNNNNNNNNNNNNNNNNNNNNNNNNNNNNNNNNNNNNNNNNNNNNNNNNNNNNNNNNNNNNNNNNNNNNNNNNNNNNNNNNNNNNNNNNNNNNNNNNNNNNNNNNNNNNNNNNNNNNNNNNNNNNNNNNNNNNNNNNNNNNNNNNNNNNNNNNNNNNNNNNNNNNNNNNNNNNNNNNNNNNNNNNNNNNNNNNNNNNNNNNNNNNNNNNNNNNNNNNNNNNNNNNNNNNNNNNNNNNNNNNNNNNNNNNNNNNNNNNNNNNNNNNNNNNNNNNNNNNNNNNNNNNNNNNNNNNNNNNNNNNNNNNNNNNNNNNNNNNNNNNNNNNNNNNNNNNNNNNNNNNNNNNNNNNNNNNNNNNNNNNNNNNNNNNNNNNNNNNNNNNNNNNNNNNNNNNNNNNNNNNNNNNNNNNNNNNNNNNNNNNNNNNNNNNNNNNNNNNNNNNNNNNNNNNNNNNNNNNNNNNNNNNNNNNNNNNNNNNNNNNNNNNNNNNNNNNNNNNNNNNNNNNNNNNNNNNNNNNNNNNNNNNNNNNNNNNNNNNNNNNNNNNNNNNNNNNNNNNNNNNNNNNNNNNNNNNNNNNNNNNNNNNNNNNNNNNNNNNNNNNNNNNNNNNNNNNNNNNNNNNNNNNNNNNNNNNNNNNNNNNNNNNNNNNNNNNNNNNNNNNNNNNNNNNNNNNNNNNNNNNNNNNNNNNNNNNNNNNNNNNNNNNNNNNNNNNNNNNNNNNNNNNNNNNNNNNNNNNNNNNNNNNNNNNNNNNNNNNNNNNNNNNNNNNNNNNNNNNNNNNNNNNNNNNNNNNNNNNNNNNNNNNNNNNNNNNNNNNNNNNNNNNNNNNNNNNNNNNNNNNNNNNNNNNNNNNNNNNNNNNNNNNNNNNNNNNNNNNNNNNNNNNNNNNNNNNNNNNNNNNNNNNNNNNNNNNNNNNNNNNNNNNNNNNNNNNNNNNNNNNNNNNNNNNNNNNNNNNNNNNNNNNNNNNNNNNNNNNNNNNNNNNNNNNNNNNNNNNNNNNNNNNNNNNNNNNNNNNNNNNNNNNNNNNNNNNNNNNNNNNNNNNNNNNNNNNNNNNNNNNNNNNNNNNNNNNNNNNNNNNNNNNNNNNNNNNNNNNNNNNNNNNNNNNNNNNNNNNNNNNNNNNNNNNNNNNNNNNNNNNNNNNNNNNNNNNNNNNNNNNNNNNNNNNNNNNNNNNNNNNNNNNNNNNNNNNNNNNNNNNNNNNNNNNNNNNNNNNNNNNNNNNNNNNNNNNNNNNNNNNNNNNNNNNNNNNNNNNNNNNNNNNNNNNNNNNNNNNNNNNNNNNNNNNNNNNNNNNNNNNNNNNNNNNNNNNNNNNNNNNNNNNNNNNNNNNNNNNNNNNNNNNNNNNNNNNNNNNNNNNNNNNNNNNNNNNNNNNNNNNNNNNNNNNNNNNNNNNNNNNNNNNNNNNNNNNNNNNNNNNNNNNNNNNNNNNNNNNNNNNNNNNNNNNNNNNNNNNNNNNNNNNNNNNNNNNNNNNNNNNNNNNNNNNNNNNNNNNNNNNNNNNNNNNNNNNNNNNNNNNNNNNNNNNNNNNNNNNNNNNNNNNNNNNNNNNNNNNNNNNNNNNNNNNNNNNNNNNNNNNNNNNNNNNNNNNNNNNNNNNNNNNNNNNNNNNNNNNNNNNNNNNNNNNNNNNNNNNNNNNNNNNNNNNNNNNNNNNNNNNNNNNNCAUGAGACACUCGUGUUUUUUUAUUUCUUGAAUGUACAAAGACUAAUUAACCUUCUCGUCUUCUUUCUCCUCUUUUAUUCGUGGUUCCUUUCACUUCCAUCACUCCGAAGUUUUCCUUCAAUGCAUUUCAUGGAAACCAUAGUACCUAAGUUACCCAAAGCAAAACAAAGUUAAAAAAGGUGCCGGAGGACUUCUGCCAAAAUAAGGGGAUCAUCAUUAGAUGCAUUCGUAUGGAUGGUUUAUAUAUAUAUAUAUAUAUAUAUAUCUUCUAUCUAUCUUGAAUCUCUAUAAUUUGAAGGGUUGUGAAGUUUAAAAUGUCCUUACAUAUAUAUAUAUAUGUAUAUAUAAGUCACUACUAUACGCUCAUAUGCCGAUCAGAUGCUCACAUAUGUUUAAUAGUAUUUAAAUUUUAAUUGUUUUUCUACAAAUCCAAAUCACUUGAAAUUUUAGAUGUGAGUUCUUUUCAUUAAUGCACACUUUAAAAAUAUAAAAAAUAUAAUUUGUGAAAAAUAAAUUGAUCAAAAUACCCCCCCGAAAUAUUUCGGAGGUAUUUUGAUCAAUUUAUUUGAUGUAAAUUUAUUUUUUUUAUAUUUUUUAUAGAUUCGUCUAUUUUUGAAGAAUAUAUAUCUAAAAUUUCAACUAUUGUGUCAACUACCACACUACUACCUCUGUCUAGAGCCAAUGUCAAAAUAAAAGUGAUUCUUAAAUCUUCAUCAAUAAUAAAAGGAAAAUUUUAAUUCUAGUACUUCAAAAUCACAUUGAAUGUAGGAAUGGUGGUCAACAUUUGUCACAUUUUAUAAAUGUGUAAAAGAGAGACAAUGAUUUCUCUGUCUUCUUCUCUAGUUUAAUAUAUUUAUAAUAAGGGUGUCCUCAUGGCGCUCCCAAAAGACCAAAGUCCCUAGCAAGCAACAAUCUUCCACUUCCGCCUCCAAUAACUAUGAUGUAAAAUGGGUGACAAUAGAGGACGUCAUACGUCUCAUUUCUGUUGUCGGAUCUAGAUUUUUCUCCCAUCCAAACGACAUAUCCUCCAGAGGGAGAGCUCCCUUACAUUUUCCUGGGGCAUGUGGAAGGGGUGCGAAAAUUGCAUUUUAAAAGGGGAAGCCUAAUCAGUCGCACUAGGAGCCAAAUGAAUCUUUUAGCUCUCUUGAGUUAAAUUUUAUGGUUUCCCAAUGAAUCAUCUAGAAUUUGGAGUAGUAUGUACUAUUUACUGACUGUCUAAGGAGGACUAUGUGGGACUCAUCGAGGCCCCGAUCAGUGUGAAAAUUUACAGAGGCCGACACAGAGACAGAGGACCCAACCUCCUAUCACUCACUGAUCAAAAAGUUGGAAAUUCUUAUAACUCUCUUCAAACCAUUUUUCUGCAUUUAUUCCUUAAAUGUGAUCAAGUGAAAGAUUCAUCAAUAUUUUGCCAGUUUCAACUGACUGUCUAAGGAGGACUAUGUGGGACUCAUCGAGGUCCCCAUCAGUGUGAAACUUUAUAGAGGCAGACACAGAGACAGAGGAGAAAGUGCUUCUUAUAUGACCCAACCUCCUAUCACUCACUGAUCAAAAAGUUGGAAAUUCUUAUAACUCCUCUUCAGACCAUUUUAUUGCAUUUAUUCCUUAAAUGUGAUCAAGUGAAAGAGUCAUCAAUAUUUUGCCAGUUUCAUGGCAAUUAGCAAGUUCUUGAAUCUUGUGCCUAAAUCUCCACUGACUUACCACUAUGAGAAUGGGCUGGGGGCUUGACAGUAGUACCAUCGAGUCCUAUGAUAAAGUCUCUGACUUCUUUCUCAGGUAGGAGCCAAAAUUCUGACUUCUUUCUCACUAAACGGUAGGAGCCAAAAUUCCCACUUGUGUUUUUUUUUAAAUUAACUAAUUAUAUAUAUAUAUAUAUAUAUAAUUUUACAUGAAAACAAUUGACCAAAAUACCCCUAUAAAGUUUUGUGGGUAUUUUGGUCAAUUUAUUUUAUAGAUUAUUUUAUUUUAUAUUUUUAUUAGGUGCGGCUUGAUGAGAAGAACACACGCCUAAAAUUUCAAGUGAUUUAAAUUUGUAAAAAAAAAAUAAAAUUAAAAUACUAUCAAAUAUCUGUGAUCAUCAAAUCGGCCCAAAUUCAAUCGAAGCAGCAAGACUCACUUUUUCUUGUGAGCCCACUGGCUCACAUGAUCACUUUUUCUCAAGCCUAGCCUUUUUUUUUUUUUUUUGUUCUUUUGCCUAUUUCAUUUUUGGCCUCUUCUUCUCUUUUAUAACUCUUCCAAAUUAUUUUCCCAAAAAUACUUUCCACUCUUCCUGAUCUUCCUUUCUUUCAUAAGUGAUUCCCACGCCAAAGUUAAAUAAAGAAAUCAUAGCACAUAGGUAAUUACCACACAUUAAUUGCUAAAUAUUUUAGUUAGAGACUUGGAGAAAAUUGAAACCUAGUGUAAAUACCACAUAAUAAAGAGGAAUGCAUGGGAAUUCAUGAUAUCAUAAAAGCAUUUUGAAAAGAAUAAAAAAGCGAAUAAACCACAUACAUUUUGCCUUCAAAACUAGAAUCAUUCAAGAAAAGAAAACAUGUAAAUUUGAAGUCAAUUUUAUGUUGAGCAUGCAUUUGAUGAAUAUACAACUGUGUUUUUCUGAAGAAAGAAAAUGUUUGAAAAAUGGCAAUCCAGAUAAAGAAUCAUGAUUCUAAUUCGAAAUUGGAGGGGACCAACGGGUUCCUUGCUGGAACCAAGAAUUGGUCUCUUGUAUAGAUUGCCCUAUUAUGUCAGAGAACCGCGUGAGUCUGUUAGAGAGUUAAGUAAUCUGGAUUAGCCAAAUCACUUGGUUUCGACCUAUUUUAUUUUUUAAAAUAGAAAGUAUUAUUUAAUUUCUUUGGGACAAGUUUCUACAUAAGAGAUUGGGUCCAAUGCAGUCAAGAUUGGCGAUCUAGAUCAGUCCAGCCAUUAACUGCUUCGGCAACUUGACCUGCGUUUGAAAAUUCAUAAUAAAAGAAAAGAAAAAAAACCAUGUACUUUGAAAUGUAUGAAGUAUGGUAAGAUCUUAUACUACUAUUACAAAACACACUUCAAAAAAUUAGUCAAAGUAACUAUUAAAAAAAUUAAUAAUUUUCCCAAGUUGUGGGACUUUCAUGCCUCCAUCUCUUUGCGCGCUUUUGUUUUCAUUGUGUAUUUAUUGUUGCGAGAAAUGGUUAUAAUACUUACCAAAAAUUUGAGUGAAUGCAUAAGUAAUGUCUGGAAUUUUUAGAGAGAUUCUCAAAUUCUAUUAAUUUUUGUGUAAUUCAGGCCCGAGCCUGACUUAUCGAACCAAAUUAUUUUGGGUAAGGAAUCAAGCUCAUUUUAUUUUUCUAUGUUUUAAAAUUAAAUAAGGAAAAAGUUUAUAUGAGGUUGCAAUCUUAAAAAUGUAGAAUUAAAUAUGCAUCUAAAAAAUCCAUCGAAAAAGGUCCUUUUAGCAUUGGAAAACCCUCUAAUUAGUCAUCUCGACAUCAAAAUGUAUGAAUAUGGGAAAAAAAAAAGAUUAUUGGUCCUAGGAUUAGUGCUUCUACCAGCACAUUAUCUAGACCGUCCAUCUUCGAGAGCUUAUAUGUUUAUAGAUCAACUUGAUUUUAAUAAUAUUUGUGGUUUAAAAUUUUAUAAUUAAAAAUGAAAAUAAUUUUUCAAAUAAUCCUAAAAAAAGUGUUUUACACCCAAACUUGCAUGUGAUAAUAAAAUUUGGAGGUAUGCCUUAAUUGGAUUGUUUAAGGUUGCAACGUUGUAGAAACCACACCCAUUGAAUAAUGGGUGAGAUUUGUAUAAGGUGUCAACCCUAUACUAUUGAAAUAAGGUGUGCCUCAAAACUAUGUCGAAAAUGCUGCUUCGAUUAUACAAAGCAUUGAAAUGAUAUGAAAAUUUAAUGUUGCCCCAAAUAUGAAAUUGAAAGUUUCAGAAAUGGUGAUGAUCAAUCAAAUCCAUAAACACUUGAAAAUCUUGAAAAUGGACGGUCGGGAUAAUGUGUUAGAAGUUGAACUAUUUUUAGGAUUAGAAAUUCUUUUUUUUUUUUAAUACCAAUGAAUCUCGAAGUCAAGAUGAUCGGUUUGAGGGUUUUCCAGCACAGGGAAGGUUGAGACCUUACAUAAACUUUUUUCUUAAAUAAUACUCAAUGCAAUUAUGACAUGAAACUGAUCAAUUUAUCAAUUUAUCUGGUGAGCUGAAGGGUGUUCCUUGGUUUAUAUUCUCAGUGAAACUUCUAAAAAGGCGAAUGGUUUUAACAAAUUAUAGAUUUGGAUGUUAAAUAUUAUUUUCAUUGAUUUUGUAAUUUUUUCCAUAAAUUUAUUGGCUCUCAUCAAUACAAAUAGAUGUGCUUCCAUGGUUGGAAGAAAUAAUUGCAUAUUGUAAAAAUACGAUCUAGCCUGCAUGAAACAAUUUUCCUGAAUUCUCCAAUACCACGCGGUGAUUGACCUACCAAAAAAACAUAAGCGUAGGUAGUUGUAUAGCAGUAUAUAUGUAACAUAGAAACAACAUGAUACACUCCUUUUCCACCAUCUAUACAUACUCAACAAUGGAAGACGGGAAUGAGAUGUUCCACUUGAGAGCAAGGAAAAGCACGUGGUAACUAAGUUUAGACAACCUCAUGAGGUUAAAACUAAUGGUACAAUAUUUGUUAAAAUUUUGCAGGGGUAUUUGAAUCAAUUAUUUGCAUGUAAAAUAUUGUUUUAAUAUUUUUAGCAGAUUCAUCUAUUUUUGAAGAACAUACGCUUAAAAUUUCAAGUGAUUUGGAUUAGUAGAAAAAAAAUAAAAAUUCAAACACUACUGGAGACUACCGGAUAUCCGUGAUCUUCAGAUCGGCCCAGAUUGAAUUUUUUUUUUAUAUAUGGUCAGCAGCCUCAUAUAGAUAAGCUAAAUGCGCCAACGGCCCAUAUUGAAUCUGGGCCGAUCAAACUAUCACGAAUAUCCGGUAGUGCUUGAAUUUUAAUUUCUUUCUACAAAUCCAAAUUACUUGAAAUUUUAGGCGUGUGUUCUUCAAAAAUAGGAGAAUUUACGAAAAAAUAUUUUAAAUAAAAGAAUUGACCAAAAUACCCUUAAAAUUUUGUGGGGUUUUUUGGUAAAUUAUUUUCAUGUAAACUAUUUUUUUAAUAUUUUUCAUAGAUUCAUCUAUUUUUUUAAGAAUACACGCUUAAAAUUUUAGUGAUUUGGAUUAAUAGAAAAAAANNNNNNNNNNNNNNNNNNNNNNNNNNNNNNNNNNNNNNNNNNNNNNNNNNNNNNNNNNNNNNNNNNNNNNNNNNNNNNNNNNNNNNNNNNNNNNNNNNNNNNNNNNNNNNNNNNNNNNNNNNNNNNNNNNNNNNNNNNNNNNNNNNNNNNNNNNNNNNNNNNNNNNNNNNNNNNNNNNNNNNNNNNNNNNNNNNNNNNNNNNNNNNNNNNNNNNNNNNNNNNNNNNNNNNNNNNNNNNNNNNNNNNNNNNNNNNNNNNNNNNNNNNNNNNNNNNNNNNNNNNNNNNNNNNNNNNNNNNNNNNNNNNNNNNNNNNNNNNNNNNNNNNNNNNNNNNNNNNNNNNNNNNNNNNNNNNNNNNNNNNNNNNNNNNNNNNNNNNNNNNNNNNNNNNNNNNNNNNNNNNNNNNNNNNNNNNNNNNNNNNNNNNNNNNNNNNNNNNNNNNNNNNNNNNNNNNNNNNNNNNNNNNNNNNNNNNNNNNNNNNNNNNNNNNNNNNNNNNNNNNNNNNNNNNNNNNNNNNNNNNNNNNNNNNNNNNNNNNNNNNNNNNNNNNNNNNNNNNNNNNNNNNNNNNNNNNNNNNNNNNNNNNNNNNNNNNNNNNNNNNNNNNNNNNNNNNNNNNNNNNNNNNNNNNNNNNNNNNNNNNNNNNNNNNNNNNNNNNNNNNNNNNNNNNNNNNNNNNNNNNNNNNNNNNNNNNNNNNNNNNNNNNNNNNNNNNNNNNNNNNNNNNNNNNNNNNNNNNNNNNNNNNNNNNNNNNNNNNNNNNNNNNNNNNNNNNNNNNNNNNNNNNNNNNNNNNNNNNNNNNNNNNNNNNNNNNNNNNNNNNNNNNNNNNNNNNNNNNNNNNNNNNNNNNNNNNNNNNNNNNNNNNNNNNNNNNNNNNNNNNNNNNNNNNNNNNNNNNNNNNNNNNNNNNNNNNNNNNNNNNNNNNNNNNNNNNNNNNNNNNNNNNNNNNNNNNNNNNNNNNNNNNNNNNNNNNNNNNNNNNNNNNNNNNNNNNNNNNNNNNNNNNNNNNNNNNNNNNNNNNNNNNNNNNNNNNNNNNNNNNNNNNNNNNNNNNNNNNNNNNNNNNNNNNNNNNNNNNNNNNNNNNNNNNNNNNNNNNNNNNNNNNNNNNNNNNNNNNNNNNNNNNNNNNNNNNNNNNNNNNNNNNNNNNNNNNNNNNNNNNNNNNNNNNNNNNNNNNNNNNNNCAAGAAGUUCAUAUUCAUGCCAAUUAUAAUAUUUAUCUUUUGUACAAGAAGUUCACAUUCAUAUCGUUUGAUUUAAAAUCAGAAGGCUGACAUUAUGUAAUUACUCAUGCUCAAAGUUUAACGAAAUUUGUUCAAACUCCAUGACAUACUUGCAGUUGUCGAAUUUAAUAUUCGAUGUCUAGGGCCAGUCGUGACCUUAUUCUAAGUAUAGAUGAUCUCGUACUAUAUAAACCCUUAAUUUAAUUGGAAUUGUAAUUUAUAAUCUUUUGAUUUAAUUAGAAAAGAGAAACAUACUAAAAACAACAUUAGACAAGAUAUUAGAGAGGAGUGUGGUUUGUAUAAGGCUCAGGUCCUAAAUAAUCAAAGCUAGGUGCAUCUUCAAAUAGUCUGGAAUGAUCUUGUUUUAAUACUAGAAAUCAUUGUGAUGGCUUGAAAAUUUAUUUUUAUCUCUAAUUAUAAAAUGGAAAAACUUUAUAUAAGGAUGCUACCUUAUAAUGUAGAACUACGGAUGCCCUCAAAAAUCCAUCGCAUUUAAUGUUGGAAACCCCUUUCAUUGAUCAUCUCAACAUCGAGAUGUUUGACUAUGAAAAAUAAAAAGAUUUUGUCUCAGAAAUAGUGCAUUUUUGCAACAUAUUAUCUAAACCGUCUAUUUUCAAGAUUUUCAAAUGUCUAUAGAUCUACUUGAUUUUAACCAUUUUUGAAAUUUAAAAUUAGAUAUAAAUAGAUUUUGAGUUAAUCCUAAAAACAUUUUACAUCAAAAUUUUAUACCAUGAAGGUGCACCUUACCUCUACACCUACGGAUGCAUCUAUAUGCAAACUGCUCCCUCAUAAAAUUGAGUCUUAAACUAGUGUAGAUCAAGCAUGUCUAGGUGUAUUUGAAUAUCUUAAAAAUUGACGGUCCAAAAAAUGCAUUACAAGAUGCUCUUUUCCUUUACCUUUCGUUCGUUUGACAUAGUUGCCUUCUCCCUUCUUUUCUAACCUCUUUAAAUAGUAUGGACUCGUUCUCCUUUUUUGAACAGUAUGGACUCGUUCUGACCUCACCUGCUCGAUUGUUGGUUUCUUCUUCUCUUUUAAAAACUCUUCUAAAUUGUUUUCCCAAGAAAACUCUUCCACUUUUCCUCGUCUUCUUCUCUUUCAUCAGUGAUUCUCACGCCAAAGUUAAUUAAGGAAAUCUUAGCACAUAGGUAACCACUAUACACUAAUUGCCAAAUAUUUUACUUAGAACGUUGGAAAAAAUUGAAAGCUACGGUGACUACCACAUAAUGAAGAGCAAUGCAUGGGAAUUCAUGAUAUCGUAAAAGCUUUAUCAAAAUAUCAAAAAAUCCAAUAACGACACAUGCACUUGUAGUUGAGAAAUUUCUCGUAUCUAUAAUUUAUGGUAUUUAAAAUUGGAAAAAGAUCUUGUACGGCUAUAUGCGUACUUCUACAAUAAAUGCUCAAUAAUCUGGGUUGAUCCGAGGGUCACGACUUUAUUUAGUAUUUGAAUUUUAAUUUUUUUUUCUACAAAUCCAAAUCACUUGACGUGUGUUCUUAAAAGAUAGACGAAUCUAAUAAAAAUAUCAAAAAAAAAUUUAACAUAAAAUUAAUUGAUUAAAAUACCCCCGAAAAGUUUCAAAGGUAUUUUGAUAUUUUUUUGGCAAAUUAUUUUUAUGAUAUUUUUAUUAAGUGUAUCUUGAUGAGAAGAACACACGCCUAAAGUUUCCAGUGAUUUAGAUUUGUAGAAAAAAAAUUAAACUUUAAACACGAAAUGAGGUCGUGGACAUCUCAUGAUUGUCAAAUCAAACUAGAUUCAAUAUGGGCUAUUGGGUGUAUUCUUACAGGUACAUCCAUCGGCGUACUAUAUUAUCUUCCAAAUUCCUUACCAUUUUCUUUCAAUAUUUCUUUAAAAUUAUCAAAUUGAACAAAUUUCAGAUAUUUAUGAUCCCAAAUUGAAUACUUUUAUAAUUAAGUCUUUUAUUUAAAAUUUACGAUAUUCAAACUCCAUAAAAUAUGAGAUUAAGGUAUUUUCUAAUUUUUGGAUAUUGAAAAUCUAAAUUUAAGAACUAAAUUAUUUUUAAUUUGAAAUUAAGGUUUUUCUAAUUUUCAGAUAUUGGAAAACCAAAAUUAAGGAUUAAGUUGUUUUCUAAAAAAUAACUUUAACUCUUAGUUUCAAAAUUUAGAUAUCUGAAAAUAAAAUAAAAUAAAAUUACUUAUGGCUUUGAUAUUUUGAAUAUCAUAAAUUUUUAAAAUAAAAUAAUUCUUAAUUUUAGAUAUUCAACAUCCAAAAAUUAGGGUAAACUUUGAAUAUGAUUUUCAGAUUUUUAAUAUAAUGUUAACCAUUUCCUCCGGACAGUCAGCCUUAGGUGCAGCUGAAGGCUUUCGAGCUUGGAGGGUCGUGUGCGGCAGAUCGGUAAGCAAGGGCUCAACAUGCCCCGACUGAACUCGAGUCUUACAUGCCGAUCACGUGAGUACUAGUUCUCGACGGUCUUGGGAUUGUCGCUGCAGUAGUUGGGUCAUUUUCUACGACACUGACCACUAUGCAGGCUGCUCUCAUCUCCUCUUUGGGUUUCGAAAUUCGAAGAGGGUAGAAGGCGUUCUGGUGAAAAGGUUCAUUAGAGUUGGGUGCCCCAACUGUCUUGGCUGCUUCUCUAGUCAAGAUUUGUAGUAUGUUUUCUAUAAACCAUUUUGACAACAAAUUUUGUAUGUCCAAUCCUCUAUUAAACUCACACUAGUGAAAAUUAUAAAAACAAUAUUUCUAAUAAACUAAAUGACCAAAAUAUCCUUAAAUUUUAAAGGGGUAUUUUGGUUUUUAUAUUUUAUCAAAAAAUUAUUUUUAAUACUUUAUAGGUGCGCUCCAAUGAGAAGAUGGCACAUACCAAAUUUCAUAUUCAUACAAUUUGUAUAAAAAAAUUAAAAAUAAAAUACUUUGAUACGUCAGAUCUGAGAUCAAACGGUAAAUGGCUCUCUUGAUCAAAAUUGAACGAUUGGAUAGUAGGUGAAGCAUAGAUCUUUUAUGCUGUUAGGAAAGUAUAAAAACCUUUACCUUAUUGUAUACUUUUACUUUUCAAUUUAUAUUGUUGGGGCUAGGCUUCUUGUCCUUUCUCAUUGCGCUCCAAAUAGCCGUAUGUAAUAUGCAGUAUCUUACAGGCCCAUAUACUAGCCACCCGUACAAAUGCAUGUGAUGAUGUUUCUCUUAUUUUACUAAGAUUCCUCUGCGUGCCUUUUCGAACUUUGGGUAUAGUUUUAUUGGGUUUUGGGUUAACUUAGACGCUAAGGUUUCCAUAACCAUGGGACCACCAAAGAGGGUUUAUAAAACGAUAAAGUGGGUAGUGAUGGGAGUAAGGAAAGAGACGAGAAAGCAAAGGAAGGACAAGUUCAGAGUGAGAGAGAUGUCGAACAACAAGGGUUUGAAAAACCAGGCCUUUUUAUGUACGCCUUUCUAUUUCUCUCUUGUGUUCCUUUUUAUAUCCCUAACCCAUCCCUCAAAUUAUUCCUAUUAAACUUUGGGUUAAUGAAAAUCUCUUGCACCCCCCUCAAAUUUUAAACUUUGGGACUAUUAGCCCCUUAAUUAUAUAUAUAUUUUUUUGUUCUUUAUACAAAUUUGAUAUCUUUGUUUUACAAAAUGCAAAUCCAUACAUAUUUUCAUUGUGAUUUUGAUAUAUAAAUUUGACUGUUGAUAAUAAUUUAUAAUUAUUAUAAUUAAUUAAUAAUUAUAAUAAUAGCAAUAAUAACAACAGUAAUAUAUUAAUUGUUGAAUAUUUCAUCUUUAUAAGUAUUUUGAUAAAGCUUUUUAAUAAAUAAGUAACAAAUAUCUUGACUAAUCAUUUUUCAAGUUCAAACGAUAUUGAUAUAAUUGUAAAAAAGGUCAUAAUGUUAAAGAAAAAUUCAUUGUUUUUUUGUCAUGUCUAUAUUUAUAGAGUAGGAUCCAUGGAGAUAAAAUUGAUUUUAGGUAAUGGAAGAGAAAUGGAAGGGAAAAUUUUGUAAAAUAAAAUUAAAUUUGUAAAAAAAAAACAAAGAAAAACACAAUUAAGGGGGCUAACCGUCCCAAAAUUUUAAAUUUGAGGGGAUACAAGGGAUUUUGGUGAACCCAAGGGGCUAAUAGUGAUGAAAGUUUCAGGGAAGGGGGUAAAGGUCAUUUUUUCAAAUAAAUAAAAGGAACAAUUAUAUUCGUGUUGUGUUUAAAUAGGGUAAUCACGGACUUGCAUAAUUUUGUGAAAACUAUUAAGCUGAAGUACAUUGAUCUAUAUACCCAAAAAAAAACACCAAUCUUAUAUUUACAACAUCAUCCGGGUGCCUUUUUAUUUUAUUUGUUUUAAGGAAUAUUGUUUUAUGCGGGCUGGAAAUUAACUCAAAAAUUAGGGUUUUCAGAUUUUUAAUAUAUGAAAAAUUAGAAAAUAACUUAAUUCCAUUUAAUUUUCGAUCUUGGGGAUCCAAAAUUUGGACAAUUUGGCCAUUUUGAAAAAUUUGUGAAAAAGUGUAAGAAUAUAAUAAUAGAAGAAUAUAGAUACAUUUUAAAUAAUAUGUUUUAUAGGAUAUGCGUGCAAGCAGUAGGAUAUCUAAAAUGCCUUUUGUAAAUUGGUAAAAUAAUUAGAAUAAAAUAAGAGUAAUGAUUUUAUGAGAACCUCCCACAUCUAUGUAUGUAGGAGCUCAAAUGGUCAUCAUUAAAUUUGACCCAAAUCUCUAAAAAAAUUAUCAUAUAAGUGUGAGAUUUGACUUUUCUAAAGAUCUGUGUCAAAUUUAAAUCGUGAUUUUUUGCGGUCCAAAACACAUAAAUGUGGAAGGGUUUGAUCAUUACCCAUAAAAUAAUAACAAUGAAAGGGUGAGUAUUUUCUACCCCGAACUACAAAAGUUUAGCGGGAAUCAAUUCGUGUGUUUUCGGUGAUACACAAGGAGGCAUCCACCCUCUAUUCUCAAUGAAUAGCGAUUGAGAUUAAUCGUAAGCAAGCAAGUGGCCAUCAUCAUGAACUAAGAUUAAAGGAGGAUAAUGCCCUCAUUUCAGGGUGUUCAAUCAACUGCAUUCAAUUGUGUAACGGAUUUUAUAGCCGCCCAAUCGAUUUCACGGUUUUUAGGGAAAUGUGUAUGGGGGUGAAGGAGAUUUGGGUGUUGAGCAUCAAGUAAGGUUUUCAGCAGUAGGUUAGAGAUAGAGUGCAGAAAGGCAGUUUUUUUAGAGAUAAAAGAGUGAGGAAAACGUAAAUAGUUUCUCAGUUAGGCAGUUCAAGAAAGAGGUGGAUUUGGAAUGAAGGUGAAAAGAGAGUAAUUUCAGAGAAAUGGCUUUGUAGUGGAGGUAUAACCAUUUAGAGAGGGGUUGCGGUGUGUAUAGAGCCUAGGCUCCAAACAAUCAAAUUAGAGUCUAUCUUUAAAUGGUAUCAAGAAAUGUGGUUUUUCAACAUUAGAAAUCUUUGUAAUAGCUUUAAAAUAUAUUUUUAUUUUUAUUUAUAAAAUUUAAAACUUAAAAAAUAGUGUAGAUCGACAAAUCUAUGAAAAUUUGAAAAUCUUGAAAAUUGACGGUCCAAAAAUAUCUUACAACAUGCAUUAUUUCCAAAACUUGAAAUCCAUUUUUUUCUAUUGUCCAUGAAUCUUGAUGUCCAGAUGAUCAAUUUUAGGAUAUUUGGGCAUCAAAACAACCUCUUCAAGUGAAACUUUUGAGAGAGAGAAAUACAAGUUCACUGUUUGUUGUGUUCGGUUUAAAAUAUAAUCAAAAGACUAAUUUGUUGUGUUCGGUUCACUUGGGUAUGGAGAGAGAUUGGAUGGUACUUUCCUUGAUGCAUUGUAGUGGGGAUUAUUUAUGCUUGAUGAAAUUUAGAUUGAGAGAGAGAAAUACAAGUUCAUUGUUUACAUUGGUUCUUUUCUUGAUGUGUGUGAGAGAGAGAUUGCUUGUUGCUUUUCUUGAUGAAUUGUAGUGGGGAAGAUUUAUCCUUGAUGAAAUUUAGAUUGAAAUAGAGAAAUACAGCUUCAUUGUUUGCAUUGGUUCUUUCUUGAUGUGUGAGAGAGAGAAAGAGAGAGAGAGUUUGCAUUGACAUUUGUUUGAUGUUCAGAAAUGAGUACGGCUGCGAAGAUAGCCGGCGUAGCAAGUGCCGGAAUGAUGUUAUUCAUGGGCAUCAAGAAGUCCUAUGCAGCCUACCAUGGCAAUGAACAAGAGGAGGACGAGAAGACGAUGAAAAAACCAGGGGAAGAUGGACGCAUGCUCCGCAGAGAUUUUGAAGAAAACCCUAAAGAUUAUUUCCUUGAUCAUCGACGCCGAAAAAACUGUUACAAUGAAUGAAACCAAAGGAAAAAUUAGAACAAGGGGGAUUACGGUUGAGGAAGUGGUUUACUGGUUUAGCUCAGGAUUAACUAAGUGAUUUGCUUUUUGUGGUGUUGGUGUUUAUAUUGGCCUCUAGCACGAGGGAUGGUAGUGUUUUUUUCUCUCUCUAGUGGAAAGUGUUUAUAUGAGUGGGACGCCUUAUCAAUCAAAUUAACAGGGACCUCAAAAAAUUAACUGGAAGAGGUUGUUUUGAUGCUUAAAAAUCUUCAAAUAAAUGAUUUCGACCUCAAGAUGUAUGAACAUGAAAACAAAUAGAUUUUUAUGUCUCAGUAUAUUUUGUUAUGUAUUUUCUAGACCUUCAAUUUUCAAGAUAUUCAUGUACUCAAAGAUAUGCUCAACGUGUACUAUUUUUAAAGCUCUAAAUUUCUAUAAUUAGAGAUGAAAAUAAUUUUUAAAACUAUCACAAUGAUUUUAGUAUUAUACUAUUUGAAGGUGUGCCUUACUUUGAUUAUUUAGGGCUUCAGCCUUAUAUAAACCACACCCCUCUCAAAUAUGUUGUCGAAUGUUGUUGUUGGUAUGUUUCUCUUUUGCAAUUAAAUUAAGGGACUAUAUAGUAGAAGACCAUCAAUCUUUAGAAUAAGGAGGUCACAGCUAGUCCAAGACAUCAAAUGUUAAAUUGGACAGCUUCAAGUAUGUCAUGGAGUUGGAACAAAUAUCUUUGAACUUUGAGCAAGAGUAAUUACAUAAUCGCAACUGGAACAAAUUUCUUUGAACUUUAAGCAUGAGUACUUACAUAAUCUCAGCCUUUCGAUUUCAAAUCAAACAGUAAAAAAUGACUGCGAACUUUUUAACAAAAGAUAAAUGGUCUUAUUAUAUAAAUUUUCUUAAAUUAAACAUCAUAUUUGGCAUGAUAUAUCUUGUGGCGUCUUUCUCAGAUGAGAUUAAGCAGUAACACCUAAGGGCAUGUUUGAUCUUUUAGAAUAUUGUCGUAAUGUUCCAAGCAAUGUUUUAAAAAUCUGGACUGGUAGAAGGAUCAUUUACCUGCAUAUUUGUUCCAAGCAAUGUUCCAAGCAAUUUUUAAAAAUCUGGACUGGUAGAAGGAUCAUUUACCUACAUAUUUGUGUCAUAUCAUUCGAUCAGUGAUCCGGAUCAGUACAAAUCCAUGAUCUAGAGAAAUAAUAGAAAAUAAAUGAAAUAAAAUAAGGACACAACUAGUAUGCUACCAGUCACAUAUUGUGGAAUGCAGGCUUGGCAAUAAAUAUAAUUUGAUCUUAACUUUUAGAGAAUAUAUAAUCUUUAACAUGGAGAUCAUGACAAUGAAAAAAUAAAUACAUUUUGAAAACUACAAAUAAUAAUUAUGUUAAGAAAACAUUUGCACCGCUAGUGACAAUUGUUUUUAGACCACCUAUAUGCAUCCAUCUUUAAGAUUGAUGCUUUUCACCCCAGGACUGCAUAUUGUAGAAAUGUGGUACAACUCGCAUGAAACAUUUGUUCAUAAAAUAAAAACUAAAAUAAGGAUUUAGAUGGUAGGGAUUGAGAGGGGAUCUAAUAAAAUAUUAAAAAAGAUUAAAGAAAGGAAAAAUAUAUAUAGAGGGGGCUUUAGGGAGAACAUGAUGGGGACCCAUACAUCCUAGACCUAGUUCAAUUUCUACCAAUUCCCAUCUAGAACAGUGAUCCGUAUCGGAAAUUGUUGGAUUUUAAAACACUAGUUCCAAUAGUGGAUUUGUGGUGCUAGGGUCUCCUAAAAUUUACCUUAAGAUUUCUAAAAUCCAUUUUAGUUAUAGAUUUUUGAUGUAAAUUCUAAAUCUUAAAAUUGAGUAUUAAAACUUUGUUGUUUUAGAUAGUUCACAUUAUUUUUUUAAAUAAUAUAUUUUAUAGUUUAAAUUCUAGGCUUUCAUGAUUCAUGAUCAUCAAACCUAUAACCGUAGAUCCAUAAUCCAUUAUAUUUGGAAAGGGUCGCAUAAGAAUAUAAACGCACUAAUUUUUUUUCCUUUGUUUAAUAAUUAAAAAUUAGUGUAAGGUUCUCUUAAGGUGUUGUCUUUAUAUUGUAGAACAGUAGAAGUAAGGCACGUCUCUAAAUUUUGUUCGAAGAUGUAGUUCCAUUGUUGGAAACCGUAUGAUGGCUUGAAAAUCUAUUAUUGUCCCUAGUUAUAAAAUUUUUAAAAAAUAGUACAAAUCAAGUAUAUGUAGAAACAGAUCUAGAAAAACUAGAAAAUCUUGAAAAUAAAUAUUCCACAUAAUUUGUUAUAAGAUGAACUAUUUUUAAUACUUAAAAUUAUUAUUUUUUCAUAUCCAAGAUUGAUCAAAUGGUAGGGUCUUCCAACAUUAGAACACUCUCUUCUAGAUGAUUUUUGAGAUGCAUUUCAAUAAUAUAAAGUUAACAUCUUAUGUAAACGUUUCAUUAUUUUCUAACCUCUGCAAACUUUCUCAAGUAUCAACCCUAGGGCCUCUUUCUGUUUUUUUUUGCCUAUAUCAUUUUUGCCCUCUUCCUCUCUUUUUAUAACUCUUCUAAAUUAUUUUUCCAAAAAAGCUCUUCCACUUCUUCUGGUCUUCUUUUCUUUGAUCAGUGAUUCCCACGCCAAAGUUAAAUAAGGAAAUCAUAGCACAUAGGUAACUACCACACAUUCAUUGCCAAAUAUUUUAUUUAGAGACUUGGAGAAAAUUGAAAUCUAGUGUGAAUACCACACAGUAAAGAGGACUGCAUGGGAAUUCAUGAUUUUAUAAAAGCAAUUUGAAAAGAUAAAAAAAUUCAAGAAAAGAAAACAUGUAAAUUUGAAGUCAAUUUUAUGUUGAGCAUGAAUAUACAAAGGUGUUUUUCAAAAGAAAUGAAACGUUUGAAAACUGACAAUCCAAUUAGAGAAUCGUCGAUUCUAAUUCGAAAUUGGUGGGAACCAACCGGUUCCUUGAUGGAACCAAGAAUUGGUCUAUUUUAUAGGUUGCCCAAUUACGUAAGAGAACCGAGUGAGUCGGUCAGAGAUUAGGUAAUCUAGAUUAGCCAAAUAACUUGGGUUCUACCUAUUUUAUGUUUUAUUAUUCUUUGCCAUUCUUAUUUUUAAAAAUAAUAAAUAAUAUUUAAUUUCUAUGGGACCAGUUUCUACACAAGAGAUUGGGUCCAAUUUAGUCGAGAUUGGCGAUCUAGAUCAGUCCAGCCAUUAACUGCUCCGACAACUCGACCUGCGUUUUAAAAUACAUAAAAAGAGAAGGAUAAAAGCCAUGUACUUUGAAGCAGGGUUUGAAAACUCGGCGAGUCGAAUCGGACUCGCCCGGUUCGACUCGGGAAUCGGCAGUCCCUGUGCCGGUUCCACUACAAUACCGGGAAUCGCCCGUGUUUAGAGAGAACCGGGCGAUUCCCAAUAGUGAAUCGUCGAGUCAUUGUUGAGACUCGUCCAAGAACACGGGCUGCAGAGUGUUUUUCACGAUUUUCAUGGUUUUUUGAUAUUUUCUUAUCAUUUUUCAUAUUUUUCAGCUUUAUAAUUGAAUCUUGCAGGUUUUAUUUUAAAUUUUUCAACUAUUUCAGUCAAUACAAGGUAGUAAAAAUCACCGAUUUUGAUCCAAAAAUUUUGGAUAUGUAAAGAACCGUAAAAACGUUUUAGGGUUCCGCCAUUUCUUUGAUUUCAAGCAGAAGAGGGCAAUUUUUUUUAUAAAAUUUGAGGGUUAAUGGUCGUAAGAGUAUUGUUCAGAAGUUUUUGUUCAUAAUUUAUGAGUAUUUUGGACGAAUACAUAUCAAAUUUGAAUUUGAAGCAACGGGUGCACGAAAAACAAGAAAGAACUGCGUUUUUUUUCUUUUCCCCCUUCUAUCAAAUUCACUCAAUAUUUUACAAAUAAUAUGUUAAAUUUAUAGGCUUUUGAUUCGUUCUAGUGUUGUUUAUCAUCACAUGUAUUCAGUUUGAUUAUAUUUAUUCAAUUUGAGUUUGAUUCUUGAGAAAAAAAGACUGAUGUUUGUGAAGAAAAAAUGGACUGCGUUUUUUCUUUUUUUCUGCCAUUCUAUCAAUUUCACUCAAUAUUUUACAAAUAAUAUGUUAAAUUUAUGGGCUUUUGAUUCGUUAUAGUGUUGUUUAUCAUCACAUGUAUUCAAUUUGAUUAUAUUUAUUCAAUUUGAGUUUGAUUUUUGAUAAAAAAGACUGAUGUCUGUGAAAAAAAAAAACUGAGUUUUUAUUUUUUAUUUAUUUUUUAUUUUUUGCUAUUCUAUCAAUUUCACUCAAUAUUUUGCAAAUAAUGUGUUAAAUUUAUAAGGUUUUGAUUCCUUAAUAGUGUUGUUUUGUAUUCAAUUUGAUCUGAUUUAUUCAAUUUGAGUUUGAUUUUUGAGAUUGAAUGACCGAUGUCUGUGAAGAACUGUUUUUUUUUUCCCUCAAUUCAAUCGAUUUUAUUUAAUAUUUUGAUAGUAAUGUGUUAAUAUUAUAGGGCUUUGGUUCCUUAUAGUGUUCUUUUUCAAAACAUGUAUUCAAUUUGAUGUAAUUUAUUCGAUUUGAGGCGGAUUUUUGAGUUGGAAUGACUGAUGUUAGGUGGGUCUGUGAAGAACUGCGUUUUUUUUUUUUUUUAAUUCAUGAUCAAUUUUUUUGGAAAAUCGUGAUUUUUCGAAAAAUUAUUACCAGUUUUUUAUUAUCAUGAGGAAUUAAAUAAUAUCUUUAAUUUGUAUUGUUAAAGUUUUUGUUCAAAAAUUUGCACGUUGAUAGAUUAUUUAUGAAAAAAAUACAUGUUAUUAUAUUUUUAAUGCAAAAUUGUAUUUUUUAAUUUGUUGUUAAUGCAAAAAAAUACAUUAACAAAUACAUGCUGUUAAACUGUAUUAUAUUUUUAAUACAUUUUUGCAUUAAAAAUGUAUUUUUAGUUUUUAAAAUUUUUAAUGCAAAAAGUACAUGUUGUUAAACUGUAUUAUCAUGAGGAAUUAAAGUGAAUAUCAUUGUAAAAAAAUCGUGGCAUAUAUGAUAAUUAUAUUUUCUUGCAUUUUUCAAUUUUAUUAUUAAAUUUUUAAUGCAAAAAAUGUACGUUCUUGAUAAUUGAGUUGCAGCCAUAUUUGGAGCUUGCAUUUUUUAUUAUAUUAUCUUGCAUAUUUGUAAUUGAGAUGUACAACUAUUUGUGAUCAUUUCAAUUGAGUUGGGAUUGUAGCCACUAUAUCAUUGUAAAUUUUAUUUGUGGCAUUGUGAAUGAUUAUUUCAUUGUAAAUGUUUUUUGUGUCAAAUAUACGUGUAGUGGCAUUAUGGAUGACUAUAUUAGUGUAAUUUUUUUCUUGAUUCUAAGUGUGAUUUAUACAGACUUUUUUUUAUCUAUAAUGUUGCAUAAAUAUUUUUUUUUCUUAGUAGGAACUAAUUCAUGUUUGUCGAAAUGAAGAUUUGUGACAAGUCCAUAUGUAAUGGCAUUGUGAAUUACUAUACUAUUGUAAAUAUAUUUUUUAUUGAUACUAUAUCAAUGUAAAUUUUUUGUUCUAUAUGUAGUGGCUGAUAUAGGCUAUUUUUAUCCAUAAUGUUGCAUAAAUAAAUUAUUUUUCCCAGUAGGAACUAAUAUAUUUUUGUCAAUAGAAAUAUUAUUUGUAAUUCCUGCCAAAGACUGAUAAGUAGUGGGGUACAUAGGUUCAAGCAACACUUGGCAUGGGUUAAGGGAGAUGUUUCUAUGUGCAAUAGUGUCCCUAAUAAUGUAAAAAAGUAGAUGGCGACAUUUUUUAAGGCUACCAAAGGUAAAAAAAUUGCAAAGCAGAGGCUGAAGACGAGAUAGCUAGUUUCUAUAUGCGAUCAAGCGGAAAUGAUCCAAAAAAGCAAUAUAAUAAUGACUUGGAGAUGGCCAAAAGAAUGAGUUUACAGGAAACAUACUAAAGGGAACGCGGGUUUAAAAUGCCUGGUGGUUAUGACAUGGGCAUGCAUGGUGGGCCUAGCUCAGACAUGCAUGGUGGGCCCAACUCUAUCAUGUAUGGCGGACCCAUCUCAAAUAUGUAUAGAGGGGUUGGUGGCAAUAUAUAUCAAGAGGAAUCAAACGUUGAAGAAAUUGUUUCUAGCUUAUCAAUGAGUGCCAGUAUUGCAGGUCAUGGUCGUAUAGACCCAUUUCUCUCAAAGCAUAAGUUAGAACAGAUGACCCUCAAAGGCAUGGUGAAAGGUACGAAAAACAUGUUGGGUAGAUAUGUUGGUAAAUGGUUAUACGAUAAAGGGAUCCCCUUUGAUGCAGCCAAUAACCCAUACUUUCCACCUAUGGUCAACGCAAUCCAGAGAGCCGGGCUCAGGGUAUAACCCCCGAAGGCAUAUGAGCUCAGUGGGCCAAUAUUGGAUGAAGAGGUGGAGGAAGUUAGAAAGUGGAUUGAAGAAUAUAAACAGAAUUGGCCAAGAACAGGCAUUACUCUCAUGAGUGAUGGUUGGUUGAAUAAAGUCAGCAAAAAUAAGUUUUAAAACUUCUUGGCAUAUUCCUCAAAAGGUACAACUUUUUUGUCUAGCAAAGACGUAUCAGGGAUGAAGAAGAAUGCAAAGUUCUACGUAUGACUAUAUGAUCAGAUAGUGGAUGACGUGGGAGAUAAGCAUGUAGUUCAGUUUAUUACGGACAAUGCACGUGCAUGUGUUUCUACAGGCAGCAAGUUGAUGGAUAAGAGGAAGCAUCUAGUAUGGACCCCGUGUGCUGCACACAACAUCGAUCUUAUGUUAGAGGAGAUCGGUGAGAUAAAAAUUGUGAAGGAGACUCUACAGCAAGCGAGGUUGGUAUCAAGAUUUAUAUAUAACUAUUCUAAAAUUUUAUUUUUGUUUAGAGAACAAUCUAAGAAAAAAGAGAUAAUCAGGUCUAUCAUAACCCGCUUUGUGACAGAUUACUUGGCUAUGGACCCCAUUCGGGAAUAUGAAGGUGCAAUAAAGAAAUCGUUUAUCAGUGAAGAGUGAUUACAUGACCGCCUCUCGAAGUCCAGUACCGGGCUAAAAGUGGAUGGCAUAGUCUCAAUAGGAGGUUCUGGUCUCGAUGUUCCAGUAUUGUAGAGGCCACUGCCCCUUCAGUCACGGUGUUAAGAAUAGUGGAUGCUGACAAGAAAGCUACCAUGUGCAUCUUUUAUGAAGGUAUCGAGAGGGUCAAAUCAGCUAUUGGGGAGAAGUGUCGUUUUGCUAGUAAAGUGAUUGAGAUUAUAGAAAGAAAGUGGAACACCAAAUUUGGACGUCCAAUUCAUUAUACAGGUAAAUAUAUAUUUAUAUCAUUAGAAUGUUUCAUUCUAAAUUAUUUUCUUAUAGAAUUUUAAAUGACAUUUCUCUAUCUAUAUAUUUUAUAGGUUACUACUUCAACCCAAAUUUUUUCUAUUUGACACCUGAACAUCCCCACAAGAUUAUGGAAGGGGUCAGAUACAUUAUUGCCAGGUUGGAGAGAAGCCAUCGAAACCAGGUAGUAGCAAUACAAGAGGUAUUAUUUAAUAUUUGGGUAAGAACUUGAUUAAGUUGUUAUAUUUGUGAGGAAUAAUGCACUAAAACGAAAUAUUUUUUUUUAGCUUGCUAUGUAUAGGGAUGCUAUAGGAUCCUUCGGAACUAGACUUGUCAGGAAUUCUUGAACUAAGAUGGAUUCAGGUUAUCUCCUAACUAAUAUUUUGUUCAUUAAUAUAUUUAAUUUUAUGAAUUGUUCUUGCCCUUUCAAUGCUCUUUCCAUUUUAAUCCAGUUAAAUGGUAGGAGAUAUAUGGUAGUGAUGCAGCUCACCUAAAGAGGAUAGCAAUCAAGGUGCUCUCCCAAAGAUGUUCUGCUACGGGCUGUGAACGAAACUGGAGUACGUUCUAAUUGUUGCACACUACUAGGAGGAAUUGACUCGAUUCGGAGAAACAUCAUAAACUAGUCUACAUUCAUUAUAACUUAAACCUCCGAGAGAGACAAAUAAGAAGGAAGCUUGAAGACUAUGAGCUGAUAGACUUGGAUACAAUAUUUCUCACAGACACAGCAGAACAAUUGGUAGUAGAAGAAGAGGAGUCAGUGUUGCACAAGUGAGCGUUCCUUAAGGUUAUUGGUGAGGAAGAUAUUGAAGAAGGUAAUGAGCAACAUGAAAGAUGAAGCAGCCAGCCAACAGAUCUACAAUUCGUUAGAGAUGUCGGUGAUAUUGCACCUAAUGAGAGAGAGUGGGAAGGGGAUCUAAGGGAAAAUGAGAGAGAUGAUGAUUCUAAGGCCACCCAAUCUCAGCCAAAUUAUUCACAUAUCGAGUCUUAACAACAAAAGGGUAGGGAUGAGCACGAUAGUGUAAGUGAGCAUGAAGGAUGGACAAGCUUGGGGGAUUUUGGAUUAAGACCACAAAAAAACACUAACACUCAGGGAUUUGGGUAUAGUCAGGUGCCCACUAAUUUGGAUGAUUCGUUUUUAGAACAAGUCAAUGAAUUGGCAUUAGCGCGACCAAGAUGAAGAACGACGUCAUCUGUAAUUUUAUUUUUAGAUCAUAUGUUAUGAAUUAUAUGCUUUAUUGUAGUCCAUGUAUGAUGAUAUACUUAAUCUAUGAUAAUUCUAUGUUUAUCCUUUUGUGUGAUGUAAAUUAAAUAGUAAAUAGUAGUUUAUGCAGGGAAAGAACAUAUCAAUAUUCACAUAUUCAUGCAAAGAAAGGAAAAUUCUUAAUGGAGUACUCUCAUUUCUUAUUGAAUUCCUAAAAAACAACAUUUAUAAUGAAUUUUAAUAAUUAUUUUUUUUUUUAAGUUUUAUUAUUACCGAUUCAGUAGAUUCUCGAUCCGGAAAGCCGAUUCGCCAAUCCGGGUGGGUUUUUGAUAUGCCCGAUCCAGGUCGCCGAUCCACUUUUUGAACCACUGCUUUGAAGUGUAUGAAGUAUGGUAAGAUCUUAUACUACUAUUAGAGAGAAAAGGUAUGUUAAAAUUUUUGAGAGAACGUGCCAAAAAAUGUUAGACAGAUAAUCUCAAAAUUUUAGAGAAAGAAACUCUCUCAAAUUUCAAGUUUUGGAGAGAAACGAUCAGAUUUUAGAGAGAAAAAGUAUAUCAAAUUUUCAAGGAGAGAAACUAUUUGAAAAUUUUUAGAGAGAGAAACAAUCUCAUAUUUUAAUUUUUAGAUAGAGAAGCUAUAUCAAAUUUUAGAGAGAGUACCUAAAAAGUUUUAGAGAUAGAAAUAGCUCAAAAUUUUGGAAGGAGAAACUUGCGAAAUCUUAAGUUUUGAGAGAUAAAGUAUUCUUAAAAUUGUAGAGAGAGAAAUUAUUCUUAAACUUUUAGAGAGAAAUUAUUAUAAAUUUUAGAAAGAGAAACUGCAAAAAAAAACAUUUAGAAAGACAAAUAUCUCAAGUUUCUUAGAGAGAGAAUCUAUCGCAAAAUUUGUGUUUUAGAGGGAAACUAUCUUGAAUUUUUAGUUUUAGAGAGAGAAAGUAUAUUUAAAUUUUAGAGAUAGAAAUUCUAUCAAAUGUUAAAAAGAGAAACUACCUAAACAAAUUUAGAGAUAGAAACUAUCUCAAAAUAUUUGGAGAGAGUAACUAUCAUAAAAUUUAUGUUUUAGAGUGAGAAAUUGUCUUAAAAUUCUAGAGAGAUGAACUAUAUCAAAUUUUAGAUAGAGAAAGUACAUAAAAUUUUUAGAGAGAGAAACUAUCUCAAAGAUUUUUAAGAGAGAAACUCUCAAAAUUUAAGUUUUGCAAAGAGAAAGUAUCUCAAAAUUUAAAUCUUACAUAGAGAAAGUAUAUCAAAUUUUAGAACGGCACUAUCAAAUUUUAAAGAGAGAAACUAUCUGAAAUUUUAGAGAGAGAAACUAUGUCAAACUUGAAGUUUUAGAUAGAGAAAGCAUCUUAAAAUUUAAGCGAGUAUCUAUAUCAAAUUUUAGAGAGAGAAAAUACAUAAAAAAAUUUAGAAAGAGAAACUAUCACAAUUUUUAGAGUGAAAUUAUCUCAAAUUUUAACUUUUAGAGGGAGAAAGUAUCUUUAAAUUUGAGAGAAAAACUGUCAUAUUGUAGAUAGAGAAACUACUGAAAAAAAUAUUUAGAGAGAGGAAGUAUCUCCAAAUUAUUGAAGAGGGGAACUAUCUCAAGUUUUAAAUUUUAGAUGGUGGGUCUCUUAAAAUUUUAGAAAGAGGAACUUUAUUAAAUAUUAUAAAGAGAAGCACCUACAAAUUUUAGAGAGAGAAACUAUCUCAAAAAUUUUAGAGAAACAAUUUCAAAUUUUAACUUUUGGAUAGAAAGUAUAUUAAACUUUAGAGAGUGAAACCAUAUCAAAUUGUAGAGAGAGAAACUUUUUCAAAAUUUUUAUAUAUGCACUGUCCCAAAUUUUGAGUUUUUGAGAGAGAAAGUAUAUUAAAAUUUUAGAGAGAGAAAUUGCAUCAAGUUUUGUUAUCAAACAAUAGACAUAGAAGUGAAUGUAAAAAAUCCAUGAAGUUUGUAGAGUUUAUCCAAACAAGAUAUUUAGAGAAUCUCUGAAAAAAUUCCUUGAUAUUGAAAAUCCAUGGAUUUAUUUGGCUUUCAAAUAUUUAAGUUUCAGGGCCUCAUUGAGUACAUGGAUUUUAAGGUAAAGAAUCCUAAUAUCUUGGAUAUUGUCAAAAUCCACUUGUUUGGUUUGUUUAAUGACUAAGAUACUUAAAAUUAGGAAAAUCAAAAUCAUGGAAAUAAAGCCUAUUUUCUAUGAUUUCAUUUCCAUACCAAAAUCUGCUUUUUGUAUUUCUAAGGUCCAUGGAUUUCACUCAAUCGCAGCCUCGACCCGAAACAUAGGGAGCAUUUGGUAGGUAUGAAAAUUUCAGAGAGAGAAAGUGCCUAAUUUUUUUAAAGUACCUAAUUUUUUUAAAGAGAUAAACUAUCUCAAAAUUUUUAAAGAGAAAAAUAUCUCAAAAUUUUUACAGAGAAAAACUAUCUCAAAUUUAACUUUUAGAGAGAGAAAGUACGUUAAGUUUUUAGAGAGAGAAAGUAUGUUAACAUUUUAGAGAGAGAAAGUAUCCAAUUAUUUAGAGUGAUAAACUAUCUCAAAAUUUUAGAGAGAAAAACUAUCUCAAAUUUUAACUUUUAGAGAGAAAAAGUAUGUUAAAAUUUUAGAGAGAGAAAGUACGAUAAAAUUUUAGAGAGAUGAACUAUCAAAAUUUUUAGAUAGAUAAACUAUCUCAAAAUUUUAGAGAGAGAAACUUUCUUAAAUUUUAAGUCUUAGAGAUAAACUAUCAUAUUUUAGAGAGAGAAAAUGAAUGCAAAUUUUUAGAGAGAGAAGCUUUCUCAAAUUUUAGAGAGAGAAACUAUUUCAAAAUUUUUAGGGAGAGAAACAAUAUGAUGUUUUAAUUUUUAGAGAGAGAAAUUAUAUCAAAUUUUAGAGAGUACCUAAAAAGUUUUAAAAAUAAAAACUAUCUCAAAAAUUUUUAGAGAGAGAAACUAUAUCAAAUCUUAAGUUUUAGAAAGAGUAUUCUUAAAAUUGUAGAGAGAGAAAAUAUUCUUAAACAUUUAGAGAGACACUAUUAUAAAUUUUAGAAAGAAAAAUGGCCAAAAAAAAAUUUAUAGAGAGAAAUAUCUCUUUCUUUAGAUAGAGAAACUAUCUCAAAUUUUGAGUUUUAGAGAGAAACUAUCUCGAAUUUUUAUUUUAGAAAGAAAAAAUAUAUUAAAAUUUUGGAAAUAUAAAUUAUAUCAAAUUUUAGAUAGAGAAACUACCUAAAAAUUUUAGAGAUAGAAAUUAUCUCAAAAUUUUUGGAGAGAGAAACUAUCGUAAAAUUUAUGUUUUAGAGAGAGAAAGUAUAUUAAAAUUUUAGAGAGAUAAACUAUAUCAAAUUUUAAAUAGAGAAAGCACAUGAAAUUUUUAGAGAGAGAAAGUAUCUCGAAUUUUAAAAUUUAGAGAGAGAAAGUAUAUGAAAGUUUAGAGAGACACUACAUGAAAUAUUAAGGUGAGAAACUAUUUCAAAAUUUUAGAGAGAGAAAAUAUCUCAAACAUGAAGUUUUAGAGAGAGAAAGCAUCGUAAAAUUUAAGAAAGUAACUACAUCAAAUUUUAGAGAGAGAAAAUACAUAAAAAAUUUUAGGAAAAAAAAUUAUCGCAAAAUGUUUAGAGAGAAAUUAUCUAAAAUUUUAGCUUUUAAAAAGGGAAAUUAUCUUAAAAUUUGAGAGAAAAAUUAUCAUAUUUUAGAGAGAGAAACCACUUAAAAUGUUUAGAGAGAGAAACUAUAUCAAAUUUAUUAAAGAGGGGAAAAUUAAUGCUUCGAUACCAAUUGAUGCAGAGAGAAAAUAACACUAGAAAAUAAAAAGAAAAUGUUCGAGAGAAUAUACCAUCUCUCAAAGUCUGAGAGGGAAUCCUUUCCAAAAAAAUCUUUACGAGACCAAAUUUUAUUAACUCAUUCACUACUUUACAAUGAAGGAAAAUCUCUCUUUAAAUAAGCUAAAAAAAUAAAAAAAGUAGAUAAAUAACUGACUUUCCUAUUUUAUCUCAUCUCUAUCUCUCUUAACCUAUUUUAUCUCAUCUCUAUCUUCUCUCUUAAAUUCGCGUGCCACUCACGUUUUACUCAUGGUUGAAAAGAUAAACCCCUACAUUUUACCCAAAGCUAUUGUUGAAAAGAUAAACCCCGUAGAUCUAACCUUAUCCUAUUUAUACUCAUAUUUUUUAGAAACUAACAAACCCCAUUCAUGAAUAAUACAUAUUUCCCCAAUAAUACAUUACGCACAAAAUCUUCCCUCCUCCCAAAUCUAACUUGACUUAUCCUAGAACAAUUUCUAUUAAAAAAUAAAAUAAAAAUUAAACCUCAAUUUUCCUCCUCCCAAAUUAACUUGACUUAUCUUAGGACAAUUUCUAUUAAAAAAUAAAAUAAAAAUUAAACCACAAUUUUAUUUGCAUGAGGAACUAUCUCAAGUUUUAAAUUUUUGAGAGAGAGAGAGAGCCUUAAAAUUUUAGAAAGAGAAACUGUAUUAAAUUUUAGAGAGAGUAAAGCACCUACAAAUUUUAGAGAGAUAAAUUAUCACAAAAUUUUUAGAUAGAUAAUUUCAAAUUUUAAAUUUUGGAUAGAAAGAAAUAUAUUAAAUUUUAGAGAGACAAACCAUAUCAAAUUUUAGAGAGAGAAACUAUCUCAAUUUUUUUAUAGAUACACUAUCCCAAAUUUUGAGUUUUAGAGAGAGAAAGUAUAGAAAAUUUGUAGAGAGAGAAAUUGUUUCAAGUUUUGUUACCAAAUAAUGGACAUAGAAGUGAUUGUAACGGAUCCAUAAAUUUUAUAUAAUUUAUCCAAACAAGAUAUUUGAGGAAUCCAUGACAAAAAUCCUUCAUACUGAAAAUCCAUAAAUUUCUUUGGAUUUUAAAUAUCUAAGAUUCUUAAUUUCCUCUUAUCCAAACGGGUCCUUAAGGUUUUUCUGAUUUUCAGAUAUUGGAAAUCCAAAAUUAAGGAUUAAGUUGUUUUUUUAAAAAGUAACUUAAUUCUUAGUUCCAAAAUUUAGAUAUCUAAAAGUAAAAAAAAAAAAUAAAUAAAUAAAUCCGGCUUUGAGAUUUUGAAUAUAAAAAAUUUAAAAAAAUUAAAAAAUUCUUUAAUUCUAAUAUUCAACAUCCAAAAAUUAGGAAAAAGUUUAAUUUUUUGAGUUUUAGAUUUUGAAUAUCUGAAUAUUAAAAAAAUAACUUAAUCCCAAAUGAGUUUCAUUUUAGAUCUUAAAGGUCCGAAAUUUGCGCAAUUUGGUCAUUUUGAAAAAUAAUAAUAAUAACGGUAUAAACAUAAUAGAAAAAUUUAAAUGUGUUUUAAAUAGGGAAAAAUUUAUAUAACGUUGCAACCUUAAAACGUAGAAUUACAGAUGCACCUCAAAAAUCUAUCGGAAAGGUUGUUUUAAUGUUGAAAGACCCUCUAAUCGAUCAUCUCUAUGUCAAGAUGUACGAAUAUGAAAAAAAAAGUUUUUGAGUAUCAUAAAUAGAACAUCUUGCAACACAUUAUCUAGACUGUCUAUUUUCAAGAUUUUCAUAUGUCUAUAGAUCUACUUGAUUUUUACCUUUUUUGGAAUUUAAAAUUUUCUAAUUACAUAUGAAAAUAGAUUUUAAGAUAAUUUUAAGAAAUUUUUACAGCAAGAUUACAUUUUAUGAUAAAAUUUGGAGGUGUGCCUUAAUUGAAUUGUUUAAGGUUGCAACCUUAUAGAAACCGCACCCUUUUAAAUAACAUAUAUUAUAGGAGAUGCUUGCAAGCAGUAUGAUACCUAAAAUGCCCUUUGUAAAAUGGUGAAUAAUUGAAAUAAAAUUAUAACUAUAAAAGGGUUAGUAUUACCUUAUGCUAUAAAGACCUUGUUUAAAAAACUUGGAAAUUAUACCACCCCGAACUACAAAAGUUUAGGGGGAAUCAAUUCAUGUGAUUUUCUUGCGUGAAAAUGAGGUCCAUGAUAUACAAGGAGGUAUUCACCCUCUGUUCUCGAUGAAUAGCUAUUGAGAUUAAUCGUAACUAAGCAAGUGACCAUCAUCAUGAACUACAAUUAAUCUUUGUGGAAACUGCAAACAAAUAAGUUAUUUUUUAGAAGCUCCGAACAAUUAGUAAAUUGGAACCCUUGUGUCAUUUAAUAGAGUUUUAUUUUAUUUUAUUUUAUUUUAUUUUAUUUUAUUUUUUCUGAUAAAGCUUUAUUAAUCGAGAACUAAAAAGAAAUUACAGAGUCUGAGACGAUAGUCUCAAUUAAAGAAGUACCUCUAUUGGCAAGGAGGUUUGCUAAACCAUGGACUUAAUGAAAGACAUGCACAAAGAAGAAAAGGAAAGGUCUAGACAUAUCCCAUUUGCAAUAAAAUGGACCGAAGUUCUCAAGGUGGUUCUUGCUCCAUAUUGCACCACUUAAUGACAUUCAGGGCGUGUUUGAUGAGUAGAAGUUUCCGGAAGUGGGAGUUAAAUGUCCCAUUUCCAUGUUUGAUAUUACAGUGUGGAAGUUGUAAAGUAGAAGGGCAACCCUCUUUACAGCUUUUUUUUUAGUGUUAAAAUGGGUUCAUUUUUGGAAGACCUAUCUUCCAUAAAAAUGAUGGAAGAGCAGUCUUCCAUAAUUUGUGGGAGAGUCCCUUCCACUCCCAAAAAUUCCAUGUGUCAAACACAUCCUUAGAGAAUCACCUUCCACCACACAAAAGGUUCCAAAAUUCCUUGCCACAAAAAGUUCUAAUCCAUAGAAGAGAGCCAUCAAUUCCGCAUCAUUUGCAGUUUUGUCUCCUAGUGGUGUAGACACCUCAUUUUAAAUCUGAAACCUUUAGGACCUCAUUAUCCUAAUAGACCCAAUUUAAUUACCUUAAAAUUACCCAAAUCCUAUCCCAACUUGAAGUAGAGCCCAAGAGCUUUCCAAAGGUCUAAGAAUCGCCUGAAUCGGACCUAUGGAUAAAAAGAUAUAACAAAUGACAAUUUAAUCCCUGUGAGACCUAGCCGUCGGGCCGCUGGCUGGGCUGUAACUGGCUCGACAGGCCCAGAUGUGGGCUGAUGAUGCAGUCAACAAUUGAAUAUUAUAAAUAACCAAUUGAAUAUUAUAAAUAACCCCUCUCCUUAACCCAAAAAGAGAGAGACAAAGAGACAAAAAAAACUUUAAAAUUCUUGAAAUUAGGAAAAUUAUCCAAAAAUAAGAAAAACCCUUAGAAAAUUUCUAAAAAUUUAGAAAAAAUCCCAAAAAAUUAAAAAAAUCUCAAAAUUCAUAUUCAAUAUUUGGAGAUCUAAAAACUCUUAAAAAGCUAAGGAAAUUCUCCUCCAGACCCCACAAAAGACUGACAGCUUUAGAAAAAUCUUUAGAUUGAAAACCUUAAAGAAGAUAGAAACCCUAGCUUCCUGAAGUCCUAACACCCAAGACUGAGAAAACCUAAACCUAGGGCACAAAAACUCUAGAUCAAAACAAGAAUUAGUGCACAAUAAUCCUAGAUCUAACCCUUUACACCAAAGAUUUACUAGUCAACAUCCGAAUCAGAGAGUCAAAGAGGACCGGUUCUGAUACGGGUGAGCCCUCGAAGGCUCGGGAAUCGUGGGGCAUCCGCCCCGAUUUGGUAUUAUUUAUUCCUAUCUAUUUCUUCUUCUUUUUACUGUUUUGCUUCUUUUAUUUAUUUUUGAUAUGUUAACUUGUCUUUAAAAUCGUAUUUUAAUGCUUUAGAUCAUGCUGGCUCUGCCAUAAAUCUGAGAGUAGAUCUGCUCAUUUUUGGAUAAAUUUGGCCUCAGAGCUAAAUUCAAUUUGUCACAUUUUCUCUACCACUUCAUUUACAUCUUUUUAAUUAGUUUAAGGUGUUAAAAUUCGAGAAAUUGUCAUCGGAAGAGAUUUUCACAUAAACAGUUUGAUACCCACUGUGGGGCUAUUUUGAGCUUGAUCCAAGCUUCAAAAUAAGAUUUUUAUUCACUAUUUUUAGUCACAAAAGGUCCCAAAAGUCGGUUGUGACCAGAAUCUAGGGUUUUGGUGCUUCGAAACCCUGCUUUUUCUAGGCGACACUUCAAGUGUUGCCCAAAUUCAAAGGUCUCAUAAAUAUCUGGAACUUUGUGGAUUUGUUUAACGGCUCUUUUGUGACUGCAAAAAAAAAUUCAAAUCAAAAUAAAAUUUUUAAAAAUACAAAAAAAAUAUUUUUUAGUUUAAUCUAGGCUUUUCUAUUUUACUUUAUUUUAAUUUAUUUCAUCAUAAAUAUUUUCAUUUCUUGUUUCUUUCAAGUUUAAAUUAGUCUUAUUUCAUCAAUAUUAACAAGAUAAAAAUAUAAAUAAUAGUAAAAAAUAUUUUUUUGAGCGACACCAGCCAUGUCGCUCAACAUGCAAGGGCGACACCACUAGUGCCGCCUAGGCGACACCACCCAUGUCGCCCAACUGCAAGUGUCUUAGAAAUAUUCUGAGACCCCACAAGACCAUUCCAUGGACUUUUGACUCCUUGUUGACCAAUGUUUUAUCUAAAAUAAAAUUUUUAAAAGUAUAAAAAAGUAUAUUUUGCUUCAGAUAGAUCUGUUAUGUUUUUGCGCUUUUUUAUUUUAUUUUAGUUUGUUAAUUUUGACUGAAAUCAUAUUUUCUUUGCUUUCACCAUGCUCAGUUUAAUUUUGUUUCAUCAAAAUUAAAAAGAAAAAAAAUUAAAAAAUUAAAAUAAAAAUACAUUUGGGUUGCUUACCCCUCCAAACCUAGACCCACUCUUGGUCCGAGCCGAGACUCAUGUACCAUCUAGUCUAGAUCUUAGUUUAGGUUCUAGCAUUGGUCUAAGCUUAAGAGUUGUCUCUAGAGCUAGACUAGGCUUACCCUAGUUUAGGAUCUUAACCAAAAUCCAUUGAGUCUAGUAAGUCUAGGUUCCAAUCUAGUCUUAACCUAGGUCUUAGCUAAGGUUUUUGCCCCUAGUGUCAGGCUAGGUUUGCCCUAAGUCGUCAAGAUUAGAUCUUACCUACGUCUAGAUUUUAGAACCCAGCCAAAAGCAAUCACCAUGUCAGUCACUCAAGGCGAUCAUGAUGAUUACUCCACGGUUGACUCUAAGUCUAACCAACCCAAACUUAGGGAAAAUUAUGCUGCAAUCCCUUGGAGUUAUCAACAGACCUCAGAACAAUUCAUUAUCCAACACCCAAGUCUUCAAUUAGAGGCAGAGUCCGAAGCAUCCACUCAUAAUCAUGAGAUCUGUGUGGCUUGAAAAGACGGCUUCGGACAAAAAGCCGGCUCCGCCCGAAAAACCUUGAAUAGUCAGGAAGUUCAAUCAUGCGUCGUCCUACAAGGGAUUUUAGGCAACCAAAGUAGAAGUCGAGUGAGGGAAGAAGAUCAUGCAACAUCUAAAGCCAAUUCCCGUAACUCGAACCAAGAUAACUCUAAGGUGCAGUGAUCUCAAAACCAAGACCCACCUAGGUUUAGGGGAUCUAACCCAACCUCGAGCCACCAUAGUACAGCUCAUGAUGUCUUGAACACUGUACGAAGUAGAGGUGCGACUCAAACUGAUCCUUAGGCGAGAUAGGCGUCCAAGCUGCCCUCAAAAUUUUAGUUGACCUAGGUUACACUAUUCAUGCCCUAGCUUAUGGGUCGAUCCCAAACCAAGUUAGUGGUAUAGGUCAACCCUUAGCACAGUCAAGUUAGCCUUUUCUUCAAUCGGUCCCUCUCGUUCAUCCGGUCCAACAAACCGUGUAAUUUUCGCAACAGGUGGUGACACUUAUGGAUAAGUACGCCCCUCAGGUACUAAUGUAUCAAACUACCUCGGUGACUGCAGCUCAUCGAUCUCAGACCCAUGCAGGCCAACAUAUAUCCCAAGUUUCAACUUAUCAGUCUACGCUUGGGAACCCACCAACCAAUCGGCCUACUGCCAUGCCAAAUAUUAAACAAGAAGGCACCUUAAAAGCAAUGCAAGAUAUGUUUGUAAGAAUGGGUAUGCAUGAAAUUCUACCCCCAAAGGCCUAUGUUCAUGAGACCCUUGGAGGCAUGGAAGACCUUCCCCUGGGAUUGUCGUCCCAGAAUUCAGAAACAAGAUCAAUGGGAAGAGCGAUCCAGAUACUUACAUCAACACAUACCGCCUCUCCAUUUGAGCUUUGCGAGACCGACUUAACCAACUGAACACCAUCUUUUCACCAACAUUGACUGGUGAGGCCAUGAACUAACAUUGGAGAACAAUAUCCGCUGGACCACACAUCGUUGCAGACGAAAUGUUCAACCUAUUCGUCUCUCACUACUGCGGGUCGACACCAAGACCUCUCUCCAUGGGUGAACUCAGUAAACCAAAACAAAACCCAGGAGAAUCCUUCGAGGAUUUCAUCUGUUGAUUCUUCGAGGCCGCAAUGCGGGUCAUAGAAUGUCCACUUACAGACCUAGCCAAGAUCUCCAUAGUCUUGAGAAUGUUGCUCUCGAAUACAUGACCUUCUUCAGCUAAGAUCUCAUCCCCCACUCUUUUGACUCCAUGAUCGAGCGGGUCGCGCGACAUGAAAGAGCCAGAGGGAUACCUCUCAACACCAAGCUCGAUAACAGCUCCCCAAAAUAAGAACGAAAACAAGGGGAAUGCUUCCGGUCAGGUUAAUGAGAUCGUCGUUAACAGAUCGACCCAAGGUUCAGCUGCUCAAUGCAACAAUCAGAAUCAAAACUGAAGCGGUCAGCCUAGAGCCAAUGCUCAAAAUAAUAACCAAAGGGGAGAGGAUAAUUUCACCCCUCUCAAAGACCCAUUAGAAAAAGUGUUGGAAUUACUCUUGGUUAAGAAUAUGGUUUAUCUCCCGCCACCAAUUGAACCACUAUUUCAAGUCACGACUUCUCAGGUUACAACCAGAUCUUCAUGGCAAAAGACCAGACCAAGACUUUGUUCAUAAUGCAAUGGGGAACUUACUACUACAAAGUCAUUCCUUUCGGCCUAAAAAAUGUAGGGGCAACUUAUCAGCGGGCAAUGACUAGCAUCUUCCAUGACUUAAUGCACAACAUCAUGGAAGACUAUGUUGACGACAUUCUGAUCAAGUCGAAGACCAAGUUUAAUCAUCUCACCAACCUGAGAACCAUUUUCGAAAGACUCCAGAAACAUCAACUCAAACUCAAUCCACAAAAAUGUGCCUUUGGGGUUGAAUUCGACAAAUUACUAGGCUUUAUAGUAAGCCAAAGAGGCAUUGAGGUGGACCCAUCCAAAAUAUGAGCAAUCACUGAAAUGCCCUCUGCCUAGAACAUUAGAGAAAUUCGUGGCCUGUAGGGUCAGCCAUAAGGCAUUUCAUCUCACAACUAGCAAAAAAGUACGCGCUGUUUAAUAGACUACUCAAGAAAGAUACCCCAUUCAUAUGGGAUAAUGAGGGCCAAUAAGCGUUUGAUCAAAUCAAGGAGUACCUCACAAAACCUCCCAUCCUUAGUCCUCAUAGUCUAAACAAACCCCUGUUCCUAUACAUGUCAGUGAGAGACAAGACCAUGGGGGCAAUGUUACGACAAUACGAUGACCAUGGAAAAGAAUAAACGAUAUACUAUAUCAGCAAGACUAUGGUGGACUAUGAGACAAGAUAUACAGACGUGGAGAAGCACUGCUUGACGCUUGUGUGGGCCAUGCAGAAGUUAAGACACUAUGUCUUAUCUCAUUCAGUCAAGCUCAUCUCUAGAAUAGACCAACUCAAGUACUUAUUGGAAAGACCAGUCAUUAAUGGACGUUUGACAAAGUGGAGAAUGCUAUUGAGCAAGUUCAAGAUUGAAUAUGUUACUCAAAAGUCGAUCAAAGGACAAGCCAUUGUUGACCACUUAGCUGAACAUGCACUGCCAAAUAACACUCCCAUCAACAUGGAUCUCUCUAAUGAGAACCUCUUCACAAUUGAGGAAUCAAUUUGGGAGCUAUACUUCGAUGGUGCAAGGCAUGAAUACGGGUCAGGUAUGAGAGUCAUACUAUGCUCACCCGAGAAGACUUUAAUACCAACAGCCAUCAGAAUGAAUUUCCCAUAUACCAAUAACGUUGCUGAAUAUGAAGCCUUAAUAGCCGGGCUCGAGAAUGCCAUGGGAAUGAAAACAAUUACAAGUGAUUGGUGACUUCUUACUCGUCAUAAACCAAGUUCAAGCGAUUUGGAAGGUGAAAGAAGAAAAGCUCAAGCUCUAUCAAGAAAAGGUGAAAAAGAUGAUCCCAUAUUUCAAGAAAAUCACCUUUCAGCAUGUAACUAGGAAAAAUAAUUGGUUCGCUGAUGCCUUUGCGAAAUGAUUGAUAUUCCUCCAGAAAUCACCACGCUGCCAUUCUUUAUUAGAACAAACAUGAUCCUUCCCUACCAAGGAUUGAAGAAGAGAAAGAGCAAGAAAAUGAGAACGAUGGGGAAGUGUCUCUCAUGGCUUCAAAUGCGUUAGUUAAGGUAAAACCAUGGUUCCACGAUAUUCUAUCCUUGCUGAAAGAUGAGUUAUACCCUGAAGGAGCCAUCAAAAAGGAUAAAGAAGCCCUUCGAAGGUUUUCUGUGGGAUUCUUAGUAAGAGGAGAUCUCAUGUUCAAAAAGUCCUUCGAUGACAUCAUUCUACGGUGUCUUGAUCAACUAGAAAUCAACCAAGUACUGACAGAGUAACACAAUGAAGGAGGUCAUUCUGACGCAGCCGCCUUAGCUCAAAAAAUCAAGCGCCAAGGCUAUUACUGGACCACCAUAAAUGAAGAUUGUUGGUAGUUCGUAAAGAGGUGUCUCAAAUGUCAGCUUUAUAGAGACCUCAUCUAUGCACCAUUCGUACCACUCAACUCAACACCACCUGUAUGGGCCUUUGCCAUGUGGGGUCUUGAUAUCAUCAGAAUGAUCUCACCAAAAGCCUCAAACAACUACCAUUUUAUAUUAACAACUACAGAUUACUUCACCAAAUAGGUAAAGGCCGCAUCAUUUGUCAAAAAUUGAGGGACAACAUGUUGCCCGUUUCAUAAAGAACAAUAUUGUAUUCAGGUUCGGUGUUCCUGACUGACAAUGGAUCCAAUCUCAAAAAUGAAAAGGUCUUUAAAGUGUCCAAAAAGUUUGGAAUAAUGCAGAAAUUCUCCACACCCUACUACCCUCAAGGAUAUGGACAAGCGGAGGCUACAAAUAAAUGACUUCUCAGAAUUAUAAACAGAAAAAUAGAAGGUGGAAAACAUUGACACGAAAGGGUAAAUGACGUGCUAUGGGCUAUCUGACAAUGGAGAAGACUCCUACUGGUAUGACCUCGUACUCAUUGGUAUAUGGUAUGGAAGCAGUGUUACCCAUUGAAGUUGAGAUACCGUCUCACUGAGUGCUUUUUCAUAAAGAUUCAGAUGAGGAACAAAAGAUCGAAGCACGAAUUGCUGCCCUCGUUAAUUUGGAUGAAAGACGACUACGAGCAAUACAAAAUAGUGGUUCUUACCAGCGUAGAAUAGAAAGGGCAUACUAAAGUAAAAUUGUUCCUCAAUAGUUCAGGGAAGGGGAAAAUCUUCCACACUCUUGCAAACCCACACCCUUUAGGCAAGUUCAAACCUAAUUGGAGGGGCCAUUCAUGGUCACCCGAAUGCACAUAGGCAAUUCUUACAAGUUCAAGAAUCAGGAGGGGUGCGAGCUUAACGACCCCAUCAAUGCAAUGUAUCUUAGAAAAUACUACCCAUAACAGGCUCAAAAGCGUGGUGAAAACCUGAAAAUGCAUAAAAAAAAAAGAAAAAGAAAAAAGAAGGAAAAAUAAAUAGACGUGGUGAAAACCUGAAAGGGCAUCAAGGGUAAAAAAUGAAAAAAAAAACAAGAAAAAAAAAAUCUCCAAGAAGGAGCUUCUGAUUCAAAAACACUCAAGUACAAAUAAGGACUUGCAAGUUCCAACAAUACGAUACAAGCAGACCUUGAGGAUGAAGACUCCUCCUAAAAUGUACAGGCUCCCAACAUAACCAACUCAGAAAGAUGCGGGAGCGUGAUAUGAAUGGGAAACCGAAGUGACUUCGACGAAUCUUAGAAGAACAUUGAGACCUCUCCAAGAUGGAAGCUCAGCAAGAAUUCAAAGAACUCUUCAUGGACCCACGAAGCACAGGAUGAAGCUCUAAUGGUAAAAAGAUAACUUCGAGACUUUUGAGUUCUCACGAUCUCACAAAGGGGCCACAAGUUGCAAAACUGUAAGGCCCGUCCCUUUUAAAAUCGCCUUUUCAAUUAGAAAGGACUUUCUCCAUGACUACAAGAGGUUAAACUGUUAGUAGAUCUGGCCUUGUUCUAGAAGCCAACUUUCUUUGUCUGGUUUGAAGGUUUGAAACUAUCCAGGCUCUCCAUGGUUGUAUGAGUAUAACUACCAACUACCACAUAUCGGAGAUGGGUGAACCUUGCCAAUGAUGAUAUUGGCUAGUUUGGGAGCGUUUUUCUCUCGACUGGAUUCCCUGAGGUGAAAUGAGGCAAGCUCAUCCCCAUGGGUAUGAUGUCCCAAAGUCCAAUUCAAAAAAAUUUCAAACUCGCGCAAUGUAAAAGAGCUGAGACAGGAUAAACGUCAAACUCGUGCAAUGUAAAAGAGCUAAGACAGGAUAAGCGUCAAACUUGUGCAACGUUAAAGAGCCGAGACAGGAAAAAAUGUCAAACUCAUGCGACGUUAAAAGAGUCGAGAUAGGAAAAAAAUGUCAAACUUAUUCGACAUAAAGAGCCGAGACAGGAAAUAUAUCAAACUCGUGCGAUGUUGAAGAGCCGAGAUAGGAAAAAAGUCAAACUUGUGCAACAUUAAAGAGAUGAGACAGGAAAGACGUCAAACUCAUGUGACAUAAAAAGAGUCGAGGCAGAUAUCGUAUGACGUAAAAGGUCAGGUGCAUUCAGGGCACAACCACUCUGUUUAAUGGAAGGACGGGUGUAUUCAGGGCACAACCACCCUCUAUGACGUGAAAGGUCGGGUGUAUUCGGGGCACAACCACCCUGUAUGACGUGAAAGGUCUACCCUAUAUAACGUGAAAGGUCGGGUGUAUUCAGAGCACAACCACCCUGUUUAAUGGAAGGACGUCAAACUCGUGCGACAUAAAAGAGCCAAGACAAGUAUCGUCUAUUCUAGUUUGACGUGAAAGGUCGGUGUAUCCAGGGCACAACCACCCUGUUUCAAUAGAAAAACAUCAAACUCGUACAAUGUAAAAGAGCCGAGGUAGGUAUCAUCUAUUCCCAUAUGACGUGAAAGAUCGGGUGUAUCCAGAGCACAACCACCCUGUUCAAUGGAAAAACAUGAAACUCGUGUGACGUAAAAGAGCCGAGACAAGUACCGUCUAUCCCCGUAUGACGUGAAAGAUCGGGUGUAACCAGGACACAACUACAUUGUUCGAUGGAAAAACGUCAAACUCGUGCGACGUAGAAGAGCCGAGGUAGUUACUGUCUAGCCCUAUAUGAUGCAAAAAGGUCGGGUGUAUUCAGGGUAAAACCACCCUAUCUGACAUAAAAAGGUCAGGUGUAUGGUUCAUAGCUGCAUGACGCUAAACUACUUAGAGGGCUCUAUGGUUGCAGGAGUUAAAACUAAUAACCAACCUUUUUUUUCUAAAUAUCUUUCUCUAUUCAAAAUUUUCACUAUAUGUCUUAUGUUUUGCAAAAACUUGAAUUUCUUUGUUAAAACCAUAAGCUGUCUUUGCUCUGGGUUCUAUUUCAAAUCUCCCCCUACCUUCAAAAAUUCUAAAAAAUUCUUAAAGAAAUGAAGGAGCUUGGACACCUGUAUAUGAUGAUUAUCGUAUUGUCACGAUUGCCGCGUUGCUGCCUCGUCUCUCACUUCGAAUUCUGUCAAACAAGUCUCUCUCUAUAGAAAGCCUUUUCCUAUAGACAGCCUUAAGAAACCCUAAGGAGAUCAAAGAAAAUGCCAGGGUUAAAAAUUCAAACUACAAAAACCCCUGAAGUUAAGUGGCGUGGCUAGAAAAUCCAACUCGAGUUUCAAGCUUGCGUAACUCACCGACAUCUCACGUCGAAAACCCUAAGAGGAAAAAUGCCCUAGGUAGGUAAGCUCGGUGUGCACAACGACUUGGCGGGAUAGUUGGUGUGCCCACUGACCACAUGACCUCAAGAAGAAAUUUAAAAUGUUUGCUUUAUCUUUGACGUUCACCUGCCCCUCGAAGGACAGUGAACGCCAAAGCGUCUACUUCUUUGCCACUCAUCUAUCCCUCGAAGGACAGGGUGUGCCAAAGAGGGGCAACUAUAAACACCCCAUUUUAAAUCUAGUAAAUUCUAUGGUUUUUUGAACCCUUAAGACCUCAUUAUCCUAGUAAAUAAAAUUUAAUUAUCCCAAAACUACCCAAAUCCUACCCAACAUGAAGUAGAGGCCAAGAGCUUUCCAAUGGUCCAAGAAUCGCCUGAAUCUUAUAAAUAUCCCCUCUCCCUAACCCAAAAGGAGAUAGAAAAAGAGACAAAAAAAAAAAUAGAAAUUCCCGAAAUUAGGAAAAUUACCCAAAAAUACCAAAACUAGGAAAAACCCUAAGAAAAUUCUUAAAAAUUUAGAAACAAAUCCCAAAAAAUUAGAGAAAAUCUCAUAAUCCAUAUUCAGUAUCUGGAGAUUAUAAAACCCUUAAAAAGCUAAGGAAAUUCUACUCCAUACCUCGUGAAAGACCAAAACCUUUAGAAAAAUCUCUAGAUUGAAAAUCUUAGAGAAGAUAGAAAUCCUAGCCUCCUGAAGUCCUAACCCCUAAGAUUGAGAAAACCUAAACCUACUCUAGAUCAAAACUAGAAUUAGAGCACAACAACCCUAGAUCUAACCCUUUUCAUCAGAGAUCUACUGAUCAACAUCCGAAUCAGAGAGGCAAAGAGGACCGGUUCGGAUACGGGCGAGCCCUCGAAUGCUCAGGAAUCCAGGGCCAUCCGCCCCGGUUAGGUAUUAUUUCUUCCUCUCUCUUACUUCUUCUUUUUACUAUUUUUCUUCUUAUUUAUUAUUUAUCUGUUAACUUGUUUUAAAAAUUGUAUUUUAAUGCUUUGGGUCAUGCUGGCUCUGAGUAGAUCUGCUCAUUUCCGAGCAAAUCUGGCAUCAAAUAUGAAUUUGAUAUGUCCCACUUUCUCUAUCAUUUUAUUUACAUCUUUUUAAUUAGUUUAAGGUGUUAAAAUUCGAGAGAUCUUCAUCGAAAGAUCUCUCAAAUUUUCAUCGUAAACAAGUGGGCCUGCAUAAGAAAUGAUAACAGCUCCAUUCCAAUCCCUCACCAUUCCUCCAAAGCCAGCAGAACUCAGAUUUCCAAAAGUGUUCCCAUCAAAAUUAAGUUUAAAAACCCCAACCGAAGGGGGUAUCCAUCUCCCUUGAGGCCUGCAUUUAAAAGGCCUCAAAUGGAAAAGAGUUGUUAAAUUUCUCGUAACAUCCAUUUCAAGAAUAUAUUUCCCCUCUUUUGUGAUAGAGCAUGAAAGCCAAAUGGAAUGUAAAAUUUUCUCCGGAAUGCUUUGCACAGGCAAACAAAUCCCAUCAAACGUUGUUCUAUUUCUCUCCUUCCAAACUUUCCAAAGAAUUAGCCCUCUCGUUAUUUGCCAAAUAAUCACACCAGUUUGUGGAAGCCAAGAAAUUGCUAAAUUCAAAAUAAUCCCUUUAACUACCGCAGGCAUAACCAUGGCACUCCCAAGCUAGUCAAAGAACCAAUGCCAAAUUUUAAGCGUAAAAGAUCAAUGCAAGAAAAGAUGCCCUCGUGUUUCCGCAUCAUUUUUGCAUAAUAAGCCAAUAUUUGGCAAGAUCUUUCCACUUUUGAUAAGGUUAUCAACAGUGAGAACCUCAUUUAAUGGAGUUUUGGGAGUCCUAAGUAACUAAAGCCGAACUUGGUCCAAGAAUAGAGAAAUACUCCAUUGGUUUCUAAGCCUCAAAAUUAGAGCUCACAAUGGAUCGGGCCAACCCUAGCCUUAGCCCGGCCUUGUUCCUCUGAGGCUUGGUGCAAGCCUAGCUCAACCCAUACAAGACCAAAGAUGCCCUAGCCUUGGUCCUAUUAGGGCUGGGCCAGGACAGGCUUAAUAAUUUUUUCAAAUAACAUAAAAGAAAAAGAUAAAAAAAAUAUGAGUUAGGCCAGCCCAGACCUUGGGCCAAGGUGGCCUAUUCUUAGUUGGCCCUUAGGAAGGUACAUAUGUUGUACCAAACCAAACAUGACCUGGAAAGAGUAUGAUCAUAGGGCUUACAACUUUCACGUUAGUGUGUUGGACGACAAUGAUUUGAGAGGAGAGAAGGUAAUUCAAUUAUCACUUCUCCAUAUAAGAGAGUGUAAUAUGCUAAUAAUUGGGUUUCAAACAAUUGUUUGAGGUCUUUUUCCAUCACUUGUAUCUCCGAUGAGAAUAAGGAGAGGGAAGUAUGCGACCUAGAUUCGCAGGUAUUAAAAGGCAUGUGGACUACAUAAGUUGUAGGACAAUAAGCCCUGAUCUAUAAGUGAAAUUUUUUACAGUCUCAAAAUGGCUCAAGAAGGUUCAAAAUCAUGCCUAAGGGUCUCCUAAGAACACCUGCCAAGUUUCCUCCUAAUCCAACGAGUUUCAGGCAGUGCAAUCGACAAAACAGUUUCAAGAAAUUCUGCCUCUAUUGUGGUGAAAAGGGACUCUGAACUACAACACCAUUAUCGAAGCAUCAAAUGGUCUCCAGACCUUCACCAUAAUGCUUGAAAACCCCCAGGUACUAAUUUUCAGAGCAUUUGGAUGAUUCUGGAGAGUGUUAUGAUCAAAUUACCUAAAAUAGGUAGGUCAUACACUAUUGUGAUGCAUCCUCGAUGAACUAGUUUCCAUUAAUGGAAACUGUGGUUCUCAAUUUUGGGGGCAAACUUGGCAUGGCUGUAUCUUCUUCAUCUCAGAUCGGAUCGAGUCCAAAUUUUGGGAGCAUGUUUGUCUCAUCGAUCCGGUUGAUUUGAUAAGCGGCAUACACAAUGACGUGGCCCGAGCCGAGAGAAAUUGAAGAGAUAAGUUUGUCGAAAAGUUCUAUAAGUAGCACGAAAUUUCUAGCGACGUGUCUCCUCGAUCAAAUGCUCGCAUCACGGCGUUCGCAUAAUGGAUCGAAGCAAGGUCAGACCCGUUACGACCACAAGGUUGAGAGCUUCCUCUGGGUCGUACCUCGUGUGUGAUCAAUGGUCAUAUUCAUUAGAAAUCAGGGAUGAACAGUAGAAAAUUAUGGCAAAAUUUCCCAAUUUGGAAAAAUGGUCGCCCAGGCACCAAAUCGAGUCGUUCUUUUGCAAAAUGAUCGUGGCAACAUGCUCAUAACACUACAGUGAAGAAAUCAAUGAUGAAUACUGAAAAAUAGGCCGAAUCCUAAAUAUAAGGUUGCAUGUUUUCCCUUAUUUUUGCCGUGACAUGAACAUGGCCCGAAAGUUCGAUACAUGGCUCGAAAUGGGUGUCAAAACGAUCGUCUUCCUGAGCCAAUUUCGAAAAGUAUAAUAUUUGGUCAGAUGAAGACUGGAAGAACCUCAAACGAAUCCCAAAAGAUCAUGAAGAUUUCAUGGCCAUGACGGGGACUUGUUUAGAAUUUCAUGGCUUGUUGGAGAAGGGGCAAAAUCAUCAUUUUGACCCUAUUUUCUUAUUUUCUUUAAUUCACUUAGUUGUUAAUUUUUAACAAUUAGGUCAAAUUUUGAUUAUACACCCAUGUUUGGAUCCCACUUCUUUAUAAGCAUGUACCAUCAUCACAUAAAGGGCCUUUAAUCAUCAAUUAAAAAUUCUCUUUUUGCUUAAGUUCUUUUUAGCCAUGGUCUAGAGACAAAGUGAGGAGAGAGAAUAUCUUGGCAGUUACCCUUGGGCUCUACAGGUAGCUCUCUCCCCUCUCUCUCUUCUUUUUCUUUCUUCUUUCUCUCACUUCUUUCUCGCUUUUUUCUCUCUCUUCUUCAUCUCUAUCUCUUCUCUCCUUCUUCUUCCUCUCUCUUCUUUCUCUCUUUUCUUUCUCUCUCUUCUCUCUAUCUCAUACCACAGUGUACACUAUCAAGCGUGACCUUAUUCUCUCCUCUCUCUUUCUCUCUCUUCUUUCUUUUUAUUCUUCUUCUUUCUCCCUCUUCUUGCUCUCUCCUCUUUCUGUCUUGUCUUUGUCUCACAUGCCAGUGCACAUUGCCGAGCAUGACCUUCUUCUCUUUUCUUUCCUUUCUCUCUUUUCCUUCUUUCCUUUUCUCUCUUCUUCUUUCAUUUUCUCUCUUUUCUUCUUUCCUUUUCUCUCUCUUCUUUCUCUCUCCUCUCUCUCUCUUCUCUUUGUCUUGCCCAGCAGUGCACACUGUCGAGCGCGACCUUCUUCUCUUUUCUUUCCUUUCUCUCUUCCUUCUUUCCUUUCUCUCUCUUCCUUCUUUCCUUUUCCCUCUUCCUUCUUUCCUUUUCUCUCUUCUUCUUUCCUUUUCUCUCUCGUCUUCUUUCCUUUUCUCUAUCUUCUCUUUUCCUUUUGUCUCUGUUCUUCUUUUCUUUUCUCUCUUUUUUCUUUAUUCUCCCUUUCCUCUUCUUUGCUUUCUCUCUUCUUCUUUCAUUUUCUCUCUCUUCUUCUUUCCUUUUCUCUCUUUUCUUCUUUCUUCUCUCUUUCCUCUUCUUUCCUUUAUCUCUCUUCUUGUUUUCUUUUUCUCCCUCUUCUUUCUUUCUUCUGUCAUGCACGGUAGUGAACACUGUCGAGCGUGACCUUCUCUCUCGUCUUCCUUUCUUCUGUCGAGCACGGUAGUAAACACUGUCGGGCACGACUCUCUCUCUUCUUCCUUUCUUCUGUCGCGCAUGAUAGUGAACAUCGCUGAGUGUAACCCUAUCUCUCUUCCCUUGUCUCUUUGUCUUGCACGACAGUGAACAAUGCCGAGCGUGACUGUCUCUCCUUUCUCUCUUUCUCAUGUGGCUCUGAACAUUGUCGAGUGUGACCCUCUUUCUCUUUUCUCUUCUCUCUGUCUCGCAAGGUAGUGAGAACCACCGAGCGUGACCUUUCUUCUCUUCUCUUUUUUGUCCUGCACGACAGUGAACAAUGUUGGGCGUGACACUUCUUUCUUUCUCUCUCGUCUCUGUUUUGCACGGUAGUGCAUACUGCCAUGCACUACACCUUUCUCUUGUCUCCUCUCUCUCUUCUUUGUUUGCUCAACCAAAGGGUGGGCUGAGCUUUGUGCUGUCGUGCCAGUUUUGUCAUCGAGUAGUUUAGCCAUCAUGCUGGUCAAGUUACCGAGCCCAUCUAGCUGUCGCGUCAAACCAGCCGCUGCACCAGGUCAGUCAUUGUGCCGGUCUUGUCGUUGAGUUGUUUAGUCGUUGUGCCGGUCAAGUUACUGAGCUCAUCUGGCUACCGCGUCAGACUAGCCAUUGUGCUGGACUAGCCGCCAUGUUGAUUUUGUCGUUGAGCAGUUUAGCCAUCGUGCUGGUCAAGUUACCAAGCCUGUCUAGCUGCCGCAUCAGACCAACCAUCGCGUUAGUCUCACCGUUGUGUCAGCUUAACUGCCCAGUCAAACUUUUUCUCUCUCUUUCAUUUCUCUUCUCUUUUCCUUCGUCUCUUUACCCCCUCACUCUUUCUUUAUUUUCUCUCUAAGAAAAAUUCUCUUUUCUCUAAUAUUCUUUUGGUAACUAACCAUUUUUUUCUCUGUAAAAUACGUAGUAAGAGUCUCUUUUGAGUAUACACACACGUGCGUUCACCCUAUGGUAAGGUGGCGUCCUCUGGCCCACUUAUCUGUACUCUAACGUGUGUGUGGUUGCUGGUGUGAAGAAACAAGUCGAGGAAGGCAAUUCUAAACCAACCACACGUCAUGGGGCAUUCCACGUGAUCUAAGAGGGCGCCCAUGCGAGCUAGCCCGAGCGUGUCACAGACCCACGUGAGGUAAGUCACGUCGCACGACUCAAAUUCCUCUCUCAUUGGUUGGUAUCCCUACUCACGUCUUCUUUACGUGGUUCCCGAGAGAGCAGUCUCAGGUUCCGGAUCCAUCUCCAACUCAGAACCAAGUCACCAGGUCAACCUAACCCAGAGCGUGAGAUCGAGGUAUCUAACCCACUUGGCGACUCCACAGGAGAGACGCUACCCCAUCAUCAGAUCGUCCUUGUUUGACUUUCCUUUCUUUUGUUUCCUACUCUCUUACACACACAUGACUUCGAAGUUACUCAAUUCCUUCAUCUGAGAUCCCCACACUCGUGAAUUCGCUUCGAGAACAAGUUCAGCGAACCUCGUUUCCGACAUUCCUCUUGAGUGUCAACCCUAUGUCGUGCUCUUAGGUCUUGACUUGGACUGGUGCGAGGAGGGACCUAAAGGCCCCUCACUCUCCAUUUCCUAGCCUAGGUGGAUCCUCCACCAGCGCACCUUACAUGGGUGGCGCCCUAGCCACCACACACAGCAUGCACCCCGCUACUGGCAAGUUACUUGUCGGUCCCACUGCUCGGGGCAGCCGAAAGGCCACCCCUUCCUUUCAUGCACAAGGCAAUCUAGCUGUCACUUCUCCUGCAGGUCACCUUAAGGCCGCCCCCCACCUUCCAUCACAUUGGUUCCCUAUAGCCAAAUACCCGACACAUCAGGGAGGAGCCCCUAAGGUCGCCACCACCCACACUUAGGCUAAGGCUUGUGGUCCAUCCACUCGAGCCACACGUCAAGGCAACCCUCAGUCUGCCCUGAACCACUGUCCAGGCUCGAGUCUUCUUAGACCUGGCCCUGCAUACCUGCUGCAUACAUAUCGCACUGCUCGGGGCAGCCCUUUGAUUACGCUUAAUCGAGUGCAGGCGAGACGACUCCCUCGUCAUCCCACCUAGCACAUGCCUGUUCACUCUAUGAGGGAUGGUCACAAGGCCACACCCUCACAAACACGUGCUCAGAAUCCUUGGUCCCCUAAGGCUCGACCUAUUUCUUGAGCAUGGGUUGAAUCUCAGAUACCUGGAACCCUUCUGCAAGUGGCACACACGCGCUACCUCCACGAAAAACCCAAGCUCUCGGCCAAAAGGUCGUUGGCAGUCGUCUCCUCCCCUUCUUCUCCCGACGAACUUCUCAAGACCUGGUACUCAAAGGCCUUCUCCAAGAGUACCAUCUUGAAGAACUCUCUUCACACUGGCCCUGUCUUUGGUGCCCACAAAAGAGCUCGGGUCAAGGCUCCUUUGGGUGAUGAAAUAUUCCAUCCCCUGUCUCUCUCUAAGCUAAGAUAAAAGGCUGAGCUGGCUCCUAUCUUUGGCUCGCAUUCUUUGUCGCACCUCCUGGAGACGGCCCAAUCUUGUUUGAAGAAAGCAGGCCAUUCUCAAUCAUGGUCCCUGUCUCGGUUCUGGAGGGAAGUACACCAGAGCCUGAGAGCCAAACAUGAUCGAGGCCUACGAAUAGUCCCAAGAGGAGAAUCCAAGAAACAUGGGGCAAGCAAACCUGCUAAUCCUCUGGUCAAGAACCCCUUUGAUCCAAUAUAAGUUUGCAGCAGAACCUAAGGUAAAAGAAUCCUGCAUGGUUGUUAAUUUCAUAUGAGAUGACUGAACCUUGCACCCCUUAUGGUCCCUAGACUUCCACGAACCAGGCUUGACCAGAUCGGCGUACAAAGCUCGAGCUCAAUAGGGGCAUGCCGACCCCCUGUUGACCGACAUGCCACCCCCGGUCUGGCGGGUGCGCCAGACCUCGACCAUGUUAGAGAUCAAUCCUCCUAAGGAAAUAGUCAGCGAGAGAUGGUGGUUGACAUGUCCAAUGAUGACCAAGAGGACUGUAUGAAUCGGCUCGAGGACAUGAUUCAUAAGAUCAUGGAGAAGAUCGAUCUAAUGGAAAGUACCUGACUUCCUGGGAACUCAUCUCACUAGGAAGCCAAUUCUACACAUCCAUCUAAUCCGGUCCUGAGGCAGUCACCUCUUGUGCAUGACCAUUCCUCUUCUCCACAGGUCUCACAAGCCGACAUCAAUGCCAUGGUCACUCACGAUUUGCGAGGAAGACAGAUUCCGGGUGUGCAAGCUAUGUCUCUUUAUCAGAAGCCAUAUCCCCCUAUAUCGACCAACUCCUGUUUCCUCCAAAUUACCAGAAAGGGAAACUCCCGUUCUUCAAUGGCACGAGUUCACCUCAUCAACACAUUGCCCACUUCUAUUCAGCAUGUCAAGAGACAACAGCUGAUGGGAGGCUUCUUCUCUUGCAGUUUGUUGAGACUCUUGAUAGGCCAACAUUCACGUGGUAUGCUCGACUCCCUCUGAACUAAGUGCAAACCUGGGAAGAAAUGGAACAAUUGUUUUACAAGCAUUUCUCUGAGGUUGAAAGAGAAGUCCAGACUAUAGAGCUUCUCACAUUGACCCAUAAUCAAGAUGAGCCAGUCAAUCAGUUCAUAGAAAGAUGGAGUGAUCUAGCUGCAUAUCGAGCUACCCAUAUGCCGAAAAUUGAUGCAAUCCAAACAUGUGUGUGCAACAUGCGGCCGAAAAUAUCCCUGCAUGUUGAAGCAUCAAACCCAACCUCUAUAUCGGAUCUGAUCUUCAAAGUGGUCUGGAUAGAGAGCCUUCUCAAGCAUCAUGGCAAACUCCAAACCCCAUCAUUAAAUGGGGAAAAUAAUUGAAGCUCUAAUAUUGGUCGCAGCAAUUCUCGAGGCAAUCAACAGAAAGCAAUGAUCAGUGUUGUUGUCACUGUAUCAGACCCCAAGAAGGCUUCAACUCAAACUCGGGAUUUUUCCACUGGGGUAAACCUUGCAAACACUCAGGGGACACCUAAGGCAAGCCAACAGAAGUCCCAAUCCUACAAUAAGGUGCCUCCACCUCGAAAUCUCUACGGAAAGGAUUACUAUGAGGAGUAGAAAAAGAAAGUCUACAACUUUGAUCCAGAGCGGGUCCCGAAUUUACUUCGAAUGUUGAUUGAGUAACAGAUGAUCACCUUGCCUGAGGUAAAAAGGCCAGAAGAUCCUGACUUUGCCACCACAAGAAGUACUGUUCAUAUAAUAGAAUGUUGGGGCAUCUUGUUCAGGAUUGUGUCAGCCUCAAGGAUCACAUCAAGGCUUUAAUUCAAAAGGGACAGAUACAGCUUGAUAGCCUCAAGAAGGCAUUCGGGGAAAUUGAAGUGUCUCACAUGGUGACAAUUUAAGAGGAAGUCGAGCAAGUGUAUCGGCUUGAUGGUGUCAAAUGUGAUGCUGUACCUAGUCGUUCAAAUUAGACCUCCAUUUCGGUACAACGAGAGGAGUUUACUAUGGUCAAUUCAGUGAGCUUCGUGGAAGUAAUCAUGCCUCUACGCGUGCGCCCAGAUACAAAGGCCGAAUGUUGAGCCCACUGUGGCUCAACCGCACCACCCCCCAAAAAGGAGCGAGCUAUUAGUGCGAGCAGCUGGAGUAGUAGGGAGCCAAGGAGGGAGGUAGUAGAUAAGGUAGAAGAAGGGUCAGGCUCCCGGUGGAGCAGAGGAGACGAUUAGCAUAACGAAGUUGAAACGUGGAGCUCGAGCAGCCGGUGAGCGAGUGGUUAGUGGCCAAUAGCGCCCUAGUUGAUGGCAUUCCCCUCUAUGGCUGGCACUCGAGAAACCAUGGGGCACUCCAUACAGAGCAAGUCUUAGGGAUAAGAGGCCCGUGCAAGGACCUAAAUUCUCAUUAGGAGGUCGAACCAAGGACCUAUGGAAGUCGGGGCUACCCCGUCCCCAUGGCAAUGCAAUAGUGUCCUAAGGGAGGAGUUUAGAGGCCUUAUAAUAGCACGAACCUCUUUCUUUCUAGGUCAUGCGAAGGGGGCCAGUCCAAGAUCAUACCGUUCCUCUACAAAGAAAGACAACAUACGCUCUCAUCAGUUAGGCGCCACUCUCUUCUGAGUUCUUCCAACUUCUUCAUGAUUUCAUGUUGUUAAAGCACUCUAGCAACGGGCUUUGCCAGUGGCAAGGCAAGCAACGAGCUAUUAUCACCAGAUCUUCUUCAAACGCGAUUCUGCAUGAUUCUCCAAGUAGGGGUCAUCACACCAAAGCCAUCAAGACAGCUCAGGCACCUCGCUCAAGGGACUGAGAACCUCUGGUGCCCAUAUCACCAGAUACGAGGUCAUGACUUAGAAGGGUGCUUCGGCUUUUGAGCUAUAAUUUCAGAGAAAAUAUGAGGAGGACGCUUCGUCAUCUCUAUCCUAAAUGAUCAUGCUCAAUCCAAUGGACGUCAACACAGGAGGUCACUCAGACCCAAAUCCCCUAUGAUGAUGCGCUGCCCAAGCCUUCUGACUCUGAUGAACCCUCGACUUCCCAACCAUGGCAAGUCUAUCGAGGACGAAGCAGGAUGAAAUCCAUGAAAAGGGAGGUGGUUCGCCAAGCAAGGCCGGCCCCAAAGACUCAUGAAUCUGGUCAACCUAUGCCCAUUCCUACAAAUGGUAGAAGGAGACAGGCACCAAGAGCCGCUCGUCGAAAGAGGUUGAAUUCCUCAAGCCUCUUCCUCCGUUGCCAACCUUGCGGGAUUUCCUCCUCAAGUCAAUCUCUUCCACUGACCUAAACCCGCAAUCUAGUCAAGAGGGCAUCCUUGAACCCUUCUCUCCCCAAGCUCCCAAUACGUCCGAUAAGGGUGACAACAUUAAAAGAACCCGUCAACGGUCCAAGUAGGGUGAAGACCUAAAAGAUUCCCUGCACACGUCUAAUUUUUGUGAUGACGCUAAAAGCUACCCAGAUCGGUCCAGUCUAAGUGACGACCUUAAAAGCACUCCACCUUCUUCCAUCCCUGACUCUUCCAGCCUGUCUUUUUCUGCUGCUAACAUGUCUUUUGCAGGGUCAACUUGCGAAUGCCUAGACUUUGAGGCUCUUGACAAAGAGCUGAAAAGUUGCAACAUUAGCAAGCGACACCGAAAGAAACCGAAGAAGACGAGGGCCUAAGCAGCUGGGUUCCUGUAAGUAGCUGAUGCCUUGGCGUCUAGAUCCAAUGCAAAGCCUCCUCCCACUAUUAAAGAGCUUCUCAAGCGACACAAGAAUCCCAAGGCUAAGAAACCUCAAUGGCCUUCUGAGCCUAACUUUGAGCAACGGCUAAGUGAGUCAAGAGGGCAAAGCUUCCAUUCUCAUGAAACAUGCCACAUGGUGGAGAUCUCUGAAGCAGUGACCAUCACUGACCCAAUCAGUCUCAGGUCAGGCAAGAAGUUGCAGUCACCUGUGCAGAAACCACGGCCUUUGAAGCACCCUGGUCCACCACUCAUCCCUUACCUGAACACACCGACCAAUCCACCACUCCUUAAAUUCUUGGGAUCACCAUCGGUCCCAUAUGCCCAAUCAUCUCCAAAUCCUCAACUUCCAUCAAUCUCCAUUUUGCCAACACCUACCCCUAUUACCCAAUUUAACAAGUCCACACCAGACUCGGAGCGGCAUAGCUAGUCGGCACCAAGUCUGAUGGCACAAUCUUUACCUACUCGAUCUUGACAAGUUCUCCAAUCCACACCAAUUGCACAACAAAGUCAGCCGGUAUCCCAAAACAAACCUUCACCUCCUAAGCCUACCUCACGACCUUCCGUCUCACCAAGACCCGUAGCGGAUCAAGAAUUAUAUAGAGAUGGUGAUCGCAAAAACGAGAAUUAUAUAGUGAUUGUAUCUAUGAUCGUCGAAUCUCAUGAUCCUCCCCUCAUGAUCUCUAUGCCCAGUUCUUCUCAGCUGACUCAAAAGCCUUAAAAUUCGAUGUCUCAACUAAAUGCACUCCCUCUCCAUGAAACUGGCUAUAUACCAUCAAAGCCCACUUUGAGGUGGAGACAUCAAGAGCGUGAGUGUUUGAAGACUUUUUUCAACACAAUGGAUCCCCGAUGUGGAAUAAAAUAGAGAAGUCAAUUAAAUAAGCCUGACAAACAGUGAAAAUUAUGACAGUCUCAGAAAGUCCCCAACACUAUUCAAGAUCUUCAUCAGGACUCUUAAAAUUUUUCUGCUAAGUUUCAUCUCAAUCUGACAUGUCUAAGGCAGUGCAGACUGAGAAACAGUUCUGACAGAAUCAACCUCUAACACCCUGAAAUGAACCCCUAUAGCUGGAACCUUACUUUCAUUGUAUCAAAUGGCUAUGGGACCAUAGUCAUUGGAUCCAGAAUAGUUGAAAACCGUCAAGUGUCAAAUUUCUGCUUAAACAGACACUCCAGGAAGCAGUUAUGGGUAAAAGACCAAAACAGGAGGAGCCGCACACUAUUCCCAUGUGGCCACCCUGCAACUAAAGUCCAUUAAAGGGACAGUCACAAACAGUGACAUGCAAUGCUCAUAUCUCACUCAUCUAAGGUUGAAUCGUGCUCAAACUUAUUGGAGCGUGUUCAUCCUCUCGAGACGAGCGUUCCGAUAUGUGGCACGCCCCAUGAUGACACCUAAGCAAGGAUAAAAGCUAGAGAGAAUUGGACGAUCAGUGAAAAACAUUGCAAGAAAAUUAACAGCUACACACCUUGCUGGAGCAACCAAAUCACGAUGCUCAUGAACCUGAUCGACGUGAAACCAGUUGCAUCGCAGGCUUAAGGUCCAUGGCUAUCACUGGUCCAAACCCUGCACAUGAUAAGUGGUCAAAAUUUUCACAUGAAGCCAAUGAAGAGUCUGAAAAUUCUGGCACCGAAAUUUCAGAUUCCGGCAAAAAAUGCAAGACUGCAAAAUCUUCGUCCGAGCAGGGAAUUGAGCUGCGUUUGUUGAUAAGCGAUCGUGACGGCAUGCUGAGUGCAAUACAAUGAAGAAAUCAUGGAAUAACAUCAAGAAAUGAGCGCACUAUCGAUAGAAACUUUUCAAGAUUCGCAUGAAUUUCAAGUCACAUGAUCGUGGCUUAAAAACACGAUCCAUGGCUCGAAGUUGGUAUCAAAUCAAUUGCCAUGCCGAGCCUUAUAAGAAAACAAUCGUCUUUUGGACAAACGGGCACUAGAGCAACCCCGGAUCAUCCACGAAAGAUCCCACACGUUCUAGGGCAGCAACAGGGACUGUUUUGGAGUUUCAUAAAUUGUUAAAAAGGGGCAAAUCAAUCAUUUUGCACCCUAUUUUCUUAUUUCAUUUAAUUCAAUGAAAUCUUAAUUUUCAGAAAUUAGGUUUAAUUUUGAUCACGUACAAUCCUUGUAUAAGGGACCCUACUUUGCUUAAUUAAAUUUCCAUCUUUUUUUAAUUGUUGGGUCACGUCUUGAGAGAGAGAGAGGAAGGAGAGAGAAACUUUUGGGUCGGUACCUCUGGGCUUUUCUCUUCUCUUUCUUCUCUUCUCUCUCUUCUCACUCUUCUCUUUCUCUCUCCCCUUCACAGACGACGGAACCCCAUUACCGUCAGUGUUUCACUUUUUCUCAUUCUUUUUUUCUCUUUUCCUCUUGUGAUAUGCUAGACCACGAUCUCUCUCUUCUAUCCUCCUUUUGGUCCCUCACUACCACAACAUUCUCCUCUCCUUCCUUGUGGUCCAGCAUGACCACUAUUUUCCCCUUUCCUUUUUCUUUUAUCUCCUACAUGACCAUUUUUUUCCUAUGCACCCUUGGGCUCACCUGCCCCUUCUCUUUCUGGUAGUCCCCUAUGUCCAUUUCCCUUUCUCUACUUUUUCUAAAUUCCCUCAAAUCACCCUUUUUGGUAAACCCUUGUGUCCCCCUUUUCCCUCUCACAAUCUGUGGUCCUGUGAGACAACCAUGCCCCAAAUAUUUCGUCCCCUAAUGCCGCGUGUGACCAUAACUUAGCGCCACGUGAAUAUAAUCCCAUCAUCGUGCGCAUGAACAUAACCUAUCGCCGCGUGAAUAUAAUCCCAUCGCCACUCGUGUGAACAUAACCUAUCGCCACCCGUGAGCCUAUACCGAUCGCCAUGUGCCUCGCUCCACACCAUCGCCUUGUGCACCCAUCUUACAUAUCGCCAUGAGCACCCAUCUUACUUAUCGCCAUGUUCACUCAUUUUACCUAUCGUCAUGUGCACCCAUAUUACCUAUCGUCAUGUGCAAGCCACCACCUAACAUCGUGUGUGUGUGUAACAACCCCAUCGCCGUGAGUGAACGCCAGCCAUCGCCGUGCGCCUCAACCCUUCCUCCCGAUCAGCAACCUUUGCCUCUCUUUCCACCUUGGCUACACCCACCUCUGUCCCCACUCACCAGACAACACCUGCCUGCUACUUCCUUCCUCUCUCUUUGCCUCCCUCUCAAUUGUGACCACAACUGCUCCCUCUGUAACUUCCUGCUAGCAAUCAUCUACAACCACUUCCACCUCUCUCCCUUCUCCGUCCCACUCGGCAGCUAAUGCCUUCUUUGCCUCCAACCUUGCUGCCUCAUCCUCUAUCAAUCUCGCUCCCUCCUCUUUUCCUCGUCAUCCCUUCCACCACUCCCUCGCUCAGCUAACACCAGCUACAAGCUAUCGCCACCACCACUCCCGUAGUUGUCUCAUCCCUGCCAUUGCCGCAACACAAUCACCACCAGCUACGCUUCCACCACCAUCACCUGCAAACCACCUCUGCCUAUCUUCUGCAGCACCAUCCCUCUUCUUUGCAACCUUGCUCAGUCCCCUUGCAGCUGCAACCAUCAACCACUCGUGCACUUCCUUCCUCCUUCUCCAAAUGGCUCACCAAUGUUGUCCCAAAUAAGAAGAAGAACGGAUAAAUUAGGGUCUGUAUCGAUUUUUGUGACUUGAAUGCUACCUGUCCAAAAGACGACUUCCUAUUGCCAUUCACAGAAAUUGUUGUCGAUUCCACAGCCCAUUGUCAUACUUUCUCCUUCAUGGAUGGAUAUUCAGGGUACAAUCAGAUAAGGAUGGUACCGGAGGGCGAGGAGUCCACCGCCUUCCUGACUCCCAAAGGGGUCUUCUGUUACGUAAUGAUUCCGUUUGGGUUGUGGAAUGCAGGUACCAUGUAUCAGUGAGCAAUGACCACCAUUUUCAAAUAUAUGCUCUACAAGGAGGUUGAAUGUUACAUAGAUGAUUUGCUGGUGACAUCCGAAAAGAAGGAUGUUCACAUGCAAGACCUUGCGCGAGUGUUCGAGUGGCUUCGCCUCCAUCAGCUCAAGAUGAACCCUUUGAAAUGUGCCUUUAGCGUACGUUCAGGAAAAUUCUUAGGAUUCAUUAUCAAAUAUUGAGGAUUAGAGAUCGAGUCUGACAAGAUCAAGGCAACUCGAGGAAUGCCACAGCCAACGACGCUCCGAGAACUUCGGUCUCUUCAAGGCCAACUUACUUAUAUUUGAAGAUUCAUUUCCAAUCUCUCAAGUCGCUGUAAGCCUUUUACACAUCUGUUGAAGAAGGACUCUCCUUUCAUAUGGGAUGAGGCAUGUUAGGCCGCCUUGGAUGACAUCGAAGAGUAUUUGCUACACCACCGGUACUCUCCACGUCAGUGUUAUUAAGGCCCCUUAUUCUAUAUGUGACCGCCCUGGACGAGUCGCUCAGUGCACUCCUAGCACAAAACUAUGAGGAAGGGAAAUAAGUCGCUUUGUAUUACCUCAACCGCAGUAUGCAAGGGGUUGAAAAGAAUUUUUUGCCCAUCGAGAAGAUGUGCGUAGCAUUAAUAUUUGCAGUACAAAAGUUUCUUCAUUAUCUGCUCAGUCAUGAGGUGUAGCUUAUCUUAAGAGUUGCUCCCAUCAAGUUCCUCAAGACACGCUGUUGCCUCUUAGGAUGCCUGGCUAAAUGGACGCUAUUGCUUAUGGAAUUCGACAUCAAAUACGUGUGGUAAAAAGGUGUCAAGGGUCAAGCCCUGGCUGAUUUUCUAGCAACACACUCCGUACCGGCAGAAUCUCCCAUGUCAAGUGAUCUUCUCGAUGAGGAAGUGUUUUGCAUUGAGCCAAUUUGCAAUGGGAAUAUGUACUUGGACGGGGCCUUUUAGUGUGAAUGAGGUGGUGCUAGAAUAAUAUUCUUGACUCUGCAAGAUGGUAUCAUUCAUUUCUUCUUCUCCCUCGCAAAGGCCGACUCGCACAAUGAAGCUCAUUAUCAGGCCCUUAUAAUAAGGCUAGAAGUCGCUCUAGAUCACGAGUUGGAAUGAUUAGCCAAUUUUGGCGAUUUCAAGCUGGUACUACGACAGCUCAAAGAGAUAUAUGAUGUGAGAAAAGACAACCUCAAGCCUUAUCAUGACACUGCCAAGACCUUGAUGGCAAACCUCGAGGACUUUUCCUUAGGGCACAUCCCUACAAGGUUGAAUUCCAAGGCUGACACCCUUGCCAAGCUCGGUGCCACUAUUCAAAUUUCCUCGAAAAACCCAUGUGGGUAGCAGAAUGGAGACAUAGUGAGCUGGUUAAAGAGUUAGAUGGGGAUGUUGAAAGAAUCAUUUUUCCAAAAUGCCCUCCUUACCCAUUCAGGGAACUCCUCACUGUUAAAGAUGCUCUCGUAGCUAAAAAGAAGGCGAAGCAGGACCAAGGUGAUAAGUAUAAAAAGCAAGAAGAGGAUAUCGUUGAUCCAAUAUGCACCGAUGUCGAGCAAGUUGAACAUUGGAGGGAGCGCAUAAUCGACUUUAUUAAGCACGUCGAUUACCAGACGAUCACAUUGAGUGCAAAAGUAUACAAAGAAUGGUCACCAAAUACACUUUUUUUGAUGGAGAUGCUCUCUUUCGAUGAUUUGUGCAUGGCAGUGCCUGUGCACAGUGGUGGGUGCACGCAACAGGUUGCGUGUGUGGUGGUGCAUGUGCUAAGGGGCUGCGUGCAUGGCGGCGUAUGUUUAAGAAACAAGUGCGGUGGCCUAAAGGCCUUGCAGAAUGCCGGGGUCUCAAGAAAAAAUCUGUCAAAGGUUGGCCUUCUCAUGAGAGUGGACGGUCAGGGGAGGUCCAAUUUGGAUCACAAAGUCUAUUGAAAGCCAAGUCCUCAAGCAUAAUUAUGAACUCCCAGUUGUUCUGUGGAAGAGUACCUACUGUGAUCAAGGCGUGCUCUUCAUCAUAAGCCAGUUCCUUUCCAUCAUAGGCCAAUUCCUUGCCAAAGGGGCUUGUUUUAGACACUUGAUACACUCGAUUUAAAGCCCCUCCCUCUUUUUUUUUUCUGAUGUGAGAUAGCCAUUGGUGAUCAACUGCUCUCUUUUUCCUUAGAUGCAAGAGCAACGCUGACGAUCAACUGUUCUCUUUUCCUCAUAUGCAAGAGCAACACUGAUGAUCAACUAUUCUCUUUUCCACAGAUGCAAGAGCAACGCUGACGACCUUUUUACAUUUUAAGCUUUUUGAGGUUGCACACUUAUAACUUGUAACUUCUCUUAAUUGAAUGGAUACUUUGCAUGUUUACGCCGAUUGUCUCCCCUUUUUCUUUAUUCUUGCUUCUGCUGACUCUUUUACCCAUGAUGCCCUUUUGGGUUUUUACCAUGUCCGUCUUUUAACAUUUUUACUCAUGACAGCAGAUGGCUCUACCAUGCCCCGUCGUUUCAUUUGAACAUUUUUGCCCGUGGCGCCCUUUCGGGUUUUCGCCACGCCCGUCUUUUCCAAGGAGGCAUUUUUAAGGUCACACCUCUUGGACCGUAGAGAUGGUGUGUUUUACGGUCACAUGCCAAGUCUUGAGGACAUGUUUUAAGGUCUUGCCUUUGAGACCAUAAGCCACGGGUAGUACUUCUUCAGGUAGCGCCAAACAUUGCUUCCUCCCCAACAGGAUUAGCCAGUAUAUAACCUCCGUUCAACAAGACUUUCUUGAUCACGAAAAGGGCCUCCCACUUUGGCUCAAACUUCCCUUACGUCGCUGAUGCAUAACAAUUGGUCGUUUUACUGCUAGGACUAAAUCACCAUGAGUGAACGAGCAGACUUUGACUGAUUUGUCAAAAGCCCUCUUCAUCCUCCCCCGAGGGAGUUCAAGGUUAUGCUUGGCCUCGAAUCACUUCUCUUCAAGCUCGUCUAGCUCUUGAUAGCAAAGCUUAACCUUUUCAUCUUCGGCCAUAUUCUGAUAUACGACGAUGCGCAGCAAAGGGAGUUGAAUCUCGAGGGGUAGUACCACUUCACUCUCAUAAACCAAUGAAUAUGGAGUAGUGUCGGUAGCACUCCGGGUGGUGGUGCGAUAAGCCCACAAGGCCUCUGGAAGCUUCUCGUGCCAAUUUUUCUUUGUGCUUGACACUAACUUCCUUAGAACACUACAAAGAGUCUUUUUGAAAGCUUUGACCAAACCAUUUUCCUGAGGGUGGUACAUAAUAGAAGUACUCCACUCGAAACAAAAUUGGUUAACCAAGUGAUCGACAUGCUAGCUUCUGAAUGGAGGACCAUUAACUAACAUGAUAUGGUCGGGCACACAUAAUCGAUAAAUGAUGUGAUGUCACACAAAGUUGGCCAUUGAUGUCCCGGGGACUCGCCUGAGGGGAAUUGCCUCAGCCCAUUUGGAGAAGUAGUCCGUGGCGACUAAGAUGAAGGUGUGAUCCAAUGCCGAGGGAGGGUCAAUGGGUCCUAUGAUGUCCAUGCCCUAAUGUGAGAAAGGCCAUGACAUUACUGUAGGAUGCAAAGAUUCUGGUAGCUAGUGAAUGAGAUUUGAGUGCAUUUGACACACUUGACAUCUCUUGGCGUAUGCCAAUGAGUUUGCGACCAUUGAUGGCCAGUGGUACCCCAGCCUACGUAUCCUCUCAUAGAGCUUGGGUCCUGACUGAUGAAGUCUGCAGAUCCCAACAUGCACUUCUUCUAUAACGUGUUCUGCCCCCUUUGAGCUGAUACAUCUGAGAAGGAUUCCAUUGAAGGAACAUUGAAAGAGAGCGUUGCUUUCAAGAAGAGUGUAUUUAGUGGACAUUCUUCGUAUGUUGUUGCGUUCAAUACAAUCAUUUGGUAGCUGACUGUGUUUAAUAAAGUUGAUUAUGGGUUCCCUCCAAUCCUCAAUCUGCUCAAUCUCGCUACAUAUUCAAUCAAAUGUCUCUUCCUCAUGUUUCUCAUAUUGAUUUGUCGCUUUUUCAUCUUCGAGAGAAUCUUUAGUAGCAAGGAGUGCCCCGAAUGGACAAGGAGGAUUCUGGGAAGAAAAUCCUUUCAUCGUCCCCAUCUAAUUCUUUGACCAGCUGGACACGUCUCCAUUCUGCUACCCAUAUGGGCAUGGGUUCCUUUGAGGAGAGUUGGAUGGUGGCUCUGGGCUCUACCAGGGCAUCAGCUUGGGAAUUCAACCUUCUGGGGAUGUGCUAUAAAGAAAGGUCACCGAGGUUUUCCAUCAAAGUCUUAGCGGUGUCAUGAUAGGGCUUGAGGUUGUCCUUUCUCACAUCGUAUAUUCCUUUAAGUUGUCGUACCACCAGCUUAGAAUCACCAAAAAUGGCUAACCAUUCCAAGUUCAUGCGUAGGGAGAUCUCGAGCCCAAUUAUGAGCGCUUGCUAUUCGGCCUCAUUGUGUGAGUCUGUCUCUGUGAGAGAGAAGGAUAAGGGGAUAACACCAUCUUGAGGAGUGAAAAACACCACGCCGAUACCACCUCAUUCAGACUAAAAGGCCCCAUCAAAAUACAUCUUCCAAUCAUAAGUUGCUUGACACAAAACACCUCUUCAUCAGGGAGAUCACUUGACAUGGGGGAUUCUACCGGUAGGGGAUGUGCUGCUAGGAAAUCAGCCAAGGCUUGGCCUUUGACGGCUUUCUGUGGUACGUAUGUGAUGUUGUAUUCCAUCAGUAACAAUGACCAUCGCUAGACACCGUGACAGAUAAGGGCGCAUCACAAGGAACUUGAUGGGAUCAGCUCUUUAAAUGGGCUGGACUUCAUUGCCAAGCAAGUAGUGGCGAAGCUUCUGGACUGCGAAGAUCAAAGCCAGGCACUUCUUCUCGAUUGGUGGGUAGUUCUUCUCAGCUCCUUGCAUGCUGCGGCUAAGGUAGUACAAAGUGGUUUCUUCCCCACCCCCCCCCCCCCCUACUUGUUUUGUGCUAAGAGGGCACCAAGUGACUCAUCGAGGGCAGUCACAUACAAAAUGAGAGGCCUUCUCAACACUGGCAUACUGGAGGGAAAAACAAAUAUUCUUUGAUAUCCUCCAAGGCUGCCUGACAUCCCCCAUCCCAUAUGAAAGGAGAAUCUUUCUUCAAUAGGUGUGUAAAAGGCUUACAACAACCUGAGAGAUUGGAGAUGAAUCUUCGAAUAUAGGCACGCUGGCCCUAUAGAGACCAGAGCUCUCGAAGUGUUGUUGGCAAUGGAAUUUCUCUGAUUGCCUUGAUCUUGACAGGUUAGAUCUCCAAUCUUCGAGACCUGACAAUGAACCCUAAGAAUUUUCCCGAACAUAUACCAAAGGCGCACUUCAAGGCAUUCAUCUUGGCUGUUCUAACACUCGUUCAAGGUCACGCAUGUGAACCUCCUUGUUCUUAAAUUUUACCAUCAAGUCAUCGAUGUAACAUUCCACCUCCUUGCGCAACAUAUCUUUAAAAUGGUUGCCAUUGCCCGCUGAAACGUGGCACCAACAUUCUUCAAUCCGAAUGGCAUCAUCGUCUAACAUAAGACCCCUUUAGGAGUCAGAAAGGCGGUGGUCUCCUCAUCCUCUGACACCAUCCUUAUUUGAUUAUGCCCUGAGUAUCCAUCCAUGAAAGAGAAGAUUUGGCAAUGGGCUGUAGAGUCAAUAAGCAUUUAUGUGAAUGGCAAUGGGAAGUCAUCUUUUGGACAGGGAGCGUUCAAGUCACGAAAGUCAAUGCAUACCCUGAUUUUCCCAUUCUUCUUUUUAACCGGAACGACGUUUGCAAGCCAUUUUGAGUAUUUGACUUCCUGGAUAAAGCUUGCUUCCUUGAGUUUACUCACUUCAGCAUCGAUCUGGAUUUCGAGGUCGGGCCAAAAUCUUUUAGACUUUUGUUUUAUGGGCUUGAAAGAUGAGUCGAUGCACCGCAAUUUGGAGAUCAAGACAGGGCAUCUCGUGGUAAUGCCAGGCGAAGACAUCUCGAUUUACAUGCAGGAAAGCAGUAUAACUUUCUUUCUCUUCUGACAACAUGUUGGCCGAAAUGAAAGUUGGCCUUUGAUCAGCUUCAUCUCCCAAGUUUAUCUUCUCGAGAUCAUCAACCAUAGCCUGCCCACCAUCCUCCCAUUCCUCGAGGGCUUCCUGGAUUGCUACCUCCUCCUCAGUUGGUGAUCCCAAGGGUUCUUCGUUAACCUUGAAUGCGAGUACCCAUGCUCCAUACAUCUCCUCCUCGAAUGAGGAUUUUAUGAUAUGAAACUUGAUAACCGCAUCAGCUUCUUGUUUGACCGAGGAAGGGUCUACUUCAAGGAGAGGGAGCGUAUAAGGUGAAUUGUGAGGCACCUGGGUCUGGGUCAAGUGGGAAGAGCAGGGCUUAGAAAGUGUGAGGGGAGGGCUCUAUGCUUCGGCCAUCAUAGAGACAGCCACCACAUCAUACUUGUCUUUGUCGUCGCCAUGCUGGUUAGAUGCCUUGGUCUAGCCUCCAGGUCGGGUUGACCUGGUGGCAUGGUUUCAGGUUCUAGAUGGACCUGGGACUUGAGAUCUCUCUCUCAUGAACCGUGUGAAGGAGACACAGGCAAGCUUACCAACCGAUGAGAGAGAAAUUAGAAUCGCAAGGCAGGACUCACCUCGCGUGGGUAUGUGACAUGCUCUGGCUAACUUGCAUGGGUGCCUUCUCAGAUCACGUUGGAAUGCCCCUCUACCCUUUGGUUGAUUCAGAAUCACCUCCCUUUACUUGUUUUCUUCUUACCUAUAAAACAUAUACACACAUUAGAGUACAUACAAGUGGGUAUGAGGACCCCGCAUUGUCAUAGGGUGAACGCACACGUGCAUGUGUGCUCUAGAAAAAAUGGAAAAAUAACAUAAAAGAGUCCAUGUCAAUUUGGCAACCUCAUCGCGUCUCCUUGACGAGGGCUUUUAGUGUAGGUCCUAUAGUAAAGAAAGAACAAAAAGAGGUGAGAUAGAGAAAAUGAUAGAGAAAAGAAAAGAACGAAGAGUUUGAAGGCUAGUAUGUCUUUGAACUAGUCCUCCAGAGAAAAGUGGAACAGAGGUUGGUUUGGAUCUCACCGAACCCUUCAGAGGCAAAGAGUGGAAAUUUUUGUAGAGAGAAGAAGAAGAAAGAGAAUGGGAGGAGUGAUGAAGGUUAGCUUGGCUCUCGCUGAACCUUCUAAAGGGGGAGGGGAAGGGAAGAAAGAGAAUGAAGAUGUUUGACCUGACGUCUAGACGAGUGCAGUGGCAAGACUAGCGCGACGACUGAUCUGGCGCAAUAGCUAGACGAGCAUGGUAACUAGACUAGCACAACAGCUAAACUACUCGACGACAAGGCUGGCACGAUGACUAAUCUAACACAGUGGCUAGUCUUGCACGACAGCUAGACGGGCAUGGUAACUAGAUUGACACAAUGGCUAAACCACUCGACGACAAGACUGGUGUGAUGACUGUCUUGUCGCAAUGACUAGUCUGGCGCGGCAGCUAAAUGGGCACAGUAACUAGAUCGGUACAACGGCAAAAUUGCUGGACAUCAAGAAUGGCACGGUAGCACAAGGCUCAGCCAGCCCUCUGGUCAAACAAGAAAAAGGAGAAAGAAGAGAAAGGAGAUUGUGCUCAGCAGUGUAUGCUGUUAUGCUGGGCAGAAAGUGGGAAGGAAGAAAGGUCACGCUCGACGGUGUUCACUGCCGCUCGUGAUAGAGAGAAGAUAGGUGAGAGAGAAGGGAGAACAUCACGCUCAGCAACAUGCACUGUCGUGCGCAAUAGACAGAGAAAGAGAGAAGAAAAUGUCGUGCUCUGUAAUAUGCACUGUUACGCACAACAGGCAGAGAGAGAAGAGAUGUCAUGCUCGGUAAUGUGCACUACCGUACGCAAUAGACAGAGAGAGAAGAGAACAUCUCGCUCAGUAGUGUGCACUCCCUCGCGCAACAGACAGAGAGAGAAAAGCACAUCACGCAACGCAACAAAUAGAUGAGAGAACAUCAUGCUCGACAAUAAGCACUGCAUUGCGCAAAAGACAUAGGAGAGAAUUUCACGCUCGACAGUAUGCACUGCCGAGCAAAACAGACUGAGAGAGAAAGAACAUCAUGCUCGGCAUUUGCACUACCAUGCACAACAAACAAGGAGAGAAGAGAAAGUCAUGCUCGGCAUUUGCACUACUGUUUGCAACAAACAGAGAGAGAAGAGAAUGUCAUGCUAGAUAAUAUGCACUGCCGCGCGCAACUGACUGAGAGAAACAUUAAACGAGAAAGAAGCAGAGAAAAAAGGAAAGAGAGGAUAAAGAAAAAGAAAGAGAGAAGAAAGAAAAGAAAAGGAAAGGAAAGAGAAAAAGAAAAGGAAGAGAGAAGAAAGGAAAGGAAAGAACAGAGAGAGAAAGUCGUCGUGAGCAUUUGGCGUCAAACGUGAACGUGGCUUGAUUUGGUGCCCGAACAACCAUUUUUCAUUUUUGAUCUUUUGGUCAGAGUUUGGUUUCCGAUGGCCAGAAAGUGCAGUAACUUCAUACUCGUCAUGCAUCGAAUCUGACAGUCCAUCACGUGCGAGAUUCGGCUCUGAUGAAGCCUCGAACCUUGUGCUCGCAAUGGAUCUGAUUUUCUAUUGAUCCAAUGUGCAAUCGCCGUGAUGUGGCCACUCGAUCGAGGUUAGCUCCUUUUGGAAAACUUGUAACCUUGCCUUGAAUCGUGAUCUUCUCUCGUGUUUUUCUCCUGACUCAGGCCACAUCAAGGGUUGUGCCAUAUAGCAACACACCCAUAAAAGUUGAGCUUGAUCUGGCUUGGGAUGAGAGAGAUAUGGCCUUUCAAAGUUGAGCUUGAAACCCAUGAACUUAUUCACUGAAGGUGCACGGUAAUAGCGUGUGACCUAUCCAUUUCGGGUAAUUUGGCUAUAACUUGGCCAAGAAAUGUCUAAUCAAGCCGAAACUUGGUCCCUAAAAGUUUUUGGACGUUUUGGGUCCAAUGGAGGUGGUACUAUGGUCAUUUGAUGCUCUGGUGAUAGGGUUAUAGUUAUAAGGUCCAUUUCAAGACGAUAGAGGCUGAUUUUCCCAAAACGUUUUAUGCAUCUGCACUGCCUUAAACUCGUCGGAUUGUGACAAAGUUAGGCAGGUAUUCUUAGGAGAACUUUAUCAACAUUCUUGAACCUUCUUAGGCCAUUCUAAAACUGUUGGAAAUUUCACUUAUGGAUCAAGGCUUAUUAUCCUACGACUUCCAUAAUCCACAGGCAUUUUGUAACCUGCGGACUUAGGUCGCAUAUUGCUUUUCUCUUUAUUAGUAACGGGGAUGAAAAUGUUAAAAAAUACCCUUAAACAGACGAUCCUUUGAGGGCAUCCUACUCCGAUGCAUCCACACAAAAGGGCCAAAGCAAGUACUGGAAGAAGUGCAUGCCGGGAUCUAUGGCCUUCAUCAAUCUGGUCCUAAGCUCUAUGAACGGAUACAUAGGUUGGGGUAUUAUUGGCCAUCAAUGGUCACAGAUUCCUGAACCCAUGCCAAGAGGUGCCAAGUGUGUCAGAUACAUUCCAACCUCAUUCACCAGCCACCAGAACCUCUACGUCCGACAGUGAUGUCAUGGCCCUUCUCACAAUGGGGUAUGGACAUUGUCAGACCCAUCGACCCAUCCUUAGCAUUGGACCAUACCUUCAUCUUAGUUGUUAUGGGUUACUUCUCCAAAUAUGCUGAAUCAAUCCCUCUCAAACACGUCCCUAGAGAAUCAGUGGCCAAUUUCAUGCGGUAUCACAUUAUUUACCGAUUCGGUGUACCUGAUCGGAUCAUAUCAGAUAAUGGUCCCCAGUUCAGGAGCCAGCACAUCAAUCGCUUGGUUAACCAAUUUGGUUUCAAGUGGAAGUACUCUACUAUGUACCACCCUAGUCAAAUGGUUUGGUCGAAGCCAUCAACACGACCCUUUGCAGUUCUUCAAGGAAAUCGGUGUCGAAAACAAGGAAAAAUUGGCAUGAUAAACUCCUUGAGGUUUUAUGAGCUUAUCGUACCACGACUCAGACUUUCAUCGAUUCUACUCCCUAUUAUUUAGUUUAUGGGAGUGAUGCGGUACUACCCCUCGAGAUCCAACUUCCAUGCUUCGCAUCGCCAUACAUCAUAAUAUGACAAAAGAUGAACGUGUUAAGUUGUGUUACUAAGAAUUAGAUGCACUUGACGAGAAGAGAUUGAAAGCUCAGCAAAACCUUGAAGUCAACCAGGGGAGGACGAAGAGGGCUUGCGACAAGUCAGUCAAUGUCUGUUCAUUCACAAGUGGUGACUUGGUUCUGGCAGUAAAAAGGUCGAUUUUCAUGCAUGGGCGACGAAAAGGAAAGUUUGACCUGAAGUGGGAGAGCCCGUUCAUAAUAAAAAAGGUGUCCCCAAAUGGACCUUAUAUAUUGGCUCAUCUUGAUAGAAAGGAUGCAAUGCCCCUCAUCAAUGGACGUUACUUAAAAAGGUAUUACCUAUGAUCUCUAUGGUCCCGGAGGUAAGACUCUAAAGAUGCCUUCAAGUCUUGGUGUAUGACUCUAAAAAAACACACCACUUUUAUGGUCUCGGAGGCAAGACCUUAAACAUGCCUUCAGGUCAUGGUGUAUGACCCUAAAAACACACCACUAUAAAAAAGGAAAAUGAGACAAUCAGUGCAAACAAGCACAAUUUUUCAUUAAGUGAAGUUGCAAGUUACUUAUACAACUUUUCAUUACAAACACGAAAUCUCAAAAUUCAACUCUAUGAAAUGCUGGGGAUUGUUAGUAUGGUUCAUGCAAACAGAGAAGCGGUUGACUAUUAGUGUUGCUCUUGAAUCUGAGGAAAAGAGAAGCAGUUGAUUAUCAGCGUUGCUCUUGCAUCUGAGGAAAAGAGCGCAGUUGAUCACCAAUGUUGCUCCAGCAUCAGAGGAGCAGAGAAGGGUUUUAGAUCAAGUAUAUCAAACAUACAAAGAAAACUUCUCUGGCAAGGAACUGGCCUAUGAUGGAGAACAUGCCCUAUUCGCAGUAAGUACGCUUCCACAUAACAACAUGGAGUUCACAAUUGUGCUUGACGACUUAGCUUCCAACAGACUUUGCAAUCUAGAUGGGAUUCCCCUUAACUGAGUCCCUGACCCUCGGAGAAUUCUUCAUCAACAGAGAUGUCAGGGUCAUGGGUCUCUGCACUUGAGGUUGAUGAAAGGACCUCUGAAAAUAAUGAUGAAGACUUCCAAGAGGCCCCAGAAGUAUGGGAAGAAGGUGGUCAGACUACAGCUGACAAACUCGAAGAAAUAAAUCUUGGAGACGAACUAGAUCCUAGACCCACUUUUAUUUCAGCGAAUAUGUCACUAGAAGAGAAAGAGCAUUUCACCUCCUUCUUGCAAGCACACCGUGACGCCUUCGCCUGGCAUUAUCAUGAGAUGUCUAGCUUAGACCCUUAAGUAGUUGUUCACCAUCUCGACAUCGAACCGACUAUCCAACCUGUCAAACAGAAAUCGAGAAGGUUCAGGCCUGACCUUGAGAUGCAGAUAGACGCCGAGGUGACCAAAAUCAAACAAGCAGGCUUUAUUUGCAUAGUCAAGUACUCGAAAUGGCUAGAAAAUCUUGUUCCAGUCAAGAAGAAGAAUGGUCAAAUCAGGGUGUGUAUUGACUUUCUCAAUUUGAAUACCGCCUGUCCCAAGGAUGAGUUUUUGUUGCCAUUCACCGAGAUGCUCAUCAACUCUACUGCUCAUUGUCAAAUAUUUUCCUUCAUGGAUGGAUACUUCGAUUAUAAUCAAAUAAGGAUAGCGCCUGAAGAUGAAGAGACCACCGCAUUCUUAACUCCAAAAGGGAUAUUAUGUUACACCAUGAUACCUUUUGGAUUAAAAAAUGCUGGCGCCACAUACCAGAGAACAAUGACCAUCAUUUUCAAAGACAUGAUACACAAGAAGUGGAAUGCCAUGUAGAAGACUUGGUAGUAAAAUCUGAAGAAAAGGAUGCUCACAUGAGAGACUUUGAAAAGGUGUUCAAGUAGUUGCGCCUUCAUCAACUAAAGAUGAACCUGCCGAAAUGCGCUUUUGGCGUGAGCUCCAGAAAAUUCUUGGGGUUCAUCGUCAGACAUCGAGGGCUUGAAGUCCAACCAUUCAAGGUCAAAGCAAUCCAAGAAAUGUUGUCACGACAACGCUUUGAGAAUUGCGCUCCCUCCAAGGGAAACUGGCAUACAUUUGCAGGUUCAUCUCCAACCUCUAAGGUCGUUCUAAACCCUUUACACACCUGCUAAAGAAAGAUACCUCAUUCAUCUAGGAUGAAGCAUGUCAGGCAGCCCUUAAUGACAUCAAGCAUUAUUUACUCAGUCCUCCAGUAUUUAGAAGACCUCUCAUUCUAUAUGUGACUACUUUAGACGAUCUCGGAGCAUUGUUUGCAAAAAACAAUGAAGAAGGAAAAGAAACCGUGUUAUAUUACCUAAAUCGCAGGAUGUAAUGGGCUGAGAUGAAUUAUCCCCCUAUUGAAAAGAUGUGUCUGCCCUGAUCUUCUCAGUAUAAAAACUCCUCCCUUACUUGCUCGGUCAUGAAGUGAAAGUUAUAUCGAAAGCUGAUUCUGUAAAGUUUCUCAUGAAACGCCCAUGCUUGUCGAGACGCCUGGCUAAGUGGGCACUAUUGUUGAUGAAAUUUGACAUCAAAUAUGUCCCACAACAGACCAUCAAGGGCCAGACCUUGGCUAACUUUCUCACAGCACACCCUGUACCGGUAGAAUCUCCUCUAUCAAGCGACCUCCCUGAUGAAGAAGUAUUUUGUGUUGAUCUUGCUCUUGUGUGGGAAUUGUACUUCGACGGAGCCUUCCAAUCAGAUCGAGGAGGUGCCGGAGUAGUAUUCCUGAGUCUAAGAGGAGGAAUAUUUCCAUUUUCUUUCUCUCUUGCUCAAGCCGGUUCUCAUAAUGAGGCAGAAUAUCAGGCCCUUAAAAUCGAAUUGGAGAUAGCCUUCGACCUCGACUUGGAGCAGCUCAAGAUCUAUGGCGACUCUGAGUUGGUUAUCCGACAGCUCAAAGGGAUUUAAUAUGUGAGAAAAUACACUCUCAAGACUUAUCACGAUACUACAAAAUCGUAUACGGCUGAAUUUGAGGACGUAUCCCUCAAUCACACCCCUAGAAGGCUAAACUCCCAGGGUGACGCACUUGAAACUCGGUGCUAAAAGUCAAUUAUCCUCAUCAGGGCCCACGCUUGUCUAGGUGGUAGAAUGGAGAUGCAUCGAACUAAGAGAUGAGGUCGAUGCAGAUGACGAGAGAAAUAUCUUCCCCGAGUGCCCUCCUUAUCCAUUCGGAGCGCUUAUAUCAGUCAAAGAAGUAAUCAAGACUGAACAAGAAAUAGUACAGAGUCAAGAAGCUAAGGGUUGAAACCAAGAACCAGAAUUCUUUGACCCAAUGUGUACAGAAAUUGAACAGGUAGAAAAUUGGAGAGAGCCCAUCACCAGUUUCCUAAGACAUGGCAGGCUCUUAGAAGAUCGUGCUGGACGCAACAGCAUACGUCAAAUGUCUACCAAGUAUACCCUCCUUAAAGAAUAUGCUUAAGAUGGUAGUUUGACGGCAUUCUUCUUAGAUGCAUCGAUAUCCAAGAAGUAAAUAAGGUGUUAGAAGAAGUGAAUAAGGUGUUAGAAAAACUCCUAAGACACACGAAAAUGCUCACGGGUUCACUUCCCGCCUCUUCAUUCAAAAAAGACUAAAGUCAGAACCUCGUUUGUUUGCCAAAAAACUCCCCAGAGAACUCUCCUUUCCCGCUCCUUUCCUUACAACUUUGUAAAAUUCUUGGCAAAGUCUGCACGCAAAAGGUCUUCCCUGGAAAAUGAGGGAAAACAGGAUUUUACCCCCCUUAUAUAGCCUGCACUACUCUCGAAUGCCCCUCGCAAACUGAAAAUUCCAGUCGCGUCCAAGGGAAGCCAAGCGAUGAUGAGUCGAGUCGGGCUUUGGCUCGAGGCCCAUGGUAACUCUCGUUGACCCAACCCUAACGUCGAUUGAAUUAGUGCCAGGUAUCUUCCAAACAGCCCUAACGUCGGUUGACUUAGCUUCGGGUGCAUUUUCAAAACAACCCUAGCAUCAGUUGACUUAGCGCCGGAUGUGUUUCCAAAUGACCGCAAUGCCAGUUGUCUUCAAACGAUAGCACAGGUUGUUCACAGUGUCAGCUGAGUCUUUAACAACCCAAUGCCGAUUGUGUUUUUGAGAACUCAGUGCCAGUUGAACACCAGCUAGAAACCACUAACACUACACCUAGCACCGGUCAUAUUUCACGCAGCCUAUUGUUACCUACUCCAAGUUGAAGCCUUGUGCGUCCUACCACUUAUCCUUAGUGAGGUUGCAUCCAAGUCAUGACCUGUCAUCCCCAGUGAUGUUACACCCAGUCUGUUGCACUAAAACUAUGACCCAUCAUCCCUAAUGGAGUCAGGUGUUAUCCCUCAUCCUCAUAAGAGUCGCUCAUAUUGCAGCCUAUUGUCCCCAGUGGAUUUAGGGUCAUUCUUACCUCUUCAAUUCCCGAUGGAUCUGUUUCACACCAAGCUAUCUUAACCAUAGAGAGUAAGCUUGCCCGCCCUAAGCCCUAGUGAAGACUGCCUCUGUUGGCUAUCCUUCAUCAGAUCAUCAUUUCCAUCUGAGCCCUCUGCUUGUGUAUGGCGUUAACCAUUUUAUCCCCAGAGAGUCGGAUUGCCAUCUAUUGAUCUAUUCCCCAUUGACCUCCACCUACAUGGCGACCCACACGAUGGUCUAGUUGCACGACCCUAAACUAAAUGGUCCAAACUAUAUGACCUUAAACUGUAUUGAUGGUCUAGUUGCAGACCCUAAACUGCAUGGUCCUAACUAUAUGACCUUAAACUGUAGCUAUGGUCUAGUUGGACGAGCUUAAACUGCACAGCCAUGGUCCAAACUAUAUGACCUUAAACUGUAGUGAAGGUCUAGUUGUACGAUCCUAAAUUGCAUGGUCCAAACUAUAUGACCUUAAACUGUAGCGAUGAUCUAGUUGCACGACCUUAAACUACACAGCGUCAUGGUCCAAACUAUAUGACUUUAAAUUGUAGCGGAGGUCUAGUUGCAUGACCUUAAACUAUACGGUCCUAGUUGUAUGACUUUAAACUGCACGACCACGGUCCAUUUGUAUGACCUUAAACCAUAGUACACGUCCAAGCCCCAUGAUGUUAAAAGGCUCAGUGCCAUGGUCCAAACUAUAUGACAUUAAAUUGUAGUGGAGGUCUAGUUGCACGACCUUAAACUGCACAGUCCUAGUUGUAUGACUUUAAACUGCAUAACCACGAUCCAGUUAUAUGACCUUAAACCAUAAUGCGCGUCCAAGCCGCAUGACGAUAACUGCUCUGCACAGGUCCAAGAGGCAUGACCAUAAACUUGCCCCCACAUACGGGCACACGCUUUUACGUGCACUUUCACACAUGCCUUCCUUAACCUACUUGUUAGUAUGUGCGCACCACCUUCACUACCUCUCCAAUAAGUUCAUUCACUUCAUCACCAAACCUCAUUCCCCAGUGAGUCGGUCACCAUCAUCCACUCACACUUCAUACAUCAUAGGUAGCCUCGUGUCAUUUCCCCGAGUGAGUCAAACCACCACCAUACUCACUCUAGGGCCUCCACAGACUGCCAUCCCCAUUGUGGUCUUAGCUGCAUGACCCUAAACUGCACAACCAUGAUUCGAACUAUAAGACCUUAAACUAUAGUAGGGGUCUAGUUGCAUGACCUUAAAUUGCACGGUUCUAGUUGUAUGACUUUAAACUGCAUAACCACGGUCCAGCUGUAUGAAUUUAAACCAUAGUGCAUUUCCAGGCCACAUGAUGUUAAACUAUUUCGCACAACUCCUGAAGGCAUGACCUUAAACAUGCCUUCACAUAAAAAAAAAAUGAAAAAAAUAACAGGCAUGGUGUAUACCUGAACAAGGGAGCGCCAUGAGUAAAAAAUGACGGACAAAAAUGGUCACGAAACCAUGAGUAAAAGAGUUCCAUGAAUAAAAACCGGGCACAAUGAAAACCCGAAAAGGCAUCAUGAGCAAAAAUGGAUGAAAGGGGUAGAUAUAGCCGAAAGGUUAUGGGUAAAAGAGCUCCAAAAAAAAAAUAAGUUAGUUAAAACUGUCUCUACGGCUCCGCUUCCCAAGUUCAAGUGAAAAUCCGUAAAGGACACUCGGACUAAUAAAUAAGUUGAUGCAGCACUUGUCUCAACAGGCAGCUUCAACCUCACUCAAAAGAAGAAAAAUCCCCAGUAUCAUAGUACCAGGACUCUAAAAAUAUGAGCUUCAAGGAAAAUAUUUCGAUAGCCUAAGUCCAGUUGCAAAACAGACUCGAAAGAUAGAGGACUCGCCAAGACGAUAAGACAAGUCUCAUGAGGAAGAACAUUAUUCCCACGAUGUCACUCUAAAAACAAAUACUCUUAAGGCAAGAAACUGACAAAGCGAGGGGAGAACCUACCAGAGACAUCAACUCGUCUAACCGGCACGACCAGACCUUUGAGAUAGGCUAAUAGAACCUGCCCCCGACUGGACUCGAUAGACGAGACUCGUAGUAGUCUGAAUGUCAAAAGCAAACUUGGUGUAGCAGCAAAUGCGCCUAUCAAAGAAAAUCAACGAACCCAAACCAAAUGGGAACAUUGCCCUUCUACAUGGCACUCAAUUGCCAGAUGGGUCUGAUUCUGACUGACGAGGUCCGUAAUCCUCAGAUUUAGAAUCACAAACAGUCUGCAAGAGGGUGAGGACUUCGACAAGAUCCCUCAAAAAAGUCUCUUCUCCCCCUAAAGUCUUCACGAACGAACCAUUACUGGAAUCUCCUCAGCGUUCAUGUCGUCCUGUGGCUAAGAAGAAAAAAAAUAAAAGCCAAAGUAAAUUUUUCGAAUGAUUGUCCUUAUCUCUUCUCUUGAAGCACAACAUUCGGCAAGACAAGUUGUUUGAAUGUAUUUUUCAGCACCUUGGUCCCUAGUAGGAAACAGGUCAAUGAAGCCUACAAAAUAGUGGAAAUUCUCGACAGUCUCAUAAUGGCCCUAAAAUUGGUCAAGAUCUUCAUCAGCACUUCAAAAGACCACCUGUCGAGUUUCAUCAUAAUCAGAUAUGUCUAAGGUAGUGAACACAAAGAAAGAAUUUUGACAAAAUCAGUCUCUGGCACCUUGAAAUGGACCCCAUAACUAGAGUUCUACUUUUGGUGAGUCAAACAGCUGUGGGACUACCGCCAUUAGAUCCGACGGUCGAAAACCCUUAUGGGUCAAGUUUUGGCAUAAUCGAGCACUCCAAAACAAAGUUAUGGGUAAAAGAUUAAAAGGGGUAGGCCGCACACGCUUCCCAUAUGGCCUCACUGUGUCAAAACACCAUUAAAGGUGGUUGCUAUUAUAGUCAUGAGCAGUCACUUUCGGGGCCUAUAUAUCACUCGUUUCAAGUCAGAUCAGCCCCAAAUUUGGUGACUGUGUUCGUCUCAGCAAGACGAACAAUUCGAUAUCCAGUACGUCCCAUGAUGACGCUCGAGCAAAGAGAAAAAAAGUCGCUGAUCCGUGAAGGGAGUUGCAGAAAAUUCAGCAGCAGCACGUCUCGUUCGAACAGCCAGAUCGCAAUGCUCGCAUACCCGAUCGACAUGAAACUAAUUGCAUUAUGUGCGUGAGGUCUGAGGCUAUCUCUAGUCCGAACCUUGCGUACGAUGAACGGUUGGAUUUCACACAUGAAAGUAUCAAAGCUACUGUAAAUUCCAACCGUUGGACUUUAAGAUUCUAGCCAAAAACUCAAGACGACAAAAUCUUCAUCUGAACACGAAAUCAAGCUACAUUCGUUGCAACAUGAUCAUAACGGCAUGCUCAGUGUGAUUCAAUGAAGAAAUCAUGAAGAAAUAUCAAGGAACGAUCACAUAAUCAAUCCGAAGUUUUCAAGAUUCAUCCAAGAUUCAAGUUUCAUGAUCGUGCCUUAAAAACAUGAUUUAUGGUCGAAGUUGGUAUCAAAAUGAUCAUCAUGCCGAGCCCUAUAAGAAAACAAUAAUCUUUCAAUCAAACGGGCUUUUGAACGACCUCAGGUUAGCCAAGGAAGAUCACGCAAGUUUUCGGGCAGCUGCAAGGACUGUUCUAAAAUUCCACACAUUGUUAAGCAGGGGCAAAACAGUCUUUUUGCACCCAUUUUAAGAAUUUCUUUAAAUUCAAUUAAAUUGUAAUCAUAUUCAAUUCUAGCUAGUUUUUUUGCGUACACCCAAAUUUUUGCCCAAUUCUAUAUAAACAUGCGAUGCAAAAUUGUAAGGGCCUUCGGUUCAUUUUUUGAUUGAUUCAAUAAAACUUUCCAUUCCUACUUGAGUUUAUGAUUACGUCUUGGAGAGGGAGAGACGAGAAAGAAGAAAAGGGUUGGUACCCUUCUGACAGGUAACUUUCUCUCUCCUCCUCUCUUUAUCUCUCGUACCCUCUUUCUCUCUCCUCCCCUCUUUCUCUCUCUUCUUUCUCUCUCCUCUCUUCUCAUCUUUAUCUCUUUCUCUCUCCUUCUAUCUUUCUCUAUUUCUCUCUCCUCUCUUCUCAUCUCUCUCUUUUUAUCUCCUCUUUCUCUCUCCUCCUCUCUGUCUCUCUCCCCCCUUCUUUCUCUCUCUUUCUCUCCUCCUCCGUUCUCAUCUCUAUCUACUUCUCAUCACUACCUCUUUCUCUCUCCUCCUCCCUUCUCAGCUCUAUCUCCUUCUCAUCUUUAUCUCUUUCUCUCUUUUCUUCUCAUCUCUAUCUCCAUUUGUCAUCUUCUAAUGCAAACGGUGAGGCCCAGAGCCGGUUGGUUUUCUCCUGCUGUCACAAUUGACGAGGCUUAGCGCCGGCUGUGUACUCCUGUCACAACUAGCGAGGCUUAGAGCCGGUUGGUUUUCUCCUUCCUCUGUCAAUCGGUGAAACCUAGCACUGGUUGGUUUUCUCUGUCCUCUCCUUCUAUUUGUCAGUCGGUAGAGCCUAGCGCCAACUGGUCUUCUCUCCCCUCUUCUCUCUCUUCUGUCUGUCAAUCGACGAGACCUAGUACCGAUUAAUUUUCUCUCUCCUUUUGUCUAUCAGUUGGUGAAGCCUAGCAUCAAUUGGUUUUCUCUCUCCUCUUCUGUCAGUCGACAAGACCUAGCACCGACUAGUUUUCUCUCUCCUUCUAUCUGUCAGUCGGCGAAGCCAAGCACCGACUAAUCUUCUCUCUUCCUCUGUCAGCCAACAAGAUCUAUCACUGAUUGGUUCUCUCUUCCUCAGUCAGUCAGUUAGACCUAGCGUCGACUAGUUCUCUCUCUUCCUCUGUCAAUCGACGAGAUGUAGCGUCGAUUGGUGCUCUCUCUUCGUCUGUCAGUCGACGAGACCUAUCGUCGACUAGUUUUCUCUCUCUUCUCCUGUAAGUCGGUGAAGCCUAACACUGACUGAUUUUCUCUCUCUUCCUUCUAAAUACAGUCGGCACUGCUUAACCCCAACUAUGCCUUCCUUCCCUCUCUCUCAUUUAUUCUCUCAUCGUUCAUACUCUUCUUUUCGUUCUUUCUCCCUCCUUCUUUCUUUCCUUUCUUCUCUUCAUAUUCUCUCCUCAUAGCCUUAAUUCGGCUACCCUUUCGCUCGACUAAGAGGGAUUAAGAUUAGCCUCUCAUGGUAAUCCUGUCAUCUAGCCGUAAUGUUGUUGUGCCAGGGUUACUUGGCCUACGUUAUUGCCACGACAGACUGACCAUCGAACCUAGCUAGUCAGUAUUAGUAAUGACGUCUAAUAGUAAUCCUGUGAGCCGGUCUUAGUUACCAAGCCCGCUUUACUACCACCUCAGGCCAAUUAUCCAUCAGCCUAGUCACCGCUUUGAUCCUCUCGCUUAGUCGAAUUCUUCUCUCCCCCAUCUUUGUUCUCUUCUUCUUUUUGAAUGCGUAUGCUUGUGUACGUGCAUCAAAGAGGAAAUGGGUGAGGUCUGACCCACCUGUUUUAUAACAUUUGCCAUAUAUGUGAUUGCAGAAAAGCAGAAAACAAAAAGAAUACAAGCCAAGGGAGGCAAUUCCGAACAAGUUUUAUUACUGGGGGGCUUUCUUCGUGAUCUAAGAGGGCGCCCACAGGAGUCAGCCCGAGUAGUCCAGAACCCACCUUUAAAUUCCUCUCUCACCGGUUAGUAACACCUGCCCCCGUCUUUGAACGGGGUUCUAGAGAGAGCGAUCUCAAAAGCAUCCCGGGUCUUCCCUCGAAACCCGAGACACGUACCGGCCGAUCCCCAAAGGAUCCAAAGGGCUAAAUCGAGGCACCUAACCAUUGAGCAGUUUAGCCGUCGUCGUGCUAGUCUUGCCUCUGUGUUAGCUUAACCGCCCAGUGAAAAUUUUUCUCUCUCUUUCAUUUCUCUUCUCUUUUUCCUUCGUCUCUUAACACUCACCGCCCCUCUCUUUCUUUAUUUUCUCUCUAAGAAAAAUCUCUUCUUUCUAAUAUUCUUUCUGUAUCUAACUGUUAUCUUCUCUGGAAAAUACAUACUAAGAGUCCCUUGUCAAGGACACACCGUAAGGCUGCCGAUCUGACACGGACUUUAUUCUGUUAAUUCUUUCAUCCUCUUUUGAGUACACAUACAUGUGUGCGCUCACCCUAUGACAAGGUGGGGUCCUCUGACCCACUUGUCUGUACUCUAAUGUGCGAGUAUGGUUGCAGGUGAGAAGAAACAGGUCAAGAGAGACGAUUCUGAACCGACCAGAGGUCAAGGGGCAUUUCAUGUGAUCUAAGAGGGCGACCAUGCGAGCUAACCCGAGCAUGUCACAGACCCACAUGAGGUAAGUCCCGCUUCACUACUCAAAUUCCUCUCUCACCGGCUGGUAUUCCUGCCCACGUCUUCUUUACACGGAUACCAGAGGGCAGUCUCAAGUCUCGGGUCCAUCUCGAACCCGGAACCAUGCCACCAGGUCAACUUGACCCAGAGGGUGAGAUCGAGGCAUCUAACCACUAAUAUAUUAUCAACUCUUUAGCUCUUUAAAAAUGGAAAAAAUAUAGAAUGAGUGUCAUUUCUCCACAUGAAGCUCAUCCAAAUUUAUCAACAAGGAAAAAUCCUAUCCAACAACUCUAUUAGGACUAAUAUGUAUUUGUAAUAGGAAAAGAAUCUCGUCAAGCACCCUUCUAAUGAGUGAGAUUUCUCAUAGCCUAUCUCAUCAUUGUCAUCAUCCAAUCUUUAUCUUGAUUUUUGGGCAACAUGAAACAUGUUUCUCUUUUUGGUGUAAAGAGGUCACAAUCACUUUUGUCCGUCAGAUUUCAAAUCGGAUUGUUGUAAAAGUGUCAUUGACUAGACUCAAAGAGUAAAAAAGAAUGAGUAAUUUACGUAUAGACCCCAAAAUUUUAGGUGAAAUACGAAAUGCUCCAUUUAUAGGCAGAAAUUACAAAAAAUGUCGGUCAACCUACUUUUUAAAAUUUUUUCCCAAAACUACCCUGCAAUCAACCCGAAUUUUGACUUUUAAAAAAAAAAAUUAGAUUUUUCAUUGGUAAGGAAGUGCCUUGAAGUUUGGGACACUGCCCUACUAACAAAGAACUAAAAAAAACUAAAACAAAAAAAUCAAAAUUCAGGUUGACGAAGGGACAAUUUUGAAAAAAAAAAAAGAAAAAUGGUUGACCACCCUUGUAUGUAAUUUCCACAUAUAAAUGGAGCAUUUUGUAGUUUACCUAAAAUUUGAGGGUCCGUAUGUAAAUCACUUGAAAAGAAUUUUCAAACUUCGUAUUCCACCUAACCAUCCAAUUUGACAUCUAAUGGCUAAAAGUAAUUGUGACCUCCUUGUAACAAAGAUAAAUGGUCUCAUGAUAUACAAUUCCUUUUUCUUAACCUUGGGGUCCUACUAAUGUACGACCAUGAAGAGGGAAAAUUUAUUUGUAAUGAUUAUCAAUAAUGGUUAAUCCAUAUUAUUGAGGCUUAGCAAAGUACAACACUUUCCUCUCAUAUAAUUUCCACAAGGAACCAUUGCGAACAAGAAGGAUCACAGUUUGAGGAUUUUAUAAAAUCCUUUCUACUUUGGUAGCUUUUGAAAUUUUUCUUGGAAAGCCCAAAUGACUGGCAUAUUAGGUAGUUCAGAGUCCAACGAAAGCUAUAUUUUUAUAACAAUUCGAUAUGGUAUAAAAGUGAAAUUGAUUUGUUUGAGUUAGUAAAAGAGCCUGGGCUUAAUUGGUUAACACUUGAUGAUUUGCAACGCUACACUCUAGGCUCAAUUUCGAUCAAGGGUAGGAGCUCUCUCCCCACUAAGUCACCCAAAAAAAAUCAAUACGAUACUAAUAUUGCUUUUAAAAAUUAUGUUUUGUUUUCUUUUUUAUUUUUAAAUGUUUACUUGGAACAAGAGAAUGGGAUUCCAUUCAUGUACCUUCUAGUUCGACACCUCUGCCUAAACCUUUUUCUUUAUUUUGGCACGUGGCCUUUCAAACUAGAAGCAUUCAAGAAAAGAAAACGUAUAAAUCGGAGUCAAUUUUAUGUUAAGCAUGCAUUUGAUGAAUAUUCAACAGUAUCUUUGUUAAGAAAAAAAGGAAAUGAUUGAAAAACAGUGAUUCAGAUGGAGAAUCAUCGAUUCUAAUUUGAAAUUGGUGGGUACCAACUCGAUUCCUUGAUGGAACCAGAAAUUGAGAACGACACGAGUCUAUCAAAGAAAUGGAUAAUCCAUAUUAGCUUAAUCCCUCGGUUCCAUCUAUUUUAUUCUUUAUUAUUUUGAUUUUUAAAAUAAAAAUAAUAUUUAAUUUCUAUAAGACCGAUUCACACAAGAGAAUGGGUUCGAUGCAAUCCGAAAUUUGGACAAAGUCCAGCCAUUAAUCGAUCUGGCAACUCGACCUGCGUUCCAAACACAUGAUCAAAUAUGAAAAAAACGACGCACUUUGAAAUGUAUGAAGUAUGAUAAGAUCUGACACUACUAUUAGAAUGUACACGUUAGAAAAAUAGCCAAAAUAAGUUUCACUUUAAUAAUUAUUAAAAAAAAAAAUUCAAUAAAAAUUAAUAGUUUUCCCAAGGUAUGGACUUUCAUUCCCGCGCCUCUCUCUUUGGACCCAUAUAUUUCGAUUAUGCGUUCAUUGUUGACAGAGAGAAAUGAUCCCAAUACUUAGCAAAAAUUUGAGUAAAUGCAUAAAUAAUGUCUUGAACGUUUAGAGAGAUUCUCAAAUUCCAAUAUUUUUGGGUAACUCAAGCCCAGGCCAGACUCAGCAAAUGAUUAAAUUUUGGGAAAGGAAUCAGAUUCAUUUUAUUUUCUACGUUCUUUAAAUUAAUCCUUUCUCAAAACAAUUAUGACAUGAAACUAAUUAAUUUAUUUGAUGAGCUCAAGGGUAUUAUUGGUUUAUCUUCUCUAUGAAACUUCUAAAGAGGCAAAUGAAUUUAACAAAUUAAAAAUUUGGAUGUAAAAUAUUCAUGCCAUUAAUUUUGUAAAUUCUUCCAAAACUUUAUUGGCUCUCAUCAAAUACUGAGAUGUGUUUCCAUGGUAGGAAGAUAUAAUUCUCCAAUAAAGUGCGAUGAUUGACCUACCACAAAAGGAAAGAAUAAGUGUAAGGAGUUGUAUAAUAUGAUAUAUGUAACAUAGAAACAACGUGAUACAUUCCUCUUCCACCAUCCUUUCAUACUCAACAAUGGACGAUGGGAAUGAGAUGUUCCACUUGAGUGCAAGGAAGAGCAUGUGGUAACAAACUUUAGAAAAAUCAUCAUGAGGUAAUACUAAUGGUAAAAUAUCCAUGCCAAAUAUGAUAUUUAAUUUAAAAAAAUUGAUAGAUUAGGACUAUUUAUCUUUUGUAUAAGAAGUUUGCAGUCAGUUUUUACUAUUUGAUUUGAAAUCGAAAGGAUGAGAUUACGUAAUUACUCAUGCUCAAAGUUCGAAGAAAUUUUUUCCGGCUGAGAUUAUGUAAUUACUCUUGCUCAAAGUUCAAAGAAAUUUGUUCAACUCUAUGACAUACUUAAAGCUGUCCAAUUUAACAUUUGAUGUAUAGGACUAGUUGUGACCUCCUUAUUCUAAAGAUAGAUGGUCUUCUAUUAUAUAAUCCCUUAAUUUAAUUGCAAAAGAGAAACAUACCAACAACAACAUUCGACAACAUAUUAGAAAGGGGUGUGGUUUAUAUAAAGCCAAGGCCCUAAAUAAUCAAAGUAAGGCACACCUUCAAAUAGUAUGAAUUUCAAUACUAAAAAUCAUUGUGAUAACUUGAAAAAUUAUUUUCAUCUCUAACUAUAGAAAUUUAGAGCUUUAAAAAUAAUGUAGAUUGAGCGGAUCUUUGAGUACAUGAACAUCUUGAAAAUUGAAAGUCUAGAAAUAUAUAACAAGAUACACUGAGACAUAAAAAUCCAUUUGUUUUCAGGUCCAUACAUCCUGAGGUCAAAAUAAUUGAUUUGAAGAUUUUUAAGCAUCAAAACAACCUCUUCUAGUGAAUUUUUUGUGGUCCCCAUUAAUUUGAUUGAUUAAGGCUUCACACGCAUAUAAACACUUUCCAUUAGAGAGAGAUGCUAACUAAAGGUCCCACCACUACAUUGGUUCAUAUCAUUAGGAAGAAGAACAGGAAAAACAUGAAAUAAAAAACACCACCAUCCCUCGUGCUAGAGGGAAAUAUAAACACCAACACCACAAAAAACCAAAGCACUUACUUAAUCCUGAGCUAAACCAGUAAACCACUUCCUCUACCCCUAUCCCGCUUGUGCUAAUUUUUUAUUUGGUUUCAUUCAUUCUAACAGUUUUUUCGAGCUUUUGUCGGCGUCGAUGAUCAAGGAAAUAGUCUUUAGGGUUUUCUUCAAAAUCUCUGCGUAGCAUGCGUCCAUCUUCCCCUGGUUUUUUCAUGGUCUUCGCCUCCUCCUCUUGUUCAUUGCCAUGGUAGGCUGAAUAGGCCUUCUUUAUGCCCAUGAAUAACAUCAUACCUGCACUUGCUACGCCGGCUAUCUUCGUAACCGUACUCAUUUCUGAACAUCAAGCAACUGUCAAUGCAAUCUCUCUCUCUCUCUGUAAAUCUUCCCAAUCCCAUUAUCACCACCCACUUUACCCUUUUAUAAACCUCUUCUCUCUCUUUGGUGGUCACUGGUUACGGAAACCUUGGCACCUAAGUUAACCCAAAUGCGAAUAAAACUUCCGUGCGGUUUGUAUAGAGCCUAGGCUCUGAUCAAUCAAAUCCAGAAAUGUGGUUUCAACCGUAGAAAUAUUUGUGAUAGCUUUAAAAUAUAUUUUCAUUUUUAUUUAUAAAAUUUAAAGCCUCAAAAAUGGUGUAGGUUGGCAGAUCAAUAAAAACUUGAAAAUUGAUGAUCCAAAAAUAUAUUAUAAAAUACACUAUUUCCAAAACUUGAAAUCCAUUUCUCUCAUGUCCAUGUAUUUUGAUGUCAAAAUGAUUAAUUUGAAGAUAUUUGGGCAUCAAAACAAUUUUUUCUAGUAAAAUUUUUAAGGUAGACUCUAAUUUGAUUGUUUAGAGCCUCGGCUCUAUAUAAACUUUUUACUCUAAAAAAGGGAGCUACCAUUGGAAAAAGUUUUUAUAUUUUCCGUACAGUAUAGAAGAUCUAUGCAUCCCUAUCAUCUAGGCCUCCAAUUUUGGUCAAGAGAGUCACUCGCCCUUUUUAUCUUAGAUUCAAAGUCUCAAAGUAUUUUAUUUUUAGUUUUUUUUAUACAAUUUUUAUGAAUAUGAAAUUUGUUCGUAUCGUCUUCUCAUUGGAGUGAACCUAUAAAAAAUAUUAAAAAUAUUUUUUGGAUAAAAUAUAAUAAUCAAAAUACCCCUAGACACUUUCAGGGGUAUUUUGGUCAUUUUAAUUUAUUGAAAAAAAAAUUUAUAUUUUAGGUUAGUUCGAGUUUUAUAUAGAAUUGAACGUACAAAAUUUGGUAUCAAAAUAAUCUAUAGAAAAAAUUAAAAAUAAUAUAAUAUAAAAUAUAACGUUGUGAUUGGGACAAUCUUAGCCCUCCAUUCAAAAUGGAGGGUUGGAUAAGAAGAAGUAUAUAAGUUUUAUGUUAUAGGAGAUUCAUAAAAUGUUUGCCAAUAAAGUAAACAUCAUCCCAUGAAUUUGUACGGAUGGCUAGUACAAGGGCUUGUAUCAAACUGCAUAUUACAUAGGGCUAUUUGGAGCGCAAUGACAAUAGGGCAGGAAGCCUAGCCCAACAAAAAACAGAUUUUAUGGAUUUUUGGAAUAAGCAGACUUUACUUGUAUAUCCGUAAAAAUAUUCAAUAUCUAAAAAUUAGAAAAGACCUUAAUUUCAGAUUUUACGGAUUUUUGAAUAUUUAAAAUUAAUUUAUUUAGAUUUUUAAAAAAAAAAAUAGAGGAGGCCAUACAUCAUAGAGGUGCUGCCCGGAGGUGAUUACCUAGCUGCCCCAGAGAGAUAAAACCUAGAAAAUGGCAUUUUUUUUGGGCUUCCUUCAACUCCAUAACUCUCUAAGGGGAAAAGUUUAUAUAGAGCUGAGGCCCUAAACAAUCAAAUUAGAGCCUACCUCAAAAGUUUCGCUUGAAGAGGUUAUUUUGAUGCCCAAAUAUCCUCAAAUUGAUCAUCUCGACAUCAAGAUGUAUGGACAAUAGAAAAAAAUGGAUUUCAAGUUUUAGAAAUAAUGCAUUUUGUAAGGUAUUUUUUUAUUAUCAAUUUUCAAGAUUAUCAAAUUUUCAUAGAUCUAUCGAUCUACACUACUUUUUAAAUUUUAAAUUUUAUAAAUAAAAAUAUAAAUAUAUUUUAAGGCUAUUACUAAGAUUUCUAGUAUUGAAAUCACAUUUCUCGAUACUAUUUGAAGGUAGACUUUAAUUUAAUUGUUUAGAACCUCGGCUCUCUACAAACCGCACCCCUCUCUAAAUGGUUGUACCUCCACUACAAAGCCAUUUCUCUUAAAUUACUCUCUCUUUGCACCCACGAUCCAAAUCCACCUCUCUCUCUUGAACUGCCUAACUGAGAUACUAUUUACGUUUUCCUCACUCUUUUAUCUCUAAGAAAACUGCCUUUCUGCAAUCUAUCUCUAACCUAUUGCUGAAAACCUUACUUGAUGCUCAACACCCAAAUCUCUCUCACCCCCAUACACAUUUCCCUAAAAACCGUAAAAUUGUUGGGCGGCUAUAAGAUCCAUUACACACUUGACGGCAGUUGAUUGAACACCCUGAAAUAAGGGCAUUAUCCUCCUUUAAUCUUAGUUCAUGAUGAUGGCUACUUGCUUGUUUACUAUUAAUCUCAAUCGCUAUUCAUCAAGAACGAAGGGUGGAUGCCUCCUUGUGUAUCACCGAAAACACAAGAAUUGAUUCCCCCUAAACUUUUGUAGUUCGGGGUAGAAAAUACUCACCCUUUCAUUGUUAUUAUUUUAUGGGUAAUGAUCAGACCCUCCCACACUUAUAUGUGUGUAAGACCCCAUAAUAUCACGAUUUAAAUUUGGUACAGAUCUCUUGAAAAGUCAUAUCCCACACCUAUAUGAUAAUUGUUUUAAAGAUUUGUGUCAAAUUUAUUGAUGAUUAUUUGAGAUCCUACAUACAUAGGUGUGGGAGGGUCUCAUAAGAUCAUUACUCUUAUUUUAUUUCAAUUAUUUUACCAAUUUACAAAAGGCAUUUUAGAUAUCCUACUGCUUGCACGCAUAUCCUAUAAUACAUAUUAUUUAAAAUGUAUCUAUAUUCUUCUAUUAUUAUAUUCUUACAAUUUUUCACAAAUUUUUCAAAAUGUCCAAAUUGCCCAAAUUUUGGAUCCCCAAGAUAAAAAAUUAAACAGUUAUGGAAUUAAGUUAUUUUCUAAAUUUUCAUAUAUUAAAAAUCUGAAAACCCUAAUAUUUGGAUGUUGAAUAUCUAAAAUUAAGAAUUAUUUUAUUUUAAAAAUUUAUGAUAUUCAAAAUAUCAAAGCCAUAAGUAAUUUUAUUUUAUUUUAUUUUCAGAUAUCUAAAUUUUGAAACUAAGAAUUAAAGUUACUUUUUAGAAAACAACUUAAUCCUUAAUUUUGGUUAUCCAAUAUCUGAAAAUUAGAAAACCUUAAUUUCAAAUUAAAAAUAAUUUAGUUCUUAAAUUUACAUUUUCAAUAUCCAAAAAUUAGAAAAUACCUUAAUCUAAUAUUUUAUGGAGUUUGAAUAUCGUAAAUUUUAAAUAAAUGACUUAAUUAUAAAAGUAUUCAAUUUGAGAUCAUAAAUAUAUGAAAUUUGGUUGAUAAUUUUAUAGAAAUAUUGGAAGAAUAUGGUAAGGAAUUUGGAAGAUACUAUAAUACGCCGAUGGGUGUACCUGUAAGAAUACGUCCAACGGCCCAUAUUGACUCUAGGUUGAUCUGACGAUCAUGAGACGUCCACUACCUCAAUUUGUGUUUAAAUUUUAAUUUUUUUUCUACAAAUCUAAAUCACUUGAAAUUUUAGGCAUGUGUUCUUCUCAUCAAGGUGUAACUAAAAAAAAUAUCAUAAAAAUAAUUCACAAAAAAAAAAACCAAAAUACCCUCGAAACUUUUCGGGGGUAUUUUAAUCAAUUUAUUUUAUGUUAAAUAUUAUUUUUUAUAUUUUUAUUAAAUUCAAAAAUUAACACACGUCAAGUCAUUUGGAUUUGUAAAAAAAAAUUUAAAAUUCAAAUACUAAAUGAGGCCGUGAUCGUCGGAUCAGCCUAGAUUAUUGAGCAUUUACUGUAGAAAUACGCACAUGCGUACAAGAUCUUUUUCCAAUUUUAAAUACUUACGAGUAAAUUUCUCAACUACAAGUGCAUGUGUCGUUAUUGGAUUUUUUGAUAUUUUGAUAAAGCUUUUACGAUAUCAUGAAUUCCCAUGGAUUGCUCUUGGUUAUGUGGUAGUCACCCUAGCUUUCAAUUUUUUCCAACGUUCUAAAUAAAAUAUUUGGCAAUUAGUGUAUAGUGGUUACCUAUGUGCUAAGAUUUCCUUAAUUAACUUUGACGUGAGAAUCAUUGAUGAAAAAGAAGAAGACGAGGAGAAGUUGAAGAGUUUUCUUGGGAAAACAAUUUAGAAGAGCUUUAAAAAGAGAAGAAGAAACCAAAAAUGGAGCAGGUGAGGUCAGAACGAGUCCAUACUGUUCAAAAAAGGAGAACGAGUCCGUACUGUUUAAAGAGGUUAGAAAAGAAGGGAGAAGGCAACCACGUCGAACGAACGAAAGGUAAAGGAAAAGAGCAUCGUGUAAUGCAUUUUUUGGACCGUUAAUUUUCAUGAUAUUCAAAUACACCUGCUCGAUCUACACUAUUUAAGGCUCAAUUUUAUAAGGGUGAAGUUUGCAUACGGAUGCAUCCGUAGUGUAGAGGUAACGUGUACCUUCAAAUUUUAUCAUGGUAUAAAAUUUUGAUGUAAAAUGUUUUUAGGAUUAACUCAAAAUUUAUUUUUAUAUCUAAUUUUAAAUUUCAAAAAUGGUUAAAAUCAAGUAGAUCUAUAAACAUAUGAAAAUCUGGAAAAUGGACGGUGUAGAUAAUAUGUUGUAAAAAUGCACUAUUUCUGAGACAGAAAAUCUUUUUAUUUUUCAUAGUCAAACAUCUCGAUGUCAAGAUGAUCAAUCAAAGGGGUUUCCAACAUUAAAACUAGCUUUUCCGAUGGAUUUUUUAGAGGCAUCUGUAUUUCUACAUUAUAAAGUAGCAUCCUUAUAUAAACUUUUUCCAUUUUAUAAUUAGAGAUAAAAAUAAAUUUUGAAGCCAUCAUAAUGAUUUCUAAUAUUAAAACAAGAUCAUUCCAUAUUAUUUGAAGGUGCACCUAGCUUUGAUUAUUUAGGACCUGAGCCUUAUACAAACUACACCCCUCUCUAAUAUCUUGUAUAAUGUUGUUUUUAGUAUGUUUCUCUUUUCCAGUUAAAUCAAAAGAUUAUAAAUUACAAUUCCAAUUAAAUUAAGGGAUUAUAUAGUACGAGAUCAUCUAUAUUUGGAAUAAGGUCACGACUGGUCCUGGACAUCGAAUAUUAAAUUCGACAGCUACAAGUAUGUCAUGGAGUUCGAAUAAAUUUCUUUAACCUUUGAGCAUGAGUAAUUACAUAAUGUCAGCCUUCUUAUUUUAAAUCAAACGAUAUGAGUGUGAACUUCUUGUACAAAAGAUAAAAUUAUAUUUGGCAUAAAUAUACCGUUAUAUAUAUAUAUAUAUAUAUAUAUAUAUAUAUAAUAAAGNNNNNNNNNNNNNNNNNNNNNNNNNNNNNNNNNNNNNNNNNNNNNNNNNNNNNNNNNNNNNNNNNNNNNNNNNNNNNNNNNNNNNNNNNNNNNNNNNNNNNNNNNNNNNNNNNNNNNNNNNNNNNNNNNNNNNNNNNNNNNNNNNNNNNNNNNNNNNNNNNNNNNNNNNNNNNNNNNNNNNNNNNNNNNNNNNNNNNNNNNNNNNNNNNNNNNNNNNNNNNNNNNNNNNNNNNNNNNNNNNNNNNNNNNNNNNNNNNNNNNNNNNNNNNNNNNNNNNNNNNNNNNNNNNNNNNNNNNNNNNNNNNNNNNNNNNNNNNNNNNNNNNNNNNNNNNNNNNNNNNNNNNNNNNNNNNNNNNNNNNNNNNNNNNNNNNNNNNNNNNNNNNNNNNNNNNNNNNNNNNNNNNNNNNNNNNNNNNNNNNNNNNNNNNNNNNNNNNNNNNNNNNNNNNNNNNNNNNNNNNNNNNNNNNNNNNNNNNNNNNNNNNNNNNNNNNNNNNNNNNNNNNNNNNNNNNNNNNNNNNNNNNNNNNNNNNNNNNNNNNNNNNNNNNNNNNNNNNNNNNNNNNNNNNNNNNNNNNNNNNNNNNNNNNNNNNNNNNNNNNNNNNNNNNNNNNNNNNNNNNNNNNNNNNNNNNNNNNNNNNNNNNNNNNNNNNNNNNNNNNNNNNNNNNNNNNNNNNNNNNNNNNNNNNNNNNNNNNNNNNNNNNNNNNNNNNNNNNNNNNNNNNNNNNNNNNNNNNNNNNNNNNNNNNNNNNNNNNNNNNNNNNNNNNNNNNNNNNNNNNNNNNNNNNNNNNNNNNNNNNNNNNNNNNNNNNNNNNNNNNNNNNNNNNNNNNNNNNNNNNNNNNNNNNNNNNNNNNNNNNNNNNNNNNNNNNNNNNNNNNNNNNNNNNNNNNNNNNNNNNNNNNNNNNNNNNNNNNNNNNNNNNNNNNNNNNNNNNNNNNNNNNNNNNNNNNNNNNNNNNNNNNNNNNNNNNNNNNNNNNNNNNNNNNNNNNNNNNNNNNNNNNNNNNNNNNNNNNNNNNNNNNNNNNNNNNNNNNNNNNNNNNNNNNNNNNNNNNNNNNNNNNNNNNNNNNNNNNNNNNNNNNNNNNNNNNNNNNNNNNNNNNNNNNNNNNNNNNNNNNNNNNNNNNNNNNNNNUGUCCAGUAGUAUUUGAAUUUUAAUUUUUUUUUUAACUAAUCCAAAUCAAUUGAAAUUUAGGUGUGUGUUCUUCAAAAAUAGAUGAAUCUACAAAAAAUAUUAAAAAAAUAUUUUACAUGAAGACAGUGGACCAAAAUACCCCCGUAAAGUUUCAGGGGUAUUUCGAUCAAUUUUUAUGUAAAAGUUUUUUAAAUAUUUUUCUUAGAUUCACCUAUUUUUUAAGAACACAUGUCUAAAAUUUUAUGUAAUUUGGAUUUGUAAAAAAAUUUAAAAUUCAAACACUACCGGACAUCCGUGAUCGUCAAAUCGGCCCAAAUUAAAUCUAGACCGUUGGGGCUACAUGAGGCUGCUGACCAUAUGGAAAUAGAUAUGGUCAGCAGCCUCAUGUAGAUAAGCUAAAUGCCCCAACGGCCCAAAUUGAAUCUGGUCUGAUUUGACGAUCACGGAUGUUCGGUAGUGUCCAGUAGUAUUUGAGUUUUAAUUUUUUUCUACUAAUCUAAAUCACAUAUAUUCUUACAAAAAUAGAUGAAUCUACGAAAAAUAUUAAAAAAAUAGUUUACAUAAAAAUAAUUGACCAAAAAGUCCCCCGCAAAGUUUCAGGGGUAUUUUGUUCAAUUCUUUUAUGUAAAAUAUUUUUUCGUAAAUUCGUCUAUUUUUUAAGAACGCACGUCUAAAAUUUCAAGUGAUUUAAAUUUGUAGAAAAAAAUUUAAAAUUCAAACACUACCAGAUAUCCGUGAUUGUCAGAUUGGCCCAGAUUGAAUCUAGGCCGUUAGCGCAUUUAGCUUAUAUACAUGAGGCUGCUGAUCAUAUAUAGAAAAAAAUUCAAUCUGGGCCGAUCUGAUGAUCACAUGUCCGAUUGUCCAGUAGUGUUUGAAUUUUAAUUUUUUUCUACUAAUCCAAAUCACUUGAAAUUUUAGGUGUGUGUUCUUCAAAAAUAGAUGAAUCUGUUAAAAAUAUUAAAAAAUAAUUUUACAUGAAAAUAAUUGAUCAAAAUAUCCUGUAAAAUUUUAAUAAAUAUUUUACCAUUAAUUUUAACCUCAUGACGUUAUUUCUAAACUUUGUUACCACGUGCUCUUCCUUGCAUUCAAGUGGAACAUCUCAGUCCCGUCGUCCAUUGUUUGAGUAUGUAUAGAUGGUGGAAAAGAAGUGGAGCAUGUUGUUUCUAUGUUACAUAUAUAAUGCUAUACAGCUACCUUCACUUAUGUUUUUGUCGUUGGUUAAUCACCGCACUGUAUUGGACAAUUCAGGAAAAUUGUUUCAUGCGGGCUGGAUCGUAUUUCUACUAUAUGCAAUUAUUUCUUCCAACUAUGGAAACACAUCUAUUUGUAUUUGAUGAGAGCCAAUAAAUUUAUAAAGAAAAUUAAAAAAUCAAUGAAAAUAAUAUUUAACAUCCAAAUCCAUAUUUUGUUAAAACCAUUUGCUUCUUUAGAAGUUUCCAAUAAACCAAAGAACACCCUUCAGCUCACCAGAUAAAUUGAUAAAUUGAUCAGUUUCAUGCCAUAAUUGCAUUGAGUAUUAUUUAAGGAAAAAGUUUAUGUAAGGUCUCAACCUUCCUUGUGCUGAAAAACCCUCAAACUGAUCAGCUCGACUUCGAGAUUUAUAGGUAUGAAAAAAAAAAAGAAUUUCUAGUCUAAAAAAUAGUUCAACUUCUAACACAUUAUCCCGACCAUCCAUUUUCAAGAUUUUAAAGUGUUUAUAGAUUUGCUUGAUCAUCACCAUUUCUAAAACUUUAAAUUUCAUAAUUGGGGCAACAUUAGAUUUUCAUAUCAUUUCAAUGCUUUGCAUUAUCGAAGCAACAUUUUCGACAUAGUUUUGAGGCACACCUUAUUUCAAUAGUAUAGGGUUGACACCUUAUACAAAUCGCACCCAUUAUUCAAUGGGUGUGGUUUCUACUAGGUUGCAACCUUAAACAAUCCAAUUAAGGUGUACCUCCAAAUUUUAUUAUCACAUGUAAGUUUGGUUGUAAAAUAUUUUUAGGAUUAUUUGAAAAAUCAUUUUCAUAUUUAAUUAUAAAAUUUUAAACUACAAAAAUUAUUAAAAUCAAGUUGAUCUAUAAACAUAUAAGCUCUCGAAGAUGGACGAUCUAGAUAAUGUUAUGGUAGAUGCACUAAUCCUAGGACCAAUAAUCUUUUUUUUUCCCAUAUUCAUACAUUUUGAUGUCGAGAUGACUAAUUAGAGGGUUUUCUGAUGCUAAAAGAACCUUUUUCGAUGGAUUUUUGAGAUGCAUAUUUAAUUCUACAUUUUUAAAAUUGCAACCUUAUAUAAACUUUUUCUUUAUUUACUUUAAAAACAUCGAAAAAUAAAAUGAGCCUGAUUCCUUACCCAAAAUACUUUGGUUCGAUAAGUCAGGCUUGGCCUUGAAUUUCCCAAAAAUUAAUGGAAUUUGAGAAUCUCUCUAAAAAUUCAAGACAUUACUUAUGCAUUCACUCAAAUUUUUGGUAAGUAUUAUAACCAUUUCUCGCAACAAUAAAUACAUAAUUAAAACAAAAGCGCGCAAAGAGAUAGAGGCAUGAAAGUCCCAGUUAUUAAUUUUUUAAUAGUUAUUUUGACUAUUUUUUUGAAGUGUGUUUUGUAAUAGAAGUAUAAGAUCUUACCAUACUCCAUACAUUUCGAAGUACAUGGUUUUUUUCCUUUUCUUUUAUUAUGUAUUUUCAAAUGCAGGUCGAGUUGCCGGAGCAGUUAAUGGCUGGACUGAUCUAAUGCAUGCUCAACAUAAAAUUGACUUCAAAUUUACAUGUUUUCUUUUCUUGAAUGAUUCUAGUUUUGAAGGCAAAAUGCAUGUGGUUUAUUCGCUUUUUUCUUCUUUUCAAAAUGCUUUUAUGAUAUCAUGAAUUCCCAUGCAUUCCUCUUUAUUAUGUGGUAUUCACACUAGGUUUCAAUUUUCUCCAAGUUUCUUAACUAAAAUAUUUCCCAAUUAAUGUGUGGUAGUUACCUAUGUGCUAUGAUUUCCUUAUUUAACUUUGGCGUGGGAAUCACUGAUGAAAGAAAGGAAGACCAGGAAUAGUGGAAGAGUUUUUUGGGAAAAUAAUUUAGAAGAGUUAUAAAAGAGAAAAAGAGGCCAAAAAUGAAAUAGGCAAAAGAACCAAAAAAAAAAAAAAGGGCCCUAAGCUUGAGACUUGAGACUUCGAGACAAGUUUAAAGAGGUUAGAAAAUAAGGAAAACGUUCACAUAAGAGGUUGGCUUUUACUUAUUCAAGCACAUCUCAAAAAUCCUCUAGAAGAGAGUGUUUUUAUGUUAGAAACCCCUCCAAUUUGAUCAUUCUCGACCUCAAGUUGUAUGGAUAUAAAAAUAAUAAUAAUUUUUAAUCUAAAAAAUAGUCUAAUUUAUAACAAAUUAUGUAGAAUAUUUAUUUUCAAGAUUUUCUAAUUUUUUCUGAAUCUGUUUAUAGAUAUGCUUGAUUUGUACUAUUUUUGAAAUUUUAAAUUUUAUAACUAGGGAUAAUACUAUAUUUUCAAGCCAUCUAUAUCUCCAAACAAAAUUUAGAGGUGUACCUUACUUCUACAAUAUAAAGAUGACACCUUAUACAAACCUUACACUAAUUUUUAAUUAUUAAAUAAAGGAAAAAAAUUAGUGUGUUUUUAUUCUUACGCCCCCUUUCCGAAUAUUAUGGAUUUUGGUUGUACGGUUAUAGUUUUGACCAAUGGUUUAAAAAACGGAACGGUGCCUCGGAUCGGCAUCUGAAACCCAUUUGGAUCGGUGAAUCUGUGAUCUAGAUCGGUAAUCGACUGAAUCGGUCGGAUUAAGCCUUAAAAAAAAAUCUAAAAAAAUUAUCAAAAUUCAAUAUAAACGUUAUUUUUUAGGAAUCCAAUAAAAAAUGGGGGUACUGUAUUAUUAACUUUUUUUUUUUUUCAUCAAUAUGUGAAUAUUGAGAUAUUCUUUCUCUGUAUGAACUAAUGUUAACUAUUAAAUUUAUAUCACAAAAAAGAAAAAUAAUAGAAUUAUCAUGAAUGAAAUAUAUAAUUAUAUUGGACUAUAAUAAAUAAUGGACUAAAUCAAUAAAAAAAUGAACACCAAAAUCUCGAAUUGGCGGAAAUACUCCGCUAAAGAAAACCCAAAUUAUUACAACCUAACUAUAGUAUUAUAUACUAAAAUUGAAAUUGUUGGUGUAUAUUUUAUAGUUUAUUUUAUUAUACAAAUAAUAACAAAUCCAAAAUAACUUAUAAUAUCAUUUAAUUUAAAAUGUAAUAUUGACAACUGGAAGCAAAAAUAGAAUAUCACAUAAUUUAUAAUGUAAAGAAAUUAAAAAAUAAAAAAUAAAAGAUUUGGUUGUCAAUGUAGAAAUAAAUUCUGAAGUGGUAUAAGUUAAUGUUAUUUUUCUCUCUUAAAAUAUCCUCUAAACUAAUAUUUUUUAAUAUUCAAUAAAUUAGAAUUAGUAUUAUUAUUAUUUUUAAUAUCCUAUGAGCUAGUACUAAUUUUUAAUUUUUAAUCUUAGUUAACUUCUUAAUUAAUUAUUAAUCCUAUAAUGAAAUAAUCUCGUGAUAUAAUAGCCUAAUAAAAAAUUUAUGUUUUAUUUGGGUAGGUAAAUUUAGAUUUUUUUAGUUGAAGAUAGGGGUGAUGAGCACCCAACUAGUAUUAUUAUUAUUAUUAUUAUUUAUCAUAUAAUGUAACUACCACCACCGAUUAUAACUAUUAAUGUAAUUACCACCACCGAUUAUAACUAUUAAUGUAAUUACCACCACCAAUUAUAACUAUUAAUGUAAUUACCACCACCGAUUAUAACUAUGUUUUAUCAUAUAAUGUAAUUUUUUUAAAUCCCUAAUUAUAACUAUUAAUUAUAAUAUAUAUUAUAAUUUUAAAUCAAAAUAAUUUAAAAAUAUUAGUAAAAAACUUCCAUAUAAUUUAAAAAUAAUUGAGUGUAUAUAAAAAUAAUUAUAUUGACAAAAAAUUAACAUAAUUAUAUUUAAAUUAUUCACAUAAACAAACAACAAUUUCAUAUAAUUAUGUUAAGUUUUAUAAAUUAUUAUAUAAUAUUUUAUUUUUGUAAUUAUAUGUAAUUAAAAAUUAUAUGUAUUUUAUAUUUGUAUAUCAUAAUAAAUAAAUAAAUAUAUAAUUAAUCUUAAAAAAGAUUAAAUCUUAAAAAUAAAUAAAAAGAUUUAUAGACUAUUUCGUUUUGUCAUAACUUUUAUUUUUAUUUUUUUGUCAAUGUAACUUUUUUGUCAAAUUAACUUUUAUUUUUUUUGCUAAAGUAACUUUUAUUUUUUGACAAAAAAUAAUUUUUUGUUAAAAUAAUUUUUAUUUUUUUGUCAAUAUAACUUUUUUUUUUGUCAAGAUAACUUUUUUUUUAUACUUUUAUAACUUUGUUUUUGCCAUCGAGUGGGGGUUCAAACCUACAACCCAUAGAGAGAAAAAUAAAAGAGCUACCUAUCAUACCACAACAGCAUAUUUGUCUACUUUUAUACAUAUAUAUAUAUAUAUAUAUAUUGCUUUAGUUUCUCAAGACCACCUAGCUAAUUAUCCCACAUCGAAGCUUAUAGAAAAGCACUAUAAGUAUAAAUUAUUCACGGGUGGUGCAUUACAAUACACGAGUGUGGAAGGCUGGCGCUCCAUGGAUGUUGUUGCAUACAUGUCCACCACGCGUGUAUGCGCGAUUCGGCUCGUUUGCCUGUGUUGAAGACGUCAUGAACCGGUCCAUGAAGGCGGAGUCGUUCGACUCAUCUGAGUUAUUUCUAGACACGGACAAAUAUAUGCAGUUUUUAUUGCCUCGUCCGAGUUGUUUCUAGACAAGGACAAAUAUACCCAAUGCGGGCAAAUAUAUGCAGUCUUUGCAUUAAAAUCCACACGGGUUGUUAUCAUCGGAGUUGUUUCUAGACACAGACAAAUAUGUGCGGUUUUUAUUACCUCGUAUGUAUUGCCUCAUCUGAAUUGUUUCUAGACACGGGCAAAUAUCUGUGGUUUUUAUUGCCUCGUCUGAGUUGUUUCUAGACACGGGCCAAUAUAUGCGGUUUUAACGUUAAAAUCCAUACUGGUUGUUAUUGCCACGUUUGAGUUGUUUCUAGACACGGGCAAAUAUAUGCGGUUUUUAUUACCUCGUCUGAGUUGUUUCUAGACACGAGCAAAUAUAUGCGGUUUUUACGUUAAAAUCCACACGGGUCGUUUCUAGACAGGGGCAAAUAUAUGCGGUUUUUAUUGCCUCGUCGAGUUGUUUCUAGACACAUUCGAGUUCACGGGCAAAUAUAUGUGGUUUUUAUGUUAAAAUCCACACGGGUUGUUUCUAGACACGGGCAAAUAUAUGCGGUUUUUAUUGCCUCGUCCGAGUUGUUUCUAGACACGGGAAAAUAUAUGUGGUUUUUACAUUAAAAUCCACAUGGGUUGUUUCUAGACACGGGCAAAUGUAUGUGGUUUUUACGUUAAAAUGCACAAGGGAUGACCUAUUUAGUGUUGAAUCGGUCGAGUCCAUGGUGACUCGGCGAUUUUUUAAUCCCUGGUUUUGACGACCAUGAAUAUUGAAAAGUCAUGAACCGGUCUAUGACGGCAAAGUCGUUCAACUCGUUCGAGUUAUUUCUAGACAUGGGCAAAUAUUUGCGGUUUUAUGUUAAAAUCUACACGGGGUGACCGAUUCCCAUGUCGAAUCGGCCAAGUCCGUGGUGACUCGGCGAUUUUUUAAUCCCUGGUUUUGACGAUCAUGAAUCUUGAAAACCUAUAACUUAAAUUAUAAAAUAUAUUCUUUAAAAGAAUAACCAUCUAAAAAAACAAAGUUUUAAUACUCAAUUUUAAGAUUAGAAUUUACAUAAAAAAAUCCAUAACUAAGAUGGAUUUUCGAAAUCUUAAGGUAAAUUUUAGGAGACCCUAGCACUACAAAUUCAUUAUUAGAACUAGUGUUUUAAAACCCAGCAAUUUCUGAUACGAAUCACCGCUAUAGAUGGGAAUUGGUAGGAAUUGAACUAGUUCUAGGAUGAAAUGGGUCCCAUCAUGUUCUCCCUAAAGCCCCUUAUAUAUAUUUUUUCUUUAUUUAUGCUUUUUAAAUAUUUUCUUAGAUUCCCUCUCAAUCCCCACCCUAUAAAUCCCUAUUUUAAUUUUUUUUUAUCAACAAAUGUUUUUGGACCACAUUUCUACAAUAUGCGGUCCAUAGGUAUAAAGCAUCCAUCUUAAAGAUGGACGUAAAUAGGUGGUCCAUCUAAAAACAAUUGUAACUAGCGGUGCAAAUGUUUUCUUAACAUAAUUAUUAUUUCUAGUUUUCAAAAUAUAAAUAUUUUUUCAUAUUCAUGAUCGUCAUGUUAAAUAUUAUAUAUUCUCUAAAAAUUAAGAUGAAAUUAUAUUUAUUGCCUAACCCGCAUUUCUACAAUAUGUGGGAUGGCCGCAUGCUACCUGUGUCCUUAUUUUAUUUCAUUUAUUUUCUAAUAUUUCUCUAGAUCAUGGAUUUGUACUGAUCCAGAUCUCUGAUCGAAUGAUAUUACGCAAAUAUGUAGGUAAAUGAUCCUCCUGUCGGUCCAGAUUUGUUUGGAACAAAUUGAUGAAGGGGCGAAUCCAUCAACCUUUAAUGUUGUCAUAAUAUUCUAAAAGAUCAAACGUGCCCUUAGGUGUUAUGCUUUCUCUCAUCUGAGAAAGAAGCACAAGAUAUAUCACGCAUAUCACUCUUUAGUUUACCGUGCAAUCUCCUCACAAGGUUUUGUCCGAUUUCUACGAAAGAAAAAUUAACAUAAAGUUGCAACUUUAUUUAUAAAAAUAAUAUUACAGUAAUCUACACCAUCUAUUUUAUUUAAAUACUAUAGAUUUAACACAAAUAAAAAUAAAAAUAUUAUACUAUCUUAAAAGACAUUUCAUUAUCUAAUUAAAAUAGACUACAUACAAAGCCUUACUUCUACUAAUAAAGUUGCAUGGAAGAAGAAUUGAUGGUGGUCGAUGUCGUUAUAUAAAGGCACCCACUACAAAAAGUAUGCAAACAAUUCGCAAUUAUCAUACUUUGACUAGCUUUAAGUUUUACUAAACGCAUGAAAAUAUUAUGCAAUUAUUAAAGGGCAAUUUUUUCACCCAAAAAGGAAAAGUUGUGGUUACCAGGUGCUAAGAUUUCCGUGGAGGUAGGAGUCAGUUUUUAAAAAACACUUACUCAUAUUGGAAUAAUCCAAUCCAUAUCGCGAAUUAUCAAUGUCUAACCAUUUCUUAUAAACUAUCGGGAAGCGAUCAGUUCCCCCCAUGACAUGGCCAGUUUCUGGCUGGUUUUCUUACAAAAGUGCAAGUGAAUCGGUUAAUUUUUUUUAAUUUUUAUAUUUGGUGCCGAACUAUAUUGGAAAUCCAGAGGAGUGAUCUAGAUCACCAAACCAUGUUUUUAAUUCUUGGACGAGAGAGAACCAAGGGAAACAUAAGGGAUGAGGACGAUUGUUUUCAAGUGAUUAGAAGUAUCCAGACGCUACAUCGACUUGGUGAGAAAUAUGUAUGAAAGAGCGCUAACUAGUAUAUGAACAACUGGUGGAGAGAUGAGUGAGUUUUCAAUUACCAAUGAUCUAAAUCAGGGUUCAACUUUGAGCCCAUACCUCUUUGUCUUAGUUUUGAACGAUUUAAUUAGGUAUCUACAAGAUGGCGUACUGUGGCGCAUUUUGUUCGUAAAUGACAUAAUUUUGAUCAAUGUGACCCGAAACAACGUCAAUAUAAAAUCAAAACUUUGGAGGGAUGUUAUAGAAUCUAAAUGUUUUAAAAUUAGUAGGAUUAAUACAAAGUAUAUGGAAUACCAUUUUACUAAUAAUAGGAGUAGAGGCGAGGAAAUUGUUAAGAUUGACAGCCAGGAAUUAAAAAACAAGUUUACUUUUUGUGUCAAUAAUCCAAAAAGAUGGAGAGAUUGAAGAAGAUGUCACACAUAGAAUUAAAGCGGGGUGGGUAAAUUGGAGAUAUGCAAUCAAAAUUUUAUGUGAUCGCCGUAUAUCAAUGAUGCUGAAGGGUAAGCUUUCUAGGACAGCUAUGGGACCAGCUUUGCUCUAUAAGACAGAAUAUCGGGCGAUGAAAAAAUAAUCUCCCCAUAGAUUGAGUAUGGUGGAAAUGAAGAUGUUGAGAUGGAUGAGUGACAAUACAAGAAGGGAUAGAAUUCGAAAUGAGUACAUUUGAAAAAAUUUAGGCGUGACAGCAAUAAGUGAUAAGAUGAGAGAUAAUAGACCUAGGUGGGCUGGUCCUAUGUAGCGUAGACCCAGCACAACGCCUAUUAAAGAUAUGUGAUUAGUUCAAGUGGAAGGAUAAAAAAGUGCAAGGUGUAGGCCCAAAAAGACAUGGUUGGAAGUAGUGAGAAAUGAUAUGGGGCCUUAUGGCUUCAUUGAGGAUAUAACUCUUAAUAGAGCAAAAUGGAGGACUAAGAUUUAUGUAGCUGAUCCCAAAUAGUCGCAAAAAAAGGCUUUGAUGAUGAUGAUGAUCACACACAAUAAAUAAAAACAAAGAACUGGUAGAGAACGCUAGAAAAAUAAAUAAAUAGAGGCUCGAGUGUCUUUGAGUAGCAUACAUAUUGAUAGCUUCAUAACUCUUAAAUUUUUGUAACUUUUAUUUCAUAAAAGAAGUAUGAUAAUAAAGAAAAAAGAAAUUUUACGGUUCACAUCAUGUCAAACACAGUUCUAAUUGAACCCGACCAUACCUAAUGGUUCAUAAAUCAAUUUUGUUUUAUAUCUUUAUUUUUAUUAAAAGUUUAUAUUGAUAUGAAAUUUGGGAUGUUGCUGCAUUUUCAUAGAAAAAAUCAUAAAAAUAAUAAAAAGAUAUUUUGAAUAAAACUAUUGAUCAAAUUACCCUCAAAAAAAAUUUAGGAGUAUUUGAUCAAUUAUUUUUAUUCAAAAUGUCUUUGGACUAUUUUUAUUGGGUCGUCAUAAUUGAUUAUUUAUGCCUCAAAUUUUACCUCAAAAAAGGUUUAUAAAAAUAAAGUAAAAAAAUAAAAUAAAAUAACUUUAUGGCCCUCGGGUAAGUCUAAGUCACAUCUAGAGAAAGGGCAAAAGAGAGAUGAAAAAAAGAUGAAAAGCAAGUAGUAAAAGAGGUAACGAGAAAGGUUUCUCCUCGCCUUUGGUGAAAGAGGAAAGGGCAGGGGCAAAGAUUUACACAAGUAUAUCAGCUCUCUUCUUGAACAUAGAUGCUUAGAGAAGACGCAAGGAGUAGGCAGAGGGACAACUAUGGUACUGAAUGAAGAUUUGCCCCAUUUUAUUGAUUAUUUAUUUGGACAUCUUAGAGAAUGGAUACUGUAUUUAGUAAGAGAAGUUCCUCUUCUGUCGAAGAAAGGUAUGAGUUCAAUUCUUGAACUGUAUGUUCACAUCCAUCUAUCCAUCUUCUUUCCUAAAUUAUGUUAUAGUUAUUUAUAAUAUGUUCCUCUGUGAUUUACCUGUGGAACAUAUUAGAUUUGAAGAGAGUAGUGUUAUCUCUAAAGAAAAAUAGCAAGAAAUCAGAAAAAUUGUGUCUUCCUUUCUAUUUUGUUUUACACUAUGUUGCAAAGUUUUUUAGAUUUUAGACUGCCUUGCUUUACCCACUUCAAUUUAGAACCGAUGUCUUUAAACUCGGCUCGAGCAUCGGACGCGGCCCUAGCUCAGCUGAGUAACUCGGCUGAGUCUGAGCAAUCAGAUUGCCUUAUUUCUUGAUGCAUCAUAGAAAAUCGGGCUGUGUUUGUAACUUUCUAAAAAUCAUCCUUUAGUUUUUGUAUUGUUUUUGUCUUCUUUAUUUUAUCGUUUGCUAUUAUUUUUCCAAGGGAUUAGCCAGUGCAAUGGAUCAGAGACUCAUUUGCCUCUCAGAUAUUAUAGAUUAUCACAACCCCGUGUUUUGAAACCACCGAUUCCCGAUUUGGAUGGGAAUCCCCAAUUUGGAUGGGAAUCAUCGGAAGCGAACCGGUUCUGAAUUGCAUAGACUCGGGCCCCGCUUUCCCUUUAAAAAUCCUCAUUAUAUAUUUUUUAUCUUUUUUUUAUCUUAUUUAAUAUUUUAUUGGGUCCCAUUUAUAUCCCCACCCUAUAAACCUCUAAUUUAAUUUUUAUUUUAUCUCAUUAAUGUUUAGGAAAUUGUUUGAUGCGGGCUGGUACACAUUUCUACAAUAUUUGGUCCAGAGGUAUAAAACAUCCAUCUUCAAGAGGGAUGCAAAUAGGUGGUCCAUCUAAAAUCAGGUGUAACUAAUGGUCCAAAUGUUUUUUUAAUAUAAUUAUUAUUUCUAAUUUUCAAACCUUUGUUUCUUUUUUUUUUCAUAUUCAUGAUCUUCAUGUUGAAGAUUAUAUAUUCUCUAAAAACUAGGAUCAAAUUAUAUUUAAAAAUCUAUUUAGUGACAAGCUCGCAUUUUUACAAUAUGUGGGCUGGCAGCAUGUCCUUUAUGUUUUAAAUUUUUUUUAGAUCACCAAUUCUGGCCAAUCGAAACCCAUACCGGAUCACCAAUCCAAAGCCCAAACGAUUCGGGUUUUGAAACAUUGAUUGCAGCAAUUUGUUCCAUAUUCCGUUGUUUUUCCAAUUUCUCUAUUUUUUUCAAAUUUUAAAAUUGUUUCCACAUUUAAAUUAGGUGGUCAUUGCAAUGCAUAGUUUGGGCCUGACAGUAUCACUAUUUUGGUUUACAUUUUCAUUGUCUUUUGGUUAGUAAGCUGGGUUUCUUUGAGGCACAGAGUUCUAACCAUGAUUGAUUCCUUUGAAAACUGAGAUUCAGACCACGGAGCUAAUGCUGCAAUUAUUUUACAAGUUUUCAAUUAUGCUAAUGAGGGAUCAUAUUUUCAUAUUGUUCCGUAAGUUUAGUUUNN
rnacentral:lncRNA from 1 species